GAUAUUCGUUUGGUUAGGGGAUAGGGAUAGGAAUAGGCCCUUAUCCCCCUUUUAUACCCAAACGCUAAUUUUUUACCCGAGAAUAGUAGUUCUCGGUUAUCCCCACCAACAUCUCCAUUUUCUAUAUAAAACUAUCUAAAAUUGUUCUUAUCCCCGGGAACAACCCAAUUUUCAUCCAAACGCUAUUUUUCUUAUCCCCAUACUUGUACCUAUCCCUGUAAUAGCUAGUUCUUACUUAUACCCGAACCAAACGUACAAAAGUUUUGAAAGACAUAUUAAAUAUUUAUUCCUAUAAAGAAAUUAUUUAUGUAGCACUUAAAAAAUGGGAGGGAUUCGGGGCGGGAGGAGUUCCCCCACCUCCCACCUGGAUUUCUUGGUGGGUCGAGGCGAAUUCGAGUUGGAUUAUUUAUCAUAUUUUUUUGCUCCUAUUUACCGUUUUAUUUAUUUAUUUUUUUUUGAGAGAAAUGUAGCAUACUAUCCGCUUUGUUUAUUUUUUUUUAGAAAUAAAUUUAGCUGAAAAUAUGAAUCAAUUAGGAUUUGAAUUUGGGACCUCGGAAACCAACCACCAAGCUCUUUGCCACUUGCGCUAGAAUGGUCAGUUACUUACAGUUUUAUUCGGAGCAAAUCAGAGUGGGGGCAAAUCAAGUGAAGAAAGGAAUUGCCUGCAUCCCACUCCAUUUUCUUACCGAAUCGAGGCGGAUUCAUGAUGAAUUAUUUUUUUUCUUAUUUUUGGUCCCCACUUACCACCCGAUUUAGGGUGGAUCGGAGUUGGGAGCUCCAUCAAUCCGGAUUAGGAAGCACCUCGUGUUAAUACAAAUUUUAUCAAGAAUCAUCGCAUGUUAUCGCAUGUUAUUGCAUCCAUCGACACAGAAUUCUUAUCGAAAUCUGCAUCUAAGAAGUGAUAAUCUAUUUAUUACUGUAUACUAAAGGACGUGUAGAUGUUCUCUUUAGAUGACAUAUUGUACUGUAGACCAUGUAGAAAAAUUAUAAUUUUAAAUUUUAUUCGAUUUAUUUGAAAUAUAUACUUUUUAUUAUAUAGACUUUUGAAUGUUAUAGAAUACAUUUGAAAAAUUAGUUUUAAGUGUUCCAUUUUUCAGAGUAGGCAGUACAAUAAACCAUGCAUAGAAACAUUUCUUACACUUGGUGCACCUCCCCCUGUUUGUGAAAUUUUCCCUACACCGGGUGCAUAAAUAUAUGGCAUAUAUCAUUUUUUAAAAUACAAUGAUAAAUAUCUCGAGAUCAAAAUUUUAAUUUAUGAAUAAAAUAUAUGAUGUGCAAUGAGCCUACAUAUCAAAUUAUAAGAUUUGGCCAUUUUGGAACGAUGCCCAUUAAAAAUUAUUUUUUCAGUUUACUUAUGUCUUAAUAAUAGAUUUUUCAAGUCAAGUAAUUUUUUAUUUAUAGGCCUUUGUAAAAAAAUAUAGAUCGUACAGAGUUGGAACUCCUAUGCUUUUAAAAGCACAGAAUCAUAACAUGCUUUCGAUUUUUUAGCCAUCAGAUCGCCUCAAGAUCUGUGCAACAGUAAUAAGGAUGACUUAACGAGACACACCGUUAAUAACGUUGCACGGAUUUUAAGGCGAUACGACGGUUAAAAAUUCACAAGCACGAAUGCUUAUGUGCUUUUAAAAGCACAGGAUCUCAACUUAGAUCGCACAUAGAACUUUAAUUUUAAGGCAUUAACCAUCAAAAUCAAAUACGGUGCGUUAUGUAUACAAUUACGCCAAAUCUUUUUCCUCUUAUCCGCUGCGAAGUGCGGGCUUAGUGCUAGUACCGUCAAGCUAGCCUAAUCAGUGAUCAUAACAGGAAAAUUAGGUUAAGGUGUUAAACUGUCAAAGUGAUAAAAACUUGCAAAAUUUUCAGCUGUAAUGUUCUUAAACUUGAGAGAGAGAUUAUUUGAGGGCAAAAAUACUCAUAUGAGAUUUUGGUCUGUCACAUCUCACAUGUGCUUUGUGAGCUGGGAGUUCUUGCACCUGAAGCCAUGGAAAAAGGGCAUGUGGUUGCAUAGGCACAUUUCAAUCUAUCACUUAGAUUGGCAACAUCCCACCUAUUUGAAAGUUUUAUAUGUAGUGCAAUAGAAGCAACCCUAGCUCUCAUCUUUAUCUCUAAGGUAAACCACAAAGUGACCCAUCACCUUUCUCUCAAUGCUAUUUGUGUGGUUUUUUACUUGUCCUUUUUGUCAAGCAAAAGAUACAAGAAAAAUGUGCCGACAAACUUUCAGUUUUGAUGAUGAGACCUUCUAAACUCAUUGAAUAGUUCAGUAGGCCUCGUUUCUCGAUCAAGAUUAUUAAUUACACAGUCAUUUUGAUCGCAUGUUUUUGCAUAUAAUCUUUAUUUUCUCCCUUUUUACUAUUGAGAACUAAGAGUGAAGAUUGAAGAGUAGGGCAGAUCUUUCUCCGUUUUUUAUUUAUUGCGUCCUUCGUUUGUUAGGAUAGAGAAAAUGAAUUUCAUCGCAUUUUGAAACUAUAGGAAGAUACAUAAAAGAGGUGCGACCUAAACAGCUUUAUAAUUAGUUAAUUCAAUCGAGAAGAGGAGUUUGUUGAGUUAUAUGAUAAUGUUUACUAGGUUUAAUUGGAAGAAACUAAAAGUUCAGGAGAACUUCAUACAGUUUUUCCAAGAUCAAAAGAUGGAAUCUUCAGUGGUUUAAAUUUCGAUCUUCGACUAUAAAAAAUGAGCAUCAAACACUGCUAACAAUUGAGUCAAUAGAUGCAUGCAAAAAUGAGCCUGUUCUCCUGUUACCAGUUGCAUUUAGCUAUUUGCUUUUUAGUUGCAUCAAACAGAACCAUCAGCAGAGCAAACACUUAAACCAUUCUUAUUCAGCAAAUGCAAAAUUUCGAACUUUAGAUAUGCCCUUCUUAUACAAUCAUGCCUCUUCUACAACAAUCUAGGAGUGUAAUUUUACAUAGGGAAGUGUCGCAGAAAAAAUAAUUUCCAAAAUAGAACACAUAAACCAACAGGACCCAAUAGUGUUAGUCUUUCAGGAUUCGGAUUCAAGAACAACGAAGGAGACGAAAAUUGCACGAAUUCUUCUGUCCGGGAACACUUUGUCCUAAUCACUUUGAUGAUACGUCGCCGACCAACUUAAGGAUCACGCUGAAACCAAACAAGGAAAAUGUAAAGUGAUCAUUAACAUUUUUGCCCAAGCCUUAUUCACAUUAAAGAACACGAAAGAGCCUCCUUACCCACGUAAUAAUACUAUUGCCGCCACAAAUAUUUACAUAACAAAGUCGUCCCGAUUACCAUUCUCCUUACCAAUCAUCUACAUGACCGAAGCAAAGGACAAAAAAAAAAAUCUGCAGAAAGGAACAAGUAAAUUAGUACUCUGAACAUGGUGGGGAACAUUAAUGACUGAAUCAGAUCUUGAAAUCCGAAAAACCUGUAUUUGUUCAUUUUGUGUUAUACCUCUUAACAUAAAUUAAUCAAGGUUACACUCUAAUUUUGACUCUAUUGAGCUUUUGCUGAACCUUCGGUAGCUGCUGUUUCCUUUUUCUUGGACUGUUCCUGCCCUUUCUGUAGGACUGCUUUGUUCGGCAUGAGAACCAAGAAAAUGUUCCGCUCUCUGAAAUUUUUGCUCUCUUCAGUCGCAAGCUAGAAUUGCAAUUCAAAAACAAAUCAUUUUAGUGUAUUCAUCACCUUAGCAGUGGCCAUAUAGAGGAAACAAGUAAUCUUUAUUUUCUCAUAAAAAUCGCAUGCAAAUAGCAUCGUUCUAACAAAAAAUAAAUAAAAUAAAAUUCUGUAAAUUAGACCAAAUGAGGCAUGGCAAAACAAGCAAAACUUCAUAAGAACCCUCCUCUCAUUGUGGCCGUCACCUUGUUUCAUCAUCUUGAAACAUCUCUUAAGUCUCGAAGGUUUCGCUUACUUUGAUUUAUAAAACAUCGCAUUUCACAAUAAAGCAUACUAAUGUGUAAUGUCAAACCACAGAAAUUAUCUAUUAAAAAACUGAACAAAUUAAGUUUACUGAUAAGACUACUGCUUCUAAAAGUAUAAAAUACCCAUUUUUCCUAUGAAUAAAAAGGCAGAAUAAAAACGUUUAGCAGAAAGUGCGAAUCAUCAAGGCUUUAAGCAGUUCAUGUAGAGAUUACAAAUCAAGCAUCAGAGAAAUGAGGAAUACAGAUAAUUUUAAAUUGACGCAGUUCAAUACUAUAUGCAGAUGCUGAAAAUCGAGCCUCAGAUCUUUGAAAAUGAGAGUUAAUUUUAAUUCACAGUAAAUUACAGUGGAUGACUUCAAACUAAACAUAAUCCUUUUCUGUUUAUUUUUCAUGUUUUAUUUUAUUUGCUAGUUGAAGGUAUAGCAUCAGGAAGGUCUGAUGGGCCAUAAACAAGUGUUCUGGCCGAUGAAGAUAAACACUUUUGACAAACUAGAGUCCGGAGACAAAUGUUACAUUUUAUAUAUAGGUGAAAAGUUAUAGUACAAACACUAAGGCAUAAGACGUAUUGCACCCAUAAUGGUAAUGUAUUUCAAAAAAUUGCCUGUCUAUAUUCAAUCAUUACCUCUCCAAUAUCACUUUGAAAACGUUUAAGAAGUUCAAUAGCAAUGUUUCUGAAUUCAUUUUCCCGGCCUUUCAAGUUCACAAUGACCUUUACCUGCAAAAUGAAUUGGAAAACACAAGUUCACACAACAUAGCGAGAGGAAUGGUUUUAGCAUAGGUGAUAUAAACAAUUUCAUCAACCUUGUCGCCAUCUUUAAGGAAUUUUUGGGCAGCCCUCAGCCUCACAGAAUAGUCAUGAGAGUCAAUGUUGUACCUGAAUUGAAUUAUCUAGUUUAGCCAGCAAAACAUGCGCAGAAACGGACAAGGUACAUGAUAAUCCUUAUUACUACACUUCUAGCAAGUAUUCAGAUUAAAUCCUUAUUCUUCAGCCCUUUCUCUAAUUUAAGGCAGGAAAAAAGAUAAAUCAUGCUCAUCUUUGAUCCAUGAAACUACUAAGAUUUAAUAUCAUCCAGUUCUAACCAAAAUUCUGACAAUGCAGUGUUUAAUUGGGGAAUGGUAAUCAUGAGGGUAGGGAGUUAUAUCUAUAAUGAGAAUUUAUCUUAAGGUUUACCAUCCUCGUUAUGCUUGGUAGGGGAUAAUGGGGCUAAGGGGUUGCCCAGAGGAAUAGUGCAAUUCAAUUCCUACCUCAAGGAACUGCUAUUAUGUGAUAUCCGCAUAGUGUUUGAUGGAAUAACAGCGAUAUUUAACAUUAUCUUCACUCUUCUCCUCAAGCAAACAUUCACUAAAUGAUCCAUUAUAUUGCAAAUUGUAAAAAAGAAAACUGAAAUAACUAUUUUGAAAUAAAAUUUGCACAAGUUUGAUCAAGAACCUUAAAUAUACAAUGUCCAAUGAAACAAACAAAUAUGCAGUUAAAAACAAUCUGUAGAGCACCUGCAUGAUUGAUUGAUCCCUCUGAAUGCAGGUAUUAAGUAUGUGUAGUUUAUCCGACACGCUUUACAUUUUGGGGAGCACAAAGAUUCAUGAUUGUUAAAAAAAUAAAAAGGCAAAUCCGAUGCGGUAGAUUCAGAUAACUUUUGUUGUCAUUAUUGCCAGAGAGUUAAACAUAUAAAAUAUCAACGGCAGAAAACAAUAAGCAAGAAAAAUUUGAGAUGCUAAAUUGCUAAUAACUGACAGAAGUCAUACCCCAUUUUAAGCUCCUUAAUAUCCACUCGAUUUGCUGCAAAAAUAAAUGUGUGUAAGUAGGCGCUGUAUUUGCCAUGCUACAAGUAGAAAGGAGGAAGCAUGAUAUCCAGUAAAUUGUAUGGAGUAGCCUUCCAUGGAGGUGAAUUUACCAGCCGAUCUUUUCUGUUGCACCCUUUUCUUCUUUUGCUGUUCAUACUUGUGCUUUCUGUCAAAUAUUUAAUAUUUUGAUAUAUAAUGUUACAUUUGCAGUAGAGCAUAAUUCGAUAAAAUGGAGCAACAUAAAGAGUCGAUAGAUUGUUUGGUCAAAAUGAAGGUUACAUUACAACUUACGAAUCACAUAAGACACAGUAGGCAUUUGAGCAAGUAGAAAAUAAUGAAUUACUAUUGCAACUUAUAUAUAAAAAAAAAAGAAUUCCAAUUUGGCAACUACAAAAAUCCCACCCUUUUUUUCAUUUUUGCAAAAACAUAGCAUUUUUUUGGUUUGCAACUUUGGCCUAUUUUUCAACUUUUGCAACCAAAAUGUCCCUAUAUAACGCAGGGCAAAGAUAUUUGCAUUUGAAUGACGGAUGCACAAUUUGCAAAUUAGUUCAAGAAUAUGCAUCAUUCAAAACAGUGAGCUGUGAUCAUGCUUCAUGCAAUGGAGGGGCAGUGUGAUCUAAAUAAAUUAAAAGUGAACAUAAUUUGCAAAAAAAGAAAAAAAAUCCCCUUUUUUGUAAUCUAGUGAUGAGUAAAGAGUAAAUGAAAGGUAACUUUAUCAUGUAAAGACAUACUUGUAAUCCAUGUCGUCAAAGAGUCUGAGGACUGGGGGAUCCGCAUCUACUGACAAUAUAGCCUGAAACAAAACGUGUAUCAGGCAAUAUUCUAGCCAGUUGAAUUCCACAUUGUGAGACAUUGUAUCAGAACAUAAUGUACAUACUAGAAGUGAAAAACAAAAAUGAAAAUAUCGACUAAUUCCUGUUAAAAUUUUCUGAAAGUGCAUGAGCAUAGUGAUGGACUUAAAAGUACCAAUAUGGAGAGCUUAAUUUCUGAGUGUUUUCCUGUUUCUUGACAUAACCAUAACUUUUCUGUAAGGAUAAACCGUCUUUCAAUGCUAAUAUAUAUAAGGUAACGAAGAGGAAUGAGUGUUACAAGUUCUCAUGAUAAGUGCCUUUAAUAAUCUGCAGAUCAAACUAUCACUACAUAACUAUAUAACCAGGCUUAGAAAAAUAGAAAUGAAAAUAGACAGAAAUGACUCAGCCGUCGACAAAGCACAGGAAGUGUGUGAUGAACAUGUAGCAUAAGCAGAAUAAAGAUCAUUAUUUAGUAACAGCGAGAUCAAAACUUUUGCUGUACCAGUAUAAGAUCAGCAUCGUUUGCCAUUCGGAUGGCUUCAUUUUUGGACACUACACCAAUCUGCAAAGUAUAAAGCAAAUCGACUAAUUGAGAACUUAUUCUGCAGUACAGCACAAAAUAUAAAGCAAAACAUAAAGAAAAGGAACAUAAUAUACAACACGGGAAUAAGACUAAAUGGUGAGACUAACCAUAUUUUGCUGCUCAUCCAAAAGCCUUACAGUUGAUGACCUGAACUAAAACAAGUCAGUUCGAUUAGGAAGUUAUCCAUUAGAUGAUACUUUUAUACCCCCUUUAUCUACUAGCGGAAGAUAUCAAUUCAAUUAUGAAGUUAUCCAUUAGAAUUUGGACUCCUACAAAACCUUUUGGGAAACAAAGGUGAAACCAACACUUUAAUAGUUCUUGUCAAAAGUUUUAUGUUAAAUAUCAAGCUACCUAAUAAGACCAUCCUUCACAUUGUCUUCAUAGAGGCAAACCAACAAACACUUUAUAUCCAUCCCUUUCCGACAAAAUCAAACUUUGAACAUCAAAAAUCUAAACUUUAGGCCUCAUUUGACACCCCAAUUCCAUUUUUUUCCUUUUUUCUGUUGUUGUCAAAGAGGCAAACCAACAAACACAUCUCAGCAUCUUCUUCCACCAAAAUCAAAUUUGGACAAUCAAAAUCUAAACUUCAUGCCUCCUUUGAUACCAAUUUCGCUUUUUUGUUCCCUUGAACUCAAAUUCAAUGCAAUUGAACAACCCAAACAUAAAUCAAACCAACAAUAGCAAAGAUAAACGCCACAUACUUAACCCUAUCAAGAUCGAGCGCGGGAUCGUAGUCGGGGUCGGCGAUGCGAGCAUCCCCCUGCGGCCGCCUCGACUCGCCGUAGCCUCCCCCCGGCCGGUACCCUCCGCCGCCUCCGCCGUACCGCGCCACCACGGCCACCUUGGUCGCCGGGAAAACCCUACCCUCUCGAAUCGGCUUCUUGGGGAAUCGGACAAAGAACGAAGAACGGGAGACGGCGGGUUUCGCCCUAUGCGGCGCGGGAGUGGUGGGGGCCAACGAAGGAGGGGGAUUGAAGGCGAAAUCCGUGACUCUCGCCAUGGAUAGUGCUGCUCCAAAACUUCGCCGAGGAAGAUGACGAAGAUGACGACGAGGGGCUCUUCCCCGCUCAGUAGCCACGAAUUGGAGCGGGUAUAGAGAUUCUAGGAUUAGGGUUUGAUCGCAUUCUCAGCAGUAGAGUAGGGUUUGGGCCAUGAGAGGGGUAGAGAGAGAAAGAGAGACGUUGGAGGGAGAGGGGGAAUUUGGAGGAACCUUAUCUAUUUUCUCCGCCAUCAAUAGUGAUCCAAGUUUGAGACUUGGGAAACGAACUUGGGACUCGGGAAUCGUGAAGAGGGGAAAACGCUUCGAUACGGAAACAAUAAUACUCUUUUUAUGUUAAUUUCAUACGUGUCCUGUAAAUAUAGUGAAUGGUAAAUAGUUUCUAUAAAAUUUAAUUUAUAUAUAUUAAUUUUUAAAAAAUUUUAAUACUUUUAAAUAUGUUUCUCUAAUUUAUUAUUAUUAAAAAAUUAUUUAAAUUUUUAAUUUUGCAAUAACAAAUAUGUUCCUCCAUAAAGCAUAACAGUAUAGUAUAAGAGUGGUAAAAAUACCAAAUAUUAAUCAAAUUAAGUAUUUAACCUAUAGCUAAUUAAAUUUUCUAAUAGAUUCUAAUGAUAGGAACAUAUUUGAAAAUAUCAGAACUUUUAUAGAAACAAUAUAUAAAAGUUAAACUUUGUAGGGAUAUAUUUGUAAUUCACUAUAUUUGCAGGGACUUGUACGAAACUAAUCCUAAUAUUUUUAUCUUGAGACAGGCUACUAUAUUAUUAGUUGUACGGAAGUCUCCGUGUUCAAUGAUGCAUCUUCUGAAUCGACCACCAACUCUAUUAGAUUUGUUCAAUGAUGCAUCUUCUAAAUCGACCACCAACUCAAUGAUGCAACUUCUGAAUCGACCACCAACUCUAUACUAUUAAAAGUAUUUGAAAAUCAAUUUUUAUUUUUUUUUAUAUUAUUUGACUGGUGAUCAAAAGGUCUCAAAAUUGACAAGUUUAACGGCCGAUAUGAUGCGUUUGUAAAUUUAAUGAUAUAAACAAUCCAAAUUCGAUAAAAUAUUUAGGCUAAAUUACAGAAAACCUUUCAGUCAAAAUUCAAUUUUUCACUUUUUUUUCCUAUCAUUUAAAAAUCUAUACUUUGCCCUUUUGUAAAAUGAAAAAUGUUCACAGGAGGUACAGUGUGAACUGUGAUAACAAAAUGACUAUUUUGCCCCCCACCAUGUUCACUAAAAAAAAGACUGAGGGUAUUUUUGGCAUAAAAAAUAUAUAAUAAUAUUUUAUAAACGGAAUUCUAACGGAGUACUAACGGCAGAGGAUGAAGUAAAUAUUUUUUAUUUUACAAUGGAGCAAAGUGUAGGUUUUUAAAUGACAAGGGAAAAGUAAAAAAUCGAAUUUUGACAAUAGAGUUUUAUGUAAUUUAGCCAAAUAUUUAUAACAAAACCUUCACUAUUUAUAGUAAGAUCAAUAUAUCUGAUAUUAAAUUUAAAUUUUUUAUUAUUUUUUUUUAUAAAAUUUUUAUUUUUAGUCGUUUAUUCUUAGAUUACUCGUUUGAUGGAUAAUGAUGUCAAAAAAAUUAUGAAAUUUAGUUAAAUACUUUCAAUAGUAUUGAUCGAGUCUAACAGUGUUGAUCAUCGAUUUGAAGUCACAUCAUCGAAAGUAACUUGUAGUAUGGAGGCCUUCGUACUAUAGUAUAGUAGUCAGACUCAUUUUAUAUUUGUGAUUCAAAUUACUAUUAAUAUUGUAUUAUACUCUUUUUGGUUCUAUGUAGUAAUAAAAUAUCGAAUUGGUGUGCACGUAACGAUUAUACUAUUCUAAAAAUACUCUUACAAGUAAAUUCUAUAAUAUUUUAUUAAAUUUGUAAAAUAGUAAAGAAUUCGCUUGUUAAGUAUAGUAUUGCUCUUUUGUAUUUGUUUGGUUUUGGCACAUGUAGCAGUGUAAUGUGGGUUGAUGCCGAAAUUGAUUGGCCUAAUUUUUUUUAUUUUUAAAUUUUACUAUUUUUAAAAUUUAAAGUUUAUUUUUUAUUUUUUAAGAUUAGAUUUUUAAGUAAUAUUUUACUAUUUAUUCAGUAAUUGAAUUAUUUGUAAGUUCUAUAUAAUUAUUUAAAAAACAUUUAUUUGAAAUUUGAGUGGGUUUUAAAUUAUAUUUGAAAGAAAAAAAAGGAUUUAAAAAAUAUCAAUAAGAAAAAGUGAAAAAGGGUUUGACAAAGUACGUAUAUCUAAACAGUACUAUUAGAUUGCUCAUAUUUUAUAAUUUACUUUAUAAAUCUCUAUUAAUAAAAUUUUUAGUCAGUUUUAUUUUGAUCUUUGAACUUUAAGAUUGACAUUUGAGACUUUAAACAUUUAAAAUCAUUUCACCUAAAUUGCGAUCGCGAGAUUAUUGUUUGCAUGUGGUUCAUCAAAUUUUUACUGUGCCAUGAACUAAUAAGUACUUUGCUAUCCAUCUUACACUUUUAAUCCAAUAGUUCAUUUUUUAUGUAAAAGAAUUAAGGGCCUUCUCAAUGAGUUCUCACUAAGAUAAUUUGGUAGUCGUAUGAUUCAAACUGCUAGUGAAUUUUAAAAGGUUUGCUCCGUUCUCAGUAGUGGGAAAAAAAACCUUGAAUAAAAUGCCCUUCGUUCAACCUUAUUGCACUUUCCCUAAAGGAUAAAUUACAUAAAAUUUUUCUGUCAAAAUUUAAUUUUUUAUUUUUUCUUACUGUCAUUUAAAAACCCACACUUUGCCCCCUUGUAAAAUAAAAAAUGUUCACUUCGCCUCCUGCCGUUAGUAAUCUGUUAGGGUUCCGUUUAUAAAAUAUUAUUAUAUUUUUUUAUGCCAAAAAUGCCCUCAACCUUCUCUCCUGUGAAUAUAAUGAGGGGCAAAAUGGUGAGGGGGCAAAAUGAUCAUUUUGUCAUCAUAGUUCACACCGUACCUCCUGCGAAUAUUUUUUCAUUUUACAAUAGAGUAAAGUGUAGGUUUUAAAAUAAUAGGAGGGAAAAGUAAAAAAAUCGAGUUUCAACAGAAAAAUUUUUUGUAAUUUAGCCUUCCCUAAAUUAGUCGUUCAAUCUGAUGUUGAAAUUUGAAUAGAAAACUUUAAAAUUGAGAUAGACCAUUAAGAUUCACAAAUCACGAGUGGGGUGAAUUAUAUGACUCAUCAAACUGUCGUAAUAAAAAUUCAUUGAGAAGCUUCUCAACUAAGUUGUGCUAUCCAGUGGAUGGUAUGGUCGAAGUAGAUAAAUUUAUGAUACAUAAUGCAAGGUAUAUUCUUAGCAUGCGUGAUUCAAAAAUUUACAAUUAAUUAUUUUGCGCAUUAUUUUUAUUUUACUGAAAAAAAAUCUGCCAUCAUAUAGUAAAAUAAAUUCUUUUGAAAACCACAUAAUAUAAUGAUAAAUAUUCAUAAUAAAAUAAAAAUAAAAUUAUAAAAUAAUUACGUAUAAAUUUUUAAACUACAAAAUAACAAAAUAAAAAUACUCUAAACCAUCAAAUAUUUAACUAUAAUUUUUAAAUUAUAAUAUGGUAAAUCAUUAUAUAGAAAAAAAAAGGACUUUUUUCUUAUUUAUACCUAACUACUAUUCAAAAUUUUUAAAUUUAUUCUAAAAUUACUAACUAUUCUGUUACGACUCCACCUCGCCGCAACCCCGAUGACGACCUAGAUCCGAGGAUGGAUGGCGGUGAGGAAGAGCGUGGAGCUGGCUUAGCUAGAUCUGAUACUCGGGAGAGAGAUUGAUGAGAAUCAGAGAGAAUUUGAAAAGAAGAGAUCCAGAUCUGAGGGAAAAGAGGGAUUGAGGAAGAAGAAGAAGAAGAAGAAGAGAUUGGAAUUUGAAUUGAGAGAGUACUAUUCCAUUCAUACCCUUACAAUCGAAUGCCUCAGCUACUUAUAGCUACUGCUAAGGCUAAAAUUGUAAUUACAUUCAUAUGCAAAAAAUACUAAAAGCAAGUAUGGUAUUAAGUGGGCCUUGUUGGAUCCACCUCCCUACUGGUCCGGUCAACUCCACCCAGAUAGCUGGAUCUGGUGUACUCCAAGGUCUCCUCAAACCGGUUCAGGUAUGGAUAUUACAACCGCACCUUUAUUGUCCUCUUCUACUUCCCCUCUAUCCUUCGACAAUGCCCUAGGCCAUUCUCCAUGUGCUUCCUCCCCUUUCCUCCCACACUUGUAUUACAAUCCCUCCUCCAACCAAACAAUCCUUGUCCUCAAGGAUCAAAGUGAGGAAAUUGCUCCUUGAGGGACCCGUAGUCCUCCCAAGUUGCCAUGGUGCUCGGCAGGGUGCUCCAGGUUACCAAAACUUGCGCCUUGGACUUGUUCCCCUUUCUCACUGUCCUCCUCUCCAAGAUUUUCUCAGGCGCGGUACACAGUGUUUCUUCGUCCUGGCCGGGCGGUGCUUCUGGCGUGGCCUGUUUCCCCAUCGGUGGGCUCUGUUUGAGUAGCGAAACGUGGAAGACAGGAUGUACCUUGGACCCUUCGGGCAGCCGUAACCGAUAAGCUACUGCUCCUACGCGCUCCAGGAUUUCGUAAGGCCCAAAGUAGCGUGAGGUCAACUUAAGGUUCCGACGGGCCGCUACGGUUUGCUGUCGGUAGGGUUGAAGUUUUAAAAACACCAAGUCGCCAACUUUAUACUCUUUAUCCACCCUUUUUUGAUCUGCCAUUUGUUUCAUCCUGUUCUGCGCCUUGAGGAGGUUUUCCCUUAGGUCCUGAGUCACCCUCUCUCGUUCACACCCCCACUCCUUAAGUUCUUCUGUGAUACUCGAUUGUAGGUUGGCCACUAAGUAGUUCGGGGGAGCUCGACCAUAGAGAGCUUGGAACGGGGUGGUUCCGAGGGCUGUAUGGAAAUUGGUGUUAUACCACCAUUCCGCAUGCGCAAUCCAUCUGUACCACUUCUGUGGUUGCUGAGAGCACAAGCAUCGCAGAUAGGUUUCGACGCACCUGUUCAGUCGUUCGGUUUGUCCAUCGGUCUGAGGGUGGUAGGCUGAACCCAUCGCGAGCUUAGUUCCCAACAUCUUAAACAGCUCCCUCCAAAAUUCACUUGUGAAGAUCUUAUCUCGAUCUGAGAUGAUCUUGCUUGGAAGUCCAUGUAGCUUAUAUAUAUUAUUGAAGAAAGCCCGGGCCACAGUUUGGACAGUAUAAGGGUGUGCGAGAGGAAUAAAAUGCCCAUACUUAGAAAACCUAUCCACCACGACCAUUAUGGAGUUUUUACCUUCCGAUCGAGGAAGCCCUUCAAUGAAAUCCAUCCCUAUCUCCUGCCAAGCUUGUUGAAGUACAGGCAGGGGUUGUAACAGCCCUGCAUAGGGUUGAUUAUCGAUCUUAUUCUGAAUGCAUGUGGUGCAAUUCCUCACCAUAUCAUCUACAUCCUUCUUGAGACCCGGCCAAUAGAAUGUCUCUUUAAUUCUUUUAUAUGUGGCUUGUUGCCCCGAGUGGCCCCCUAAUGCAGAAUCAUGCAUCUGUCUGAGUACUCGGUUCCUCAACUCUUCUCCCUUCCCAAUGUAUAACUUCCCUUUGUAGCGUAGUAAGCCCAGAUCAUAUGUGUAACCUGUUACAUCAGCCUUUUGUGUAGUCAGCUGCUCAAUAAGUUUUUGACAAUCCCCAUCCUCCAGGUAGCUCUUCGAAAUCUCAGUAACCCACUCUGGUACAGCUGCCGAAAUGGCCUUACUACUUCCUUCUUCAAAGCCCCGGCGAGAGAGAGCAUCAGCCGCUUUAUUCUCCUUUCCCUUCUUGUACUGUAUUACAUAGUCUAACCCAAGUAACUUCAACAUCCCUUUUUGCUGUAUGGCCGUAGUUAUUUUCUGCUCAAGCAAGUACUUAAGGCUCUCGUGGUCGGUUCGGAUAAUGAACUGCCUCGGGCUAAGAUAAUGCCUCCACUUCGACACCGCCAUCAAAAUUGCCAAGAAUUCCUUCUCGUAGGUAGAUAACCCCAGAUUUCUUUUACUUAUUGUCUUACUCAGAAAGGCAAUAGGUCGCCCUUCUUGGGUUAACACUGCUCCUACCCCUUGGUCGCAAGCAUCAACCUCGAUGACGAAGGUUUUAUCGUAAUUGGGCAUCGCCAGUACAGGAGCCUCAAUCAUCAAUCUUUUUAGUUUGUCGAAGGCUUCUUGGGCACUGGAACCCCAGUGGAACCCUGAUUUCUUAAGCAACUCUGUUAACGGUCUGCUAAUGGCCCCAUAGCCUUUGAUGAACUUUCGGUAAUAGCUUGUCAAUCCUAAAAAUCCCCUCAGUCCUUUUAGAGUGGUUGGUAUUGGCCAUUGCUGCAUUGCUUCAAUUUUACUUGGGUCAGUGGCAAUUCCUUGCUGAGUAAUUAUGUGGCCCAAAUACUCGACUCUCUCCUGACCAAAGAAGCAUUUUGUUCUUUUGGCAAAAAACUUGUUUUCUCUCAAGAUCCUCAGUACCAUCUCUAAGUGUCGAGCGUGAUCUACUAUUGUUUUGCUAUAAACCAGGAUGUCAUCAAAGAAUAUAAGAACAAAUUUCCGCAGUAAGGGUGCGAAUACCUCAUUCAUGGUUGCUUGAAAAGUUGCUGGCGCGUUUGUUAGCCCAAAAGGCAUCACCCGGAACUCAUAAUGGCCCAAAUGAGUCUUGAAGGCUGUCUUGGGAAUGUCUUCCGGCCACAUCCUGAUCUGAUGGUAUCCUGAGCGAAGGUCGAUCUUUGAAAAAUAUUUAGAGCCACCUAAUUCAUCAAGUAACUCUUCAAUUAUAGGUAUAGGGUAUUUAUCCUUUACAGUGAUGUUGUUGAGCUGCCUGUAAUCAACACAGAAUCGCCAACUUCCAUCUUUCUUCUUUACUAACAAUACUGGGGAAGCAUAUGGACUUCGGCUUGGCUGAAUAACCUCAGUGGCAAGCAUUUCUCUAAUCAACUUUUCCAUCUCGUUCUUCUGUUCGAAGGUGUAUCGAUAAGGCCGCACAUUGAUCGGUUGUGCCCCUGUUUGUAGCGGAAUCCGAUGAUCUUGUGGCCUUUCUGGCGGCAGACCUUGUGGCUCUCUGAAAACAUCCUGAAAUUCUUGCAAAACAGUCUGAAUUGACUGUGGAAUAACUUUAUGCUCCCCUUCGUUUACACUGGUGAGUUGAGCGAGGGCACAGCAACUUCCUUCUAAGUACUCCUGUCUCCAUUGUUUGGCCGUGAUGCUUCUGAUUGCUCCCUUAUCUACCAAGCCUUUCAAUUCCACCUGCUUACCUUCUUUAGUGAUAGUAACCGUUUGGUUUUUAUAAUCGAAAGUCACGGGACCAUGCACCUUUAGCCAAUCGAUUCCCAAUAUCAUGCCCGACCCUUCCAACCUUAUCACUCGCAGGUCAGUCGCAUAUCCUUCUCCUUGCAUUUUCCACGCAAACCUUGGACACUUCAACUUACUAAGCACCUUCUGCCCGUUUGCCACUGUUACUGUCAAGGGUGUAGUCGUGGUGAUAGUCGCUUUGAUCUCUUUAGCAGUGUUUAUGUCGAUGAAACUGUGGGUACUUCCCGUAUCAACAAGUAUAAUGAAGGUCUUCCCUUUUGCUUCUCCUGGAAUCUUGAUAGUUUCUUGGGGAUUUUCAGCACUCAAUGCGUGCACCGACAAUCCGCAUUCUUCCACUUCCCUGAUUUCCUGUUCACUAUCCUCUGUCUCAUCUUCCAAGCAUUCUUCGUCGUAGAUCUCAUCAUAAAUCCCAGGGGUCUCGCUCGUAGCCUCCAUGAAGUGUAUGGUCUGUGUUUUGCACUGAUGCCCAAAUGAGUACUUAUCCCCGCAUUUGAAGCACAACCCUGCUGCUCGCCUUUGUUCAAUGAGUUGUUUAUUGACUGGAGAUCUCUCUGUGCUCUUCGUGGGUGCAGUCGAGCUGUUGCUUUUGGAAUUACUGCCAGAUACCACACUGCCUUGGUUUUUAAGCCAUAUCUUGUUCUUUUUCAUGACUGCCGCCAGAUUCUGCUCUUGUAAUCUAGCCAACUCGUAAGCUUGUGCGACAGACUUAGGCCUCAUCAUUUUGACUGCCGUUUUGAUUUCCUCUUUGAGUCCACUUAAGAAACUCGACAAAAAAUAUCCCUGAGCGAAUUGGGAGUCAGUAGUCAACAACCUGGAUCUUAAUUCCUCGAAUUGCUCUUGAUAUUCUUCCACCGUCCCUUGUUGUGACAACUUAUUGAAUUCCUCGACAACAUCGGUUAACCCGUUUGCAUCAAAUCGAUGGCAAACCUCUUGCACAAAUAUUUCCCAAUUAACUACUCCUUUUUCUGCAAGAAACCCAUGGAACCAUAUGUCGACCUUCGGUUCUAAAUGCAUACAUGCUAAUUCCAGUUUCUGAUGCUCUCGAAUGCCAUAGAUAUCAAAAUAUUUCUCACAUUUCCGAACCCAGCUUCUGGGAUUGCUCCCGCUAAAUAUCGGAAACUCCAAUCGAGGAAAUGGCAAGGUAUGAUUAACUCUAUUGAAUAAGUGGCAUGAAUUCAUGUCCUCACGUGAUGCUAAAGCAGGUGGGGUUGGUAAUAUACCUUUCUCUUCUUGUGCCAAUGACCCUGUGGUUCCCUUGGACGAAGAUCCCAUCGACUGGUUGAUCAUGAUCUCCAUUAAUUGCUCGAUCUUCUUUGCCGUACUCGCGGAAUCUUUACGCAGUGCUUCAUAGAGGUUAUGCUCUUCCUCCUUCAUGAUGUCUAUCUUAUGACUCAGCUCUUCGAAUCUUUUGUUGUUCCCCGUGGAUAACUCUUGGAACUGCUGCUCAAGGGAAUGGAUCUUUUCAUCGAGCACCUUAAGCCUUGUGCCUUCCGCCAUUGUCUUACUGACAAACUUGAAUCGGUUACUUCUAUCGGACCCGAUGGUUGCCUGAGGAAAUGACCCAACAGUAAGAUCUUCCCCGAUGAUGAUACCCUGGCUCUUAUUCUCUAAUUCUCACAAUUACUGGUGAUUGACCUUGUAAUCCAGACUCCUCCCUGAGGUGGAAUCAGAUUGCGGCCAAUUUCCUCCCUGUGUUAGCUCGACAGAUCUUCGAUCUGGAACUAACGUGGGAUUCACCAGUUGCUCCCUGGGACCGAGACAGCUCUGAUACCAAAUUGUUACGACUCCACCUCGCCGCAACCCCGAUGACGACCUAGAUCCGAGGAUGGAUGGCGGUGAGGAAGAGCGUGGAGCUGGCUUAGCUAGAUCUGAUACUCGGGAGAGAGGUCGAUGAGAAUCAGAGGGAAUUUGAAGAGAAGAGAUCCAGAUCUGAGGGAAAAGAGGGAUUGAGGAAGAAGAAGAAGAAGAAGAAGAAGAGAUUGGAAUUUGAAUUGAGAGAGUACUAUUCCAUUCAUACCCUUACAAUCGAAUGCCUCAGCUACUUAUAGCUACUGCUAAGGCUAAAAUUGUAAUUACAUUCAUAUGCAAAAAAAUACUAAAAGCAAGUAUGGUAUUAAGUGGGCCUUGUUGGAUCCACCUCCCUACUGGUCCGGUCGACUCCACCCAGAUAGCUGGAUCUGGUGUACUCCAAGGUCUCCUCAAACCGGUUCAGGUAUGGAUAUUACAACCGCACCUUUAUUGUCCUCUUCUACUUCCCCUCUAUCCUUCGACAAUGCCCUAGGCUAUUCUUCCUGUGCUUCCUCCCCUUUCCUCCCACACUUGUAUUACAUAUUCUUCCAAAAUUCAAUCCCUUUAGUGAAUCCUAAGAGAAAUGGAGAUAUUAGAAGGAAUUUUCUUAAAAAAUCAAUAAGAAUAUUUUGGUUUUAUAAAAAUAAAUAAAAUAUUUUUUAAAUUUUAAAGAUCAUAUCUAUUACUAUUACUAUUACUAUAUACUAAAGUUCUUGGACUAAUAUUACUGUGCUGCCACGUAUCACCUGACUGCUUCGGUGCAUCUGGUGCACCAUCGAUCACCCUUUCCUCAUCUCUCUCCCUACCUAUAUAUAUAUAUAUAGAGAGAGAGAGAGAGCGCGCUCCGUGCUACCGAUAGCAUAGUAGCCUAGUUCUAUAUAUAUAACUAGGCUACUAUGCUAUCAGUAGCACGGAGCGCUCCGUGUUACUAAGUUGUUUUUGAUAAUGCGGCUUCCAAAUCGACGAUCGGCUCCGUUAGACUUGAUCAACACUAUAGAAAGUAUUUAGAAACUAAAAUUCAUAAUUUUUUGAUAUCAUUUAUCUAUCAAACAAGUAGUCUAAAAUUGAACGGCUGAAGAUAAAAAUCUCAUGAAAAAUGAUGAUAAAAGAUUUAAAUUCAAGAUCGGAUAUACUAAUCUUACUCAAAAUAGUGAAAAGAAUUUUCUAUAAAACUUUCAUCGUAUUUGGAUUGUUUUACACCGUUAAACUCACAAACACACCACAUCGGCCAUUAAAAUUGUCAAUUUUGAGAUCUUUUGAUCACUAGUCAAAUUAUGUCAAAAAAAUUGGAAAUUUAGUUUCCAAAUACUUUCAAUAGUGUAAAUCAAGUCUAACGGAACCGAUCGUCGAUUUGGAAGGCGCAUCAUCGAAAGCAACUUGGUAACACGGAGCGCUCCGUGCUACCGAUAGCAUAGUAGCCGGACUCAUAUAUAUAUAAUACUAUAUAUAUAUAUAUAUAUAUAUAUAUGGAGAGAGAGAGAGAGAGAGAGAGAGGUAUACUAUCGGUAGUACGGAAGUCUCCGUACUACGAAAUUAUUUUCAAUGAUGCGACUUCCAAAUCGGCGAUCGGUUCUGUUAGACUUGAUCUCCACUAUUAAAAAUAUUUGGAAACUAAAUUUCGUAAUUUUUCAAUAUUAUUUGGCUAAUGAUAAAAAGGUCUCAAAAUUAACAAUUUUCUACAUUAUGGAUAAAAUAUACUAUAUUUGAAUAUUUAAAAGUGCUCACUCUCUCACUUUAAUCUUUAUUUAAUAUUACCGAUCGUCCCUAGAGCAAGUGGCAAAGGGCUUGGUGGUUGGUACCCGAACCUAAGUUCGAAUUCUAGUUGAUUCACAUUUCCAGUUAAGUUUAUUUCUAAAUAAAAUAAACGAAGCGGGUAGCGUGCUACCUAUCUCUAAAAAAAAAGAAUUAUUUAAUAUUUUUUUUUCUUUCUAAAUAAGAGAUAUUUAUAAAAAUUAGUAUUUUUAUUUGACUCUAUUAAUGACUUUACAUAAUGUAUAAUUUAUACUAAACUAUGAAUUCUCAAUAAUUUUGCUGACGUGGCAUGUUCUCCUUAAUUUAAAAUUUUUUAAUGUUUUGAUGUAUAUUUUCUCUCUCUUCUACCACGGCACAUCCUCUCAUCUCUGGUUUGCGCCUUCCUAUCUCCCCAAACAGCACGUCCGCUCAUCUCCCUUCUCCCGAAUUUUUUUUUUUUUUUUUCAUCUUUUAGCCUUCACGUCCCCCCAUCUCCCUUCCUCUCUCCCUCCUCUCCGCUCCCCUCUCCUCCCUCCCUAUCCCUUCCGUCACCCACCACCUCUCAUCCUUCACGACCUUGCCUCCUCGGAGGUCGUACAUCCUCAUGCCUCUUCUCAGGUUUUUUUUUCUACUCUUCCUUAUCCUCUCCCAUUCUUAUCAGAUUUUUCUACUCUCCUUCUCUCUCCCUCUCUAUCUCUUUCUCUCUCUCCCAACAAACCCCUCCUCUCCAUUUUCUCCCUCCUCCUCGGUCCUUCUGCCGCUGGGAACCACCUCCGCUUCUCGCUGCUGCGGACCCUAUCGGGGAAAAGCUCUGUCAGUCCAAUUGGGGCACCACUGCCGCACCCAUCUCCUCCUCCUCUGCCGCCGCCAGGCGACACCUCUAUGAGAGUUAUUGCUGAAUUUGUGUAGGAGAAAGUGAGGGGAUGUGAGCAAUGGCCGCGGCAAUGGCAGCACGGGGCUCCGGCAGUGGAAGGUUGGACAAGGAGGCGAUGGAUGCGGGGAACAGGUGAAGGUGCUCGAGAGCCAUCUUCCUCUUCCUUUUUUUUUUUUCUUUUUCCUAUUAUUUCCUUCAUUGCAAACAUUGGUUUUAUGGUUUGGUUUUAGGUUUGAGAGUUCGAAGAAAAGACGAAGGCCUUCUGCUGGUAAUUUGGUUGUUGGUAUUAAACUCCAAUUUUUAUCAUUAUUCUUAUGCAGAUUUGUAUUUUUUUGUGAAUUUUUUGUUGUUGAUAUCUCCUAAAAAUCCAAGUUUUAUCAUUUCUCUCUUAUGCAAUUUUUUUUGUGAGUUUCUGGGGUUGUUGGUAUUUUCCAAAACUUUGAUUUUUAUCAUUACUUUUAUGCAUUUUUUAAAUUUUAUAUUUGUGAAUUUAAGACGUAAAUUUUGAAUAUUAUAUUAUUGUUUAAUUCCUGUUGAUAUGAGUCAGUUUUAGGUAUCAAGUUGAGAUUUCUAUGUGAUUUAUAGGAAUUGUUUGAGCUGGGUUAUCUCCUUUGUGGCUAAAAAAUGUAUCUUUGUUGUUGGGUUGUUUGUCAUUGAAUCAUCUGAAUAUAGUUAUUUGUAUUUGUUGUUUAGGCAAUGAGGUUUAAGAAUUUUUUGUCCUUUUUUUUAGUUGACAGUGUGUGGAAAUACACUCAACUGUUUGUCAUUUGAAAUAAACCUCUCUUAUAAUUAAUAUCUACUCUGCUUUUGAUUAUUUUUAUAUACAUUAUUUUUAUCAAUCAAAUUAGAUGUUUCUGUUAAAUUCAGUAGUGAUUUUGUUAAAUUUAUCUCCCUUAACUUUUGCUUUCAUGGGCAGUUCUUAUAAUGUAUGUUGUACGAUAGGAUUUUUUUUUUUUUACUUUUAUUGCCUUAAAUUAUUCUUAAUAUCCCUUUGAAUGUUAUCUUUAAGACCACACUAAGCUGUUACUCAAAUAAAAAAUGCUUAGGAUGCUUUUUGUGUAUAUGAAAAGUAGUGCAAGGUAGAGAAGGAAAUCAUAUGCAAAGCACUUAGUUGAAUCUGUUUGUUUGGGGCCUACUGAAGCAAUGACCUAGAUACAUUCAUGUGUGAAUAGGUACACACAAAAAGAAAAAACUUCUAUAUAGGCGCAAAUAUAUGCACAGACACAAUAUUAGUAUGGAUAUAUGUAAGUUAUUUUCUGACCCAUUACUUGGUCCGUUACUAACCAAAAGUAAUCUUCAAUUAUCUAAAACAGGUUAAUCUUGCAUCGAUUAAUCCAGACAUUUUCGAAAAUGCCAAUCUUUGGUCUGGUCAAUUAGUGAAGCUUCUAGAACUCAGGCUUGUCCUAUAUACAAGACAAUUAAUAGAACCUGUUACAUACAAGUUUUUGCAGGAAUCCAGCUGGGCUAGCAAGCUAUACUCUGUACAAGUAUGGCAGCAUUACUACGGAUCUGGAGUCCUAUAGAUGUGGUACCUCACAAUAUUUUGCUUAAGCAUAUUCAAAUUUUUAAUAGUUAAUUACAAAUUUAAUUUUUGAUACUUGAUCGCUCUCUCAGUUUUGUACACAGAAUUUUAAUUUGAAUAAUUUAGUGCUGAAAUUUGUUCAAUGAAAUAAUAAAGCCUUUCAAUUAAUCUACGGUAGGAAAUUGGAUGACCAACUUAAUUUAAUUCCAACGUCUCAAUUUUGUCGUUAAUGAUGCUGAGAUUGUCAUGCAAUCAAUGGCAGAGUAUGAGAAUACCGGAAUUUCUACACAAAUAAUCUUCAAGGAUCCAAUUGCAGAAAUCAAAACCAAAAUAUGUGUUACAUGUUCAUCUCUCUUUCAGCUUGCAACGUUAAAUGGCUUGGAAUUCGAGGAGAUGAUCUGCAUCUUAUCCCUGAAGAGUUGUUGCUUGAGCUUAAACCACGUAUCUUCAAAUAGCUAACUAAAGAUUGGUAUGGUAGAUCGAGAACUAAAUAAUAGGGAAGUUAUAUCAACUUUUACCCAUGAAAGUAGGAAAACUGCAUUGAAAUGAACAAUGAACCAACGAUGGUCCGAGCAAUUUCCUUUGGGUUGUUGUGCAUGUCUUCAAAUAGCUAACUAAAAUUUGUGUGCUAUGUGUCAUCUCCAACAAUGUGAGUCUAAUUCAUCCUUUGAUUAGGAUUUCUUGGAUUUCUUUUGAGUGCUUCUAUUCUCAAUUUCUGUACUUGAUCUCUAAAUUAUGGCUUCUUUUGAAUUGAGUUUUUGGGAGUAAAUUUGUGUCUUAUUGAUAGUUAUUUGUUGAUCUAAAAAUAGCCUAAUUGAGAUCUUUUGCAUUCUUUGGGAUAUUACGAAAAGAUUUAAAAAAAUUUCUUUUUUUUGUUAUGGUUGUAAUAUAUAACUGUGAGAAGGGAGUUAGUGUCCUUUCUCUACGGAUGGACCUAAUCAAUAUUUUGUUAUCUUAUAGCUGGAAAUAUAUCUUUUCAUUUAAAUUUUAUUUCAAAUUUGUGCAUGUUUUAAAGUGCUAAGUGACUUUAUGGUGUCAAGACUUUGAUUUGUUCAUUUUUUUACUCACAUGUUGACUAGAUUUUGUUCUUUUUAAUACCUUUUUUUUCGCCUUUUGUUUGGUUGCUGCUAAAAUAUUUUAAUUACGUGAUGAUAAAUCUUAACAAAAGUGGCCUUUUAUUUAAUUUUGUGUUGGAUAUUGUAAAAAAUGUGAUCCUUUUACAGGUGUACCCAGAACUGCACAUUAGGAGCAAAAAAUUUUCCUGGGGGUGAGUGCCCUGAUACCUUAUUUUAUUUUGUCCAUGAUAAUUUGGAAUGGAUUGUAUAACUUGGCUCUGUGGUAAUUAUUGAUUGGAUAUUGUGAUAGUACACUGUUGAUUUAUAAGGUUUCAUUGUGCAAUUGUUAUCUAAUUAUAGGAAAAACUUUUGUCGCUAAGGGAUGGUUAGCAUACAAGUGUAAUUAUUAUCAAAUAUAGAGAUUAUGUUGUUUGUAAGAAAGAAGGCUUAGAUGAUUCUCUGUUGACAAUGAUACCAAGAUUUGAUUAUGGCGUCUAUUAUUGAAACAAUGGAAGGGCUCCAAUUGUUUUGAAUGUAAAAUGUUGGGCAAUGGACAUGUCAAGAGAAAUGGCAAAAAAUGAUGCAUCAUUCAUCAGAUGUUCAUCAAGUUUUUACGUCUCAUGAUCAGGGUAGAUUUGAUACUGAUUUGAUACUGAUUUUGGUUUAUUAAAUGUAUGUGUGAAUGCAAUGCGUUUUUAUUAUAGUGGUAGGACAUCUAUACAUAUGGUCUAUCACGAAUAUGUGUGAUAGUAUGUGGAAUGAUAUAUUAGCGUUGUGACCUUUGGCGCUUGAAUAGUAGCAUGAUUUCUUAAAUUUUUGUCUUUACUAUAGAUUACUUGAUACUUUCUCUUCAAAUAGAUAAACAAGAUGUUAUUGCGUAUUAAUAGUUAGGAGUUGAAAUGGGUGAUUGCUUAUUGUUGUUGCAUCUCUGCACCUCUUUCUCUCUAGAUAUGCUCAUAAAGACAUAAUAAAGCAGAUAACUAAGAUAACUAAGCACUAUGAAAAAACACUAAAACUAAAUGUUGCAUGUUACUGCAUCUAACUCUUUAUUUCUCUUGGUUCUUGCUAAAUUUCAAUAAAAAGAAUUCUUCUUCGGAUGAAUUAAGAGGACAAGAGUGUAACCUAUUGAAAAAUGUUAAUAAGCCCCUGUGACACUGAUUAAUGAACAUUCAUUCUGAUAUAACUAUUUUAAUAUUAAAAUCUUUCAUUUUUCUGUGCCACUGUGUACACAUUGUUCGUUAUCUUUUCUUUAUAAGUUAUGUUCCAUACAUCUACUCUUUAUUGUGCAUUCAGAUCUCCUAUUUUAAGUACUUAUCAAACAAUAAUAUAAUAUAUGUAUACAUUUAUACAGAUUACUGAACUUCUUCAAGCCAUAGGUCGCCGUAUAUAUAUAUAUAUAUAUAUAUAUAUAAAACUAUUUCUUUUAAUUUAUUGUGUUUACUGUUUGCUAAAAUAUAUUUUUUACUUAUUUUAUUUGUUUAUGAACUAAAGUAUCUUACAAUUUUGCUUUUUGCUUUUUUUAUAUAUAAAAUAAUAGUAUUAACUGUGUUUGGUAGUUCUUCUCUUACAACUUUCUCAUCCUUACAAUCGAUUUAGCAAUAAUAUGUGUACUAGCAAUUACUGUUAUUUUAUUGAUAUAUUAUUUUUUCUAUACUUUUUACUAAAUUAUUAUUUUAUAAUUUUUUAUUAAUUAAUUAUUAUAAUUAUUGUCCGCCGCAUCGCGCGGGGUUACUUAAGUAGUAUAAUAAUUGUGAACUUAAAAAUCGCACUCGCUGCAAAGCGCGGCGGCACUACCGUUAUACUUUCUCUACUGCUGUCUAGUUCCGUCGAUCGAAUCUCUCCACGAGUCGCCCUCUCCUUCAUUCCACCGAACGCAGAUAGGGGUGGAAACGAGCCGAGCUCGAGCGAGCUUAUGUCAGCUCAAAUUCGGCUUGAAAUUAAUUUCAAGCCUAAAUCUAGGCUCAAGCUCGGCUUGAAAUUAAUUCGAGCCGAGCUCGAGCGAGCCUAAUUUCGAGUCGAGCCGAGCUCGAGCUCUAAACGAGCCGAUUGAAAUUGUCAACAUUAUAUAAUCAAUAGUUUAAUUUUUAUAGAACAUUACCUAUAAUUUUAUGCAACAUGUUCAAUAAUUCAAAAUACAAAAUAAUUGUAAGAAAUGUGAGCUAGGGUGACUGCCUGACUAGGUGAGGGUCAGAGAGAGAGAGAGAGAGAGGGAAAAAAAUUGGGGAUUUGGGAAUUUGAAUGUUAUCAUGUUUUAGGGUUAUGUGCAAUAGUAAAAGUCUGAAAGAGAGAGUGUGUUAUGUAAAUUUAGAGUUGGGCUCAAUUGCACGGUUGUACUUGUUGGGUUUAUUUUAUGGGCCAACAAUAAUGGCCCAAAUUAAAUUAAAGCCUAUAUAUAAUUAAAAUACAUUAUAUAUAUAUAUAUAUAUAUAUAUAUAUAUAUAGAGAGUUGAGCUGGAAUACUAUCGGUAGCAAACGGGCUCCGUUGCCACCCAUUUAUUUUCGAUGAUGGAGCCUCCAAAUUGACGAUCGGUACCGUUAAAAAUGAUCUAUACCACUUGAAGUAUCUAGAAAUCAAAUUUCAUGUUUUUCCGAUAUUGUUCUCUCGUUCAUCAAGUGGGCGUAAAAAUGAACGGUUGAAAAUGAAUAUCCUCUAAAAAGUGAUGAUAGGAAUUUUGUAAUCAAGAUGGAGAGUGUAGAUCUUGUUCUAAAUAGUUUAAAGAAUUUUCUAACCAAAAUUCAAUUGAUUUGGAUAGUUUUACACCGUUAAACGAGAAAACACCUCACAUCGACUAUUAAAAUUACAAAUUUUGAAACCUUUGAUCAUUAGGUCAAUGAUAUCGAAAAUAUUUGGAAUUUAAUUUCUAGAUACUUUAAGUGAUAUAGAUCAUAUUCAACGGUACCGAUCGUCGAUUUGAGGGCUCCAUCAUUGAAAAUAAAUGGGUGGCAAGGGAGCCCGUUUGCUACUGAUAGCAUUCCAGCUCAACUCUAUAUAUAUAUAUAUAUAUUUUCGAGCUUUCGAGCUUUUCGAGCCUAAUUCGAACGAGCCGAGUAAUACUCAAGCUCGGCUUGAAAUGAAUUUCGAGCCUUUUAUUUUGUUCAAGCUCAGCUCAUUUAAUUUCGAGUCGAGCUCGAGCGAGCCGAAUAUCGAGCCGAACACGAGUCCAACGCGAGCCGGCUCGCUCAUUUGCCAGCCCUAAACGCAGAUGUCAUCUCGGUCCCCUCGCCUCCUCAUCCGACCGUCCAUCUCCAACCGCUUAUCUCCACCCUUCCUCCACCCCCGCGGGGCUUCCAGAGUCCGGCUUUUUCGUAAUUUCACUUCCCCCCCACCCUGGAAUCCUCUACUCCCUUCUUAUUAUUUAAUCUCCCCUUUCUCGGCCCUUCUUCUUCGCACUAUAAAGCAAGCUUGCUGAACUACAGUUCAGUCUGUCGGCUGUCGGCUACAAAGUUUUAAGAAAACUGUCGAUUUAUUGGUGCAACAAUUUUGCAAGAAGGAAAGAAUGGCGGGGGCGGGGAAGAAGGGGGGGAAGGCGAUAGGGAUCGACCUGGGGACGACGUACAGCUGCGUGGGGGUGUGGCUGCACGACAGGGUGGAGAUCGUGCCGAACGACCAGGGGAACCGGACGACGCCGUCGUACGUGGCGUUCACGGAGACGGAGAGGCUGGUGGGGGACGCGGCGAAGAACCAGGCGGCGAUGAACCCGCACAACACGGUGUUCGACGUGAAGCGGCUGAUCGGGCGGCGGUGCUCGGACCCGUCCGUGCAGAGCGACAUGAAGCUCUGGCCGUUCAGGGUGGUGGCCGGGCCGGGCGACAAGCCGCUCAUCGUCGUCGCGUAUAAGGGGGAGGAGAAGCGGUUCACGCCGGAGGAGGUCUCGGCCAUGGUGCUCGCCAAGAUGCGCGAGAUCGCCGAGGCCUUCCUCGGCCACCCCGUCGACGACGCCGUCGUCACUUGCCCCGCCUACUUCAACGACUCCCAGCGUCAGGUCUCUCUCUCUCUCUCUCUCUCUCACCAAUCCGGACCUGUUUACUGCUCGCAAUCCAGCUCGUUGUUCGGUUUCAACAAAUGAGCUCGAGAUCGAUGGUUUAAUAAACAAGACGAAUACAAACUGAAUUUUUAAGCACAAAAUCUUAAUAUUUUCCUCUUACUCUCUCUUUCUAUAUAUAUAUAUAUAUAUAUACAUACAUAGAGAGUGAAUUAUGCUAUAAAUAGCAUCAAGUUGCUGGUGCUAUUAAGUUUUCGAUUCUUGAAUAAAAAAAUAUGUGAUUAGAAUGAUAAUAAUUUUAGGUUGAGUGAAUGGUUUGUUGAAUAGUAUAAUUUAAUGGAUAUUCGAUAAUACUAAACAUUCGAUUAUACUAUUCAACUAAAUACCCACUCAACUCUAAGGAGCCCACAUCAUUCGAACCGCAUAUCUUUUAAUGUAAGGGCAGAAAACUUAGUAACACGAAGUCAUUGUUGCGAUUAAUAGUAUUUCAGCCUAGUUCUAUAGAUAUAUAGUCCGGCUACUAUGCUAUUAAUAGCGCGACGUAUUUGGUGCUACCAAGUUUUUCGCCGUUCGCCGUUAGAUCUAUUCUUUUAAUCAUUCUCACCUGUUAAAUUAUAUUAUUCAACCAACCACCCACUCAACCUAUGGAGCCCACAUCAUCCUAACCGCACAUCUCUAAAUCCAAUGACCAAAAACUUGAUAGCACCAAUGACUUGGUGCUAUUAAUAGUUAUUAGUCUAGUUUUAUAUAUAUAUAUAUAUAUAUAUAUAUAUAUAUAUAGUUCGGCUACUAUGCUAUUAAUAGCACGAAGUACUUGAUGCUACAAAAUUUUUCGCCGUUAGAUCUAUUCUUUUGAUCAUUUUUAUCCGUUAGAUCAUACUAUUCAACUAACCACCCACUCAACCAUAGGGAGUCCAUAUCAUCCUAACCGCACAUCUCUAACCGCACAUCUCUUAAUAUGUGAGUGAGUUGAACUAGAAUAUUAUGAGCAGUAAGUGAGUUUUGAUGUUACUGAUUUAUUGCUAUCAAUUUAUUUUUAAUGAUUUGACAUUCAAAUCAUCGAUGAAUAACAUCGUUGUACGUAAUUUAUUGAUUUAUUUUAAAAUUUGGUAAAAAAAUUAUAAAUGAUGACUUUUUAGAUUCAGCUUUGAAUUUUGAAUUUUGAAUUUUAAAAUUUUUUUUUAAAAUUUGGGUCUUGUUCGAUUUUUGUUGUAAUUUUCAAAGCCCAACGAUUUUGGGUUUGGAUUCAAAUUUUGGUUUCAGCAGCCGGGGUUCGGUUUGGGAUUUCGAAUUUUUAUCAACCCUGUUCCGUAAUCCGUAAUCGACUGGUUGAUAUUCCUACUCUGUUUUUCUAUCUAGCUGUAAUUUUUGUUAUUUUUUGGGACUACGUGGGUAAGCGACUACACUAUAUUUACAAUUGCAUACAACUGAUGAUACACCUACCUGCAGGCAACGAAGGACGCGGGGACGAUCGCGGGGCUGAAUGUGAUCCGGAUGAUCAACGAGCCAACGGCGGCCGCCAUCGCCUAUGGCCUGGACAAGAAGGCGGGGGGCCGUGCCGCGGAGCGCAACGUGCUGAUCUUCGACCUGGGCGGCGGCACGUUCGACGUGUCGCUGCUGACGAUCGAGGAGGGGAUCUUCGAGGUGAAGGCGACUGCCGGGGACACGCACCUGGGCGGCGAGGACUUCGACAACCGCCUGGUGAACCACUGCGUGGGCGAAUUCAAGCGCAAGCACAAGAAGGACAUAUCCGGGAACGCCCGCGCGCUACGGCGGCUGCGGACCGCCUGCGAAAGGGCGAAGCGGGCGCUGUCGUCGACGACGCAGACCACGAUCGAGGUCGACUCCCUGUACGAGGGGAUCGACUUCUACUGCACUGUAACCCGAGCCCGGUUCGAGGAGCUCUGCAUGGAUCUCUUCCUCCGUUGCAUGGAGCCCGUCGAGAAGUGCCUCCGGGAUGCUAAGAUUGACAAAGGCCAGGUGAAAGACGCACUAACAAACUAAUAAAUGAAAUUAAUUGUUAGAGCGGGAAAUUUAAUCUGAAUGUUGAGCUUGUGACUUUGGUCAGGUGCACGAUGUGGUGCUCGUCGGCGGGUCGACGCGGAUCCCGAAGGUGCNGCUCUGUUCAUGACGUUGUGCUUGUCGGUGGGUCCACCAGAAUCCCACGUGUCCAGCAGCUGCUGCAGGACUUCUUCAACGGGAAGGAGCUCUGCAAGAGCAUCAACCCGGACGAGGCCGUCGCGUACGGUGCCGCCGUGCAGGCUGCAAUCCUGAGCGGCGAGGCCCACGAGAAGGUGCAGGACCUCCUGCUCCUCGACGUCACCCCGCUCAGCCUUGGCAUCGAGACCGCGGGCGGCGUCAUGACCACUCUCAUACCGCGGAACACGACGAUCCCGACGAAAAAGGAGCAGGUCUUCUCGACCUACGCCGACAACCAGACCAGCGUGCUCAUUCAGGUUGUUUAACAACUAAUUACUCGACAAACUUACAUUGUCAGAAAACGGUUUUAAUUUUUCAUAUAUUUGACGCAGGUGUACGAGGGUGAGCGUGCGCAGACCAAGGACAAUAACCUCCUCGGCAAGUUCGAGCUCAAGGGGAUCCCCCCCGCGCCGCGCGGCGUGCCGCAGAUCCUCGUGACCUUCGACAUCGACGCCAACGGGAUUCUGCACGUGUCGGCCGAGGACAAGACGGCCGGGGUGAAGAACCAGAUCACGAUCACCAACGACAAGGGGCGGCUGAGCAAGGAGGAGAUCGAGAGGCUGGUGCGGGAGGCCGAGAAGUUCAAGGCGGAGGACGAGGAGGUGAAGCGGAAGGUGGAGGCGAAGAACUCGCUGGAGAACUACGCGUACAACAUGCGGAACACGGUGCGGGACGAGAAGAUCAAGGCGAAGCUGCCGGAGGCGGACCAACAGAAGAUCGAGAAGGCGGUGGAGGACACGAUCACCUGGCUCGACUCGAACCAGCUCGCGGAGGUCUCGACAGCAAAUUUUAUACAUCUCGCGACGUAGUACCAAUUUACGAUUGUUAGUAUAACAAUUUACCGUCUGCUGCAGGUCGACGAGUUCGAGCACAAGCUGAAGGAGCUGGAGGAGGUCUGCAAUCCUAUCAUAUCGAGAAUGUAUCAGGACGGCGGUGGUGCCGGGCCGGCCGGGAUGGGCACUGAUGGGUAUGGCGGCAGCGGAGGCGGCGGCUCCGGUGCCGGCCCAAAGAUAGAAGAGGUGGAUUAAUAGCUUUUGAAGCAGAAGUGUUAGUGUUACUUCAAAUACAAUGCAUUAAAAUGACUAGGGUCUAUGGUGAAAUAUAAUGUGUGAUGUUUUGGUUUUUUUUUUUUUUUUUUGUAAGUUUUUCUUUUACUGUGUAGCUCUUGUGUGUGUGUGUAUACUGCAUAAUAAGCUUUUGGCAUGUAGGUGCUUUUUGAUUAGUGGAGGGAAAGUAUAUAUAGCUUGUUGUUUUAGAUAAUUUUAUUGUUUAUUAAUUUUUGAAUUAUCCAACAUUUUGUCUUGGUCAAUUUUGGGCUGAGUAAUAACUGGCCCAAGUGAGUCCAAAGUCCAAUUGUCGAUUUGGGCUAAUCAAGAUCAAAUUGAGUAGACCCGAGAAUAUUUGGGUCGGGCACGAUACGAAUAUAGUGAUACGACAAUUCAUAACAAAUGCAAAUCACAGAAAUAUUUAAAUAAAAUUUUAUUUUAAAUAUAUUUUAAUUAUAUAUUGACUAUAUAUAAUAAUAUAUUUAGAAUAAUUAGAAUAUCUGAAUUAUAUUAAAGAAUAUAUAUGAAUGUACAUUACCUUGUAUAACUAUUUUAAAUUUGUUUAUAAAAAAACCAAUCCUUUAAAAUUAAUAAUUUAAAAAAUAUCAACCAACUAUCAUCACUAGUCCCAAUUAACUAUUUUCAUUAAAAAUUGCGUCAAUUAUUCUCCUAUUAUUAUCAUCUCAAAUUGGUCCAGCAACUUGGAAUCGUUAUUGAAUUCAGCUAUAAAAUUUUAUAAAAAUAAAAUUACACAUGAAGUUCACAAUAAAUUGAAUAAAAUUGCUUAGUAAACUAUCAAUUUUAAUUAUAGUAAUAAAAUAAAAUAUCUAUUUUAUCUAAAUUUUUAUUUUUAAAUUAUAAAUUAAGUAGAUGUUGAGAUAUGGAACAAGUGGCACACUAAUUUGUUUCGGAAAAAUUCUAUAAUUUAACUUACUAAUUUUUUAAAAUUUUUAGAUCUAUUUAAGACGAUGAUAAAGUCGGGAACAAUAAUUAAUGUAAUUUAUAUAAUUUUUUAUACACAAAUUAAUUGAGUGAGCAGUACUCAAAGUGCAAUGAGAUUUUUUUCUUAUAAUUUAAUCAAAAUUUUAAAAUAAAACAACUAUGAAAAAGUCAACCUAGAGCUUCUUAUAAAAAUUGACCAGGCAAUUGGAUCCAUCUCUUUCAUGGAAAAGUCCGACCCGUGAUGUCAAGAGGGACAAUAAAACCCUCUGUUUCAAAUAUUUGAUUGAUUUGGGAAUCAAGUUUUUUUUUUUUUUUUUUUUCUUUUUUUUAGCUAAGUAUAAAAUUUCAAAGAUCAAAGUUUCUUGGACAUUUCUCAGCUUAUUAGGAUUUCCAAUAAAGUUGAUAUCACCUUGUGUCGAAUAUAAAUAUUAAAAAUAUUAUUUUUAGUAAAUUUAGCUGGUAGAGAUAAUUUAACAUGAUAUUAGAACAGGAGGUCUCCUAAUAUUUUUAAUUUUCUCUCAUUUAAUUCAAGUUCAUGUCACGAACCUAAUAAAAAGUCUCGAGUCUAAACAGAAAGUCCAUGUCUUAAACCGAGAGAAUAGUUUUGAAUAAAUUAGAGUUUAUAUAAAAAUUACUUGCCUUCUCCUUUUUGUUUGUGUAGUUGUAGAACUGAAACUUUUUCAACCAGUCCUAACAGAAAGUGAAUAACGUAAAAACUGCAGUUGUGAGAGGUGAAUUAGUAUUUUAAUUUUUUUGGUAAUUAACUUUAUUUAACGGUAAGCUAAAGCCAAUUAUGCUAAAAAACAAUAGAAGUGUGGAUUUACGGUCGAAAACUACUUCAGCCCUCUUUAUUUUCGAUAAAACAAACGCACUAAAGCCAAACUCAAAAGCACAAUUUGAAUAAGGCGCAUGAAAUGAAGUUUUGCUUUAAAACUUAGGCUCCGUUGCAAGGAGAUUGCACUACGUGCGGUGAGAAAGAACAAUAAAAAUUAUCUUGUUUAUUUUCGUACGUAAUAUUGCGUUACGCAUAUCGCGAUUAGUCGAUUAUGAUAUAUUUUCUGCAGCCUCAUCGGAAAAUGCAGAAUCAUAUCCCUAUAUUUUUUUUUCUCAACUCUAUUUUAUUUAAUAAUGUUAGAUAGAUCUUAAUACAAAACUAGACCUUAAUUGUCACGAAUUUGGACCACUCGGCCGCGCACAUGCAUGAGUUGAUAAAUUUGGUUUUUGACGCUUCUAGAAACGUUUAAUACAAGCCUCCGUUAACUAGGAGGAAAUUUAAUUCCUUCUAGAAACUUUGUCACCAAAACAAUUUUUUAAGUUUCCAGGAAAGAUGACACAUCUUAAGUCCCAUGUCACCUAUUUGACUUUGUUGCGCUCCGGAGUUCAACAGCUGCUGUACCUAGGGACGAAACUAGAAAUUAAGAUUCGAGGUGGAGUCAAAAUUUAAAUUUGAUAGAAAAAAAUUCGACCUCAGAUAGUGAAAAAAAAAAUUUGUCGAAUUUACUGAGUAGUCAUUACUAGCAACAAUAACGACAAUAUGCUUAAAGAGAAACAAGACUGUAAGAGUUGACGGAAAAGAACCAAAAAAUUCGGAAAAAAAUUGAGAGACAAAUUUUAUUAAAAAAAUUAAUUCGGCCCCCUCAUAUUAAAAUUUAUAAUAUUUUACUUUUUAUUAUAAAGGACUUCUACAUAAUGUUAAAAAAUUUAGGAGUCGUGGCCACAGUGGGCCCCUCAAUGGCUCCGCCCCUGGCUGUACUAUCACAACACCUUACAUUUUGAGAAAUCGACCUGUGAGCAUCGGUCAGAUUUAAUGUGUCUACUUAGAUAAUAAUAAAUAUUGAUCGAUCUGCUGAUAUGUAUGCUCAUCGUUGUCGAAAUAUCACGUUUUUUUUCGUUCUACCGGUUCGUCCAAGUACUUAGCCUCUUAUCUACGUAUUGGAGAGGGACCUUCUUCCAAUCACUUUUGCAGAUGGUUCUAACAUCGGUCCCUCUCCAGAAUCAUACUCGCCUUCCAGAGACGACGCUAGCAGAGACGGACUUUAUGCAUCUUCCAGCCAUCCUUUUUUUAUAAAAAUAUCUGCUGUAGGGAUGCUCUUCUUUAGAACCAACCAUCGUACUUAAACGAGAGUUCCAGUGAGAUACGUUAUCAGUAUAUUAAGUGUUAGCCGCACAUGCAUAAUAAUUACGAUGUUCAAGCAGAGGAAUCUCUAUCAACUGCUCUAAACAAUGGUGGUCAUUUUUAAGUCGAAAAGUCUAAACAAUUAACUAUCCAAAAUUUGCGACUUAGUUCCCUUUUUUUUUUUUCAACCUAUGGUUUCUUUAAUUUUAGAAAAAUCUAAUAACUACUACCUAGUCUAGUUAAUUAAUUUGGUUGUUGUUUGAGUUGAAUUUUUUGCACAUAGGGGUAUACACAAUAUUCGUUCCGUUUCAAACUAACGAGUCCUGAGUUCGAGUCGCGAUUAAUUUAAAUAAGCAUAAUUAGAGAGAGAUUUACCAAAUUAAAUUAUUCACUUGUAAACCACAAGCUUAAUUAUAAGUUACUAAACAAGCCAAAUUAUACGUGGUAGGGUUACUAAAAAGAAAAAAAUCAAUAGGCUAAGUGCCAAGUUGCAUCCAAAAUAAUAUUAAUUGUUAAUAAUUACAUCAAUUUAAUUAAAUCAAAUCAGGUGCAUUAUAUUAUUUGUGGACUAUAUAUUAGUAAUAUUUUUUUCUCUCACAUGAUCAGAAUAUAUUCUUAAUCUCUCGAAUGCUUCGCUCGAGUUUUUAUAAAAGUUUAUGUUUGAGUAGUACAGCUUAUGGUAUCUUUUCCACAAAUUCAGGAGUAUUAAAAAUUAAGGUAAAUAAAAAAAAAGAAGCUAAAUUAUAGAAAAUCUUCAUAUAAAUACCUGUUUUUUUUUAUUUUUUUUCGACUUUUACGAAUCUAUAUUUUAUCAUCUUAAAAUUUUAGAAAUAUUUUCGAGAGGGUACGAUAUUAAUGGAGAGGGCAAAAUAACUAAAUCACUCUUAUUUCUUCUAUAAGAAAAAAUAUUUUUAAUAUAUUUCUGUUAUUUUGAAGGGUAUUUUCAGUAUAAAUUAUCAAAAAUAGACGGAAUAGUGAUGGAACCCCAACGGAGGGUUGCUAAAUGCAAUAACUUGAAAUGUUGAAGAGUAAAAUGUAGGUUUUCGAAAGUUGGAGAGGAAAAGUAAAAAAAUAGAUAUUUAUAAGAAAAUUUUUUAUAAUUUAGCCUAAAAAAAUAUAAAUUUGUAAUUUAUGAUUUUUUCACUUUUAAAAUUCAAAAGUUUUAUAUUUUAGAAUUUUUUGUGAGUGCGGACGUGAAGGGCUUUUAAUAAAACAACGUAAAAGACGUACAUAAUUUAUUUGAACUUUUGCUAUCUAAUUUUUUAAAAUUUUGAUUUUGCCAUCCAACUGUUCAAUUUGUUUGAUUUGAAUUAGUCAAUAUUACUGUGACUCCAAAUUUUAAAUAUAUUGUUCAUCUUUACAAGUUUAACUAAUAUAUUUUGUGCAAUUCUUGCAAAUUUUAAAAUCAAAAACAUCAUUAUCGACUUACUUAAAUCAAACAAAUUGUAAGGUUGAAUAGUAAAAUAAAAAAUUUUAAAGAUUUGGCAGCUACUUCAAAAUAGUCGAUAGUUCACACAAGUUUUUUAUAUUUUUUCCAUAAAAUUAUUAAAAAUACUGUUAUCUGAUAGCAAAACAUUUAAUAUUUUUUUUACAUCUUUUAAAUAAGAACAAUAAUUUCUUAUACAAUUUUGCUUUCGAAGUAAUUAAUUACUUAAAUUAAUGACUUAAAUGGGUUCCAAACUCUCACUCCCGUUAUUUUCAAGGAACUUGUAUUGCACAUUAAAAUAAUAACUUUAUGGUUACAAAAAAUAAAAAAAAAAUAAAAAACUUUGUUAAUAAUUUGUAUUUGGUAUCUAACACCUCAUGUGGAAAUAAUUAAUUAAUGUAAACCACAACUAGUUGCCCUUUUCUUAAGAACCCAAUUCCCAAAUCAACGGUCACAAAUUUUUGGGACCACUUACUACUCUCUAGGGACCUUUUAAAAAUGUAUUAAAAAAAGCACAAAAAGGAAAAAAAGUAGGCUAUUACUUUAGAACUCGUGUUCUAGAUAUAAUUUCCUAAACCUGGUGUAUCAUAAAACUAAAAUUGUUUUUGAGUUUAGGGCAUGUUCGUUUCGCCGGAAGCAGCGAGAUUCAUUGUAUGCGCGAUCUCGACUUUAUCUUGGUAGGACGCAAAAUUCUGUUUCCACUCUAUAUACAAAGUCGGGAUCGGUGCUGACAAAUUGUAUACUUUUAACUAUUCCAUGCGUUCGAUCUCCGAACUUAUCGGUCUCUUUCAAAUGUCCACGUUUGUGCGAUUCGAUGAGAUAAGGAGUUUUAUUAAAGCAGAAGUUUCGACAAAACAAAUAUGCCCUAAAUGCACGGUAAUUUACCGAACUUUUGGUCGUUCGUAGAUUUGCAAUUCAAACAGUCAAAAAUUUUAAACUAACCACUUAGAUAUAUAUAUUUCGAGUCCGGCUAUAAUGCUUGUAAAAGCACCAAUCACUUUGUGCUCGUAGGUUUUUAACCGUUAGAUCAGCACUGUUGAUCAUUUACACCUGUUAGAUUAUACUAUUCAACCAACCACCCACUCAACCCUAGAGGAUCCACAUCAUCCUAACCACAUAUUUUUUAAUCUAAAGGCCAAAAACUUAUAAGCACCAAUGUCUUGGUACUUUUAAAAGCAUAAGAGCUCAAUUCUAUAUAUUUCAUCAAUUUAAAACGACUGAUAUCAAUCAAAUAGUCAAGAAACAAUAAAAAGACACGUGUAAGUGACAUAAAUAAUUCUUCUGAAUAAUCAAAUUUUCUUUCGAUGGUAAAAUUAACCAAAAUUUUUAUAUUCAAUUAUCGACAAGCAAAUUAUCAUAUGCCAGUAACAUACAUUUCUAUCUUUUUUUUUCCUUUUUUUUUAAAAAAAAAAAUUUGUUUGUGUUUAGGGAUCUCCUACAUUUAAUCUUUGGGAAACACUAGCCUAUAAAGGAACACUGUGGUGUGUGCAAAAAUUUUGCUUCAUUGAGGAAAAGAACAAAGUAUAAUGGUCCUUAAUUUCUCUCCCCUCUUCUGAAACUUAUUGCACAGCAUCGUCACCCUAUCUCAUCCCCUACUUCUUGAGAUGAUCUUCGGUAUAGCAGUUGCAUUAUAUUAUAAAUAUAUUUCGAGCCAAUCAAUUUUUUCUUUUUUUUUUUUGAAAAAAAGGUACAAUAAUUUUUAUCUUUUUAAAAAGAUCUACGAUGAGAUAAAUAAACCACAGAAACACAAUUUGAUUGGUUAAAAGCAUGACGACAUGAUAUUACUGUUAUAUUUUAGAUUUUUUUUUUCCUAUAUAAUAUUAUUGGCAAAAAGCUUAAUGACAUAUAUUUGAGAUUUUUAAGUUAAAAUUUAAUUACUUUACAUUUUUAGCCCUAUGUUGCUCUUUUUUUUUUUUGUGUGGACGGAAAUGGCUUUCAAUAAAUGACUAUUCCAUUUAUUAUUUGUCGCGCUGUGUGAUGUAAAUAUCAAAUAAAAAUUGACGGUGGACAAAACGGUCCCACGAAUUUAAUAGCUCUAAAGCUAUUGAUAGUUACAGUUUUUUUUUUUUUCUUAAUUUCUACGGUGUGCGAAUUUAGUUUGACUCUCGCUUGGAGCACAAAGACGUUACGUCUCUGGCUCGUUUGGUUCGAAAAUUAGUAGAAACUAGUUAUAUCGGAAAUAUGUACAAAUAUAAAUUUUUGUAAGAAUAAAAAUAUUUUUUUUAUUUGGAUGAAAUUAUGAGUAUAAGCUGGAACUAGAAAAAUUAUAUUUGGAUGGUUAUUGAGAAUAAGAAAAAUAGUUGAUGUAUAAAUAAAAAAUAAUGAUAUUACUGCUGUAAUUAAAUUUUAAAUUUUAAACUUAUAAUUUUAAAUUGAAAAUUUUAACUUUUAAAUUUUAAAAUUUAAAAUUUAAAUAUUCAAAUUUAUAAAUUUUAAAUUUUAAAUUUUAAAUUUAAGACUAAAUUUAAAUUUGAAAUAUAUAAAAUAUCAAACUUAAAGUUUAAAAAUUUAUAAUAAUAAAUUUAAAUUUUAAACUUUAAAAUUUAAAAUUUAUAAUUUAUAAUUUAUAAUUUUAAUUUUAAAAUUAGAAAAUUUAAAUUCUAAAUUUUAAAACAAAACUCUCUCUCUCUCUAUCUCUCUCUCUCUACCCAGUGGGUGGGAACAACAGUUCCCACCUCUUAAGAGGUGGGAUCAAUAGUUCCCACCAUAAACAUUUCUUGUUUGGGUAUAAAGGGAAUAGCCCUCUUAUCCCCCUUUUAUACCUUUAUCCCUCUUUAUAUUCGAUUCAAACGGAGUGUAGAGAUAUUUGUUUAAAUAUUUUAUAAAUACACGACCUAAAUUUUUUAGCUCGAAAUUUUUUCAGCUCGAAAUUUUAACAGGCUGAAUAUGAAAAGCACUAAAUACUUAGUGCUUAUACGUUUCCCACUAUUAAAUUUACUCUUUUGAUCAUUUUUACCGAUUAAAUCAUAUUAUUCAAUCAAUCACCCACUCAAUUAAUUUUUAAAAAAAUUAUCAUCCUAACCUACUUUCCUUAAUUCAAGGACCGAAAGCCUACAAGUAUUAAUAACUAGUCAUUUUUAAAAGCAUAGAAACACAAUUCAUAUAUAUAUAUAUAUAUAUAUAAUUUAGAUUUUAGGCCAAUCAAAUAAUAAGAAGAUCUAUAUUUUAUAAAUUAAAAUUAUUAAAUUAAAAUUAAAAUUUUUAAUUUUUUAUUCAGCAAUAAAAUUGAUAAUUUCACUUGUUGCUUGUAAGCCAUCUCAAACCGAACAUAAUUUGUAUUUUUGAAAUCAUGCUUUAAAGGAUCAGUUUGUGUUUAGCUCAUUUAAUAAAGGAAAAUUUUCAAACACCCUCCCGGGAUUUCGCACUUUCUCAUUUUAGUACCCUAUGGUUUAAAGUGUAUCAAGUUAGUACCCUGUGGUUUCGCACUUUCUCAUUUUAGUACUCUGUGUUUUCAAGUGUAUUAAAUUAGUAAGUAUCAUGUGGUUUUAUUUUUCUAUCAAGUUAGUAUCCAGUUGUUUCAAUUUUCUCCUUUUAUUAUUAAUUUUAGGGUAUAUAAUUUAAUGAAUAUUAAACCACAGGGUACUAAAAUGAGAAAAUACGAAACUAUAAGAUAUUAACCCACAAAGUACUAACUUAAUAUACUUGAAACCACAAGAUACUAAAGUGAGAAAGUGCGAAACUACAUGAUACUAACUUGAUAAACUUUAAACCACGGAAUACUAAAAAUGAGAAAGUGCGAAACCACGAGGGUAUUUGAAGUUUCCUUUUUAAUAAACAAACGAAAAUGCAGUGGUCCCAAUUAGCUCAUGGUCAGCUCGCUGAGAUGAAUGAAAACUGGACACGUACAGUAGUCCACGAAAUGCGCGCAUACACCAGGUUCAGUGAAAAAUACCUUGUCAUCUUCCUCCCCCUUUCGUAUAUAUAUAUAUACAUACAUAUAUGAUAUCCAAUUGGGACAAUGACUCAGUAGUUUUAGCUAUACUUUUCGCUUUCCCUCGUUCUCGUUCUCGCCGCCAUUAAAAUUUCCUCGAAGCUCGCUCCAUCCAUUUCUCCCCACAUAUAUAUAUUUUUAGAGAGAGAGAGAGAGAGAGAGAGAGGGAGAGAAAUGGGGGAGGUGUUCGAAUCGUGCGUGGUGGGUCCGAGCGAGGAGACGCCGCGGCACGCUCUGUGGGUGUCGAACCUGGACUCGGUGGCGGCGCGUGGGUUCACGCCAACGGUCUACUUCUACCGGUCCGGUCCGGCCGGGCCGGCCGGGGAGGCGGUGGCGGCGCUGAAGGCGGCGCUGGGCCGGGCGCUGGUCCGGUUCUACCCGCUGGCCGGCCGGCUCGGGGCGGACCGGUCCGGCCGGGUCCGGAUCGAGUGCACCGGCGAGGGCGCGGCUUUUUCCGCCGCCCGGUCCGAUUCGACCGCCGACGAGUUCGCCCGCGACUUCGCCCCCUCGCCGGACCUUCGCCGGCGCUUCGUCCCCCCCGCCGACUCCGCCGAUCCCCCCUGCCCUUUGCUUAUGCUUCAGGUUCCUCCCCUUCUCUCUCUCUCUCUCUCUCUCAUUAUUAUUAAUUAUUAUUAUUAUUAUUUUUAUUACUAUUGGGAUUCUAGAUCUUUCCGAAUAUUUGAAAAUAUUUGUAAAAAUUUAUAAUAAUAAUAAUAAUAAGAAAUAGGCUGGAAUACUAUCAAUAGCGCCAAAUUAUUAUUACUAUUAAUUUUUUAGCACUUGAAUUGAAAAAUAUGCGGUUAGAAUGAUGUGUGCCCUCUAGGGUUAGUGAGUGGUUGGUUGAAUAAUAUAAUCUAACGGAUAAAAAUAACCAAAUCAUUAAAUAUAAUGGUGGAAAACUCGAUAGCAUCGGACCCUUAGUGCUAUCGAUAGUAUCCUAACCGGACUCUAAUAAUAAUAAUAAUAAUAAUAUUUUGGUCCGUAAAAAAUAUAUUAUAAAAUAUUUUUAAAAUUUAGAUAUUAGUCAUAUUUAGCUAAUCUGAUAAAGCUAAGUUUGGAAUUUUAUGCCCUUGUUCAGCUCGAAGUGGGAAUUAAAGUGCCCUUUGUUAAUUUUUUAAAAUUUGUUCAAAUAUCUUCAAAAUUUUAAAAUUUGUUAGUAAAAUUUAGAGUUUAGAAGAAUAUUUUAAAAAUAGAAGUGCAAAUUUUUUAAAAAAUUGAAUAGUGGUUGGAAAUGUAGAAAGAAAAGUUUCUUAUUUAAUACCUGCCAACUGUCCUAGGCAAUACUAGCUCUCUCUCUCUCUCUCAAUUGAUUUACACUUUUUUUUUUUUUUUGUCCUAUAUUUAUAGGAUAAACUAUAUAAAUAGUUUUCGCACUGUCUCUAUUUUGUGGUUUGGUUUUUGUAUUUAGUUCUUAAAUGUAAAAUAAUCUAAUAACUAACUACUGGCUAGUCUAGUGCAGUGUUAGUUAAUUCGCGAAUUGUUCGCCAAUUUUUGAGAAAAUGAAUUAAACUAUUGAAUUCGUAUUUUCCUGGAAAAUUCGCAAAAAAAAUGUAUUUUUUGGGGGAAAAAAAACCUAUUUGCGAAUUAUUCGCGGCGAAUUAUUCGCCCAAAAAAAGGGCCCGUGUCCCCCCCCCCCAACAAAAAAAAAUCACUAUCAAAAAAAUUUAAUCUCUUAUGUAUUAUUUUAAUCUUUUAUUUACUUAAUUUAUUAUUUAUUUUGAGGUAUAAUAUAGUUUGCUAUUUUUUUACUUAAUUAGCUUAAUUUGUAGUUCUUUUUUCUUAUAUUCUUAGGAAAUAUGAAUAUUUAUGCUAAUAGCAUAAAUUUUGAGAGAAAAAAAGUUUAAUUUAAUAGCCGAAUUUUUUAUCCCGAAUUUUUAAUUGAUGAACGUAUAAUAUCCGUAUAAAUCACGUGUCCGAAUAAUUGACGAAUCCGUUUUUUAGCCGUAUUUUUCAACAAAUUUAAAAAUUAGAAGACGAAUUUUAUCCGAAUUAUACCCGUACCGAAUUUUUGCUGAAUCCGAAUUAACUAACUAUGGUCUAGUGAUUUAUUAUUUGGGUAAACUUUAAAUAUUAUUCCUAUAAUUUUGUAUUUUUUUAUUUUAGCAUUAUGUGGUUAAAAGUGUAUUAAUUUAGUAUUAUGUAGUUUUUUUUUUUUUAUUUUCGUCAGUCCUUCCGUUAAUUUUUCGUUAAAUUAUAUACAAAAAUUUCAAAUAUUUCACAUAUAGUUUAUCAAAUAUUUGCUUUAUUAUUCUUUAGUUUUAACUUUGUCACUAAUUUAACAAAAAAAAUUACUGAAAGGAGAUAAUAAAAAGAGAAAAAUAAAAUCGUAGGGUAUAAAGGUGAUACAUUUUAAAUUAUAGGAUACCAAAGUGAGAAAGAACGAAACAUAGAAGUGAUAUUUAAAGUUUUUUUCCUUAUUAUUUUUAAUAAUAGAGUUUUUUUUUUAAAUAAGAGGUCAAGGAUUUAAGGUUCCCCCUACAAGCAUGAUAAAUAUUUGGGGAAAAAAUUCUAAUUUUUUAUAAAAUAACCAAUUAAUUUGUAGCCUUUCAUUGAAAAUAAUUUAUUUUUUUAGUACACUUUUAUAAUGUCCUUUUUCUAAGAAGUACUCAAGUGAGUAAAUUAAAAAGUAUGGAGACUAACUUGCCACGUGGACAAAUAUGCAAGGACCAUCCAUAUAUAUUUUGCCCUUAGAUUUAUUAUUACUGUUCUAUAAUUUGUUUUUAAUUUUUGACCUAAAUAUUCUAUAUUUUAUUGAUUUGGGGGUGUUUAGUAGAAUAAUUUUUUUGCUUAGAAUUAAUUAGCAUAAAUUGCGUUUUAGCUCUAGAAAUUUAAUGAUAUUACUCCGUAUUUUGUAUGUUCGAUUAGCAUUUUCUAAUUUUAAUAUUUUAUUUUGGGUUUUGUUUAAUGAAUGCUUGGGUGUUUAUACUUUAUAAUGAUAGUUAGCCAUGUUACAUCAUUGACUUAAUUGGAAAGGAUUAAUUACUUUAACUAGCAAAUUAAUUUGGUCGUUUUAGGUCCCAAAUGAUAAUUCAUACAAAAUGCUCUUUUUUUUUUUCAUUUAUAGAAAUAGCGAUUUGGAAAAGCAAUUUUUUAUUUAAAAGCAUUUAUAAAAACUUUUUUUUGUAAUUUUUAUUAUAAUUAUAUUAGGAGUUUCAUAUUAGAGUUUCUGUAUAAAAUAAAAUAAAUUAGGAGUUUCAUAUUAGAGUUUUUUUAAAAAAAUUUUUGGGGUUUAGGGAGCUUAUAAUGUUGUUUAUUUUUUAAAAAAAUAUUGUUAUUAUAAAAAUAAAAGAGAACUUGUUUAAGAAGCUUGAUUAAAUUGUUUAUUUUUAUUUUUCUCUUUUAUAAGAUAACGUUUGAAACAAGUUAGUGGAAGAAUACAAUUCCCCCUAGACUUUUCUCUUAUAGCAUUUUUAUUAGUGUAUGAUUUAAUUGACUAGUGCAGGGUUUAAUUAACUAAUGAAGGAUUAAUUAAUGAGAUCUCGAAUCUGAGUACGUAUUAGUGUUGCUAAUUUGAGUUGAAUACACCAAAAUGACUUUAUAAUUAAUCUCUACUUUAAUAAGCAUUAAUUAGAAAUAAUUUAAAAAUAAUCUUAACAUAUUCAAAAACAAAAAAAAAUAAAAAAUAAAAAGGAAGGUUGAAAUUUAUAACUUUGAAUCAGUAGUGUGGACAUGUUUCUUUUAAAUUAUUUAAACGAGAAUCUUAAACUUUUAAAUUUAGAAAUUUUUAUUCUGAUAUUAUAUAAAGUAAUUAAUUUUUUAAGUACUCAUCUAUGCAUAGAAGAAUAAUAAUAUCUUUUAUAUGGGAAUAUUUUGUCACCAACAAAGAGGGAAUAAAGUGUGUUGUAUUAGAAUUUGAUUUCUUAGUAAUUACUUAAUAAAAAGGAAGAGCAUAUAUACAAUAAAUAUAUUGGUGUUUUCAGAAAUAUUCAUUUUUUAAUUAGGAUAUUAUUUUUAUCUUUAAAUAAAAAUGGUUUGAAAUAUAUAAAAUUGUAUAUAAACUAAAGUUGUGAUAAUUGUAAUUAAAGUUGUACAUUGGAAUAUAUGUAUACAUGGAGUUUUGGGACUUUAUAAUAUACUCUUCUUGUUUAAUCUUUAAAGUCAACUCCAAACAAUAAUCUAAAUUAAAAUAUUUAUAAACUUAUAAGAAUAGUUGAGCUAAGUUGAAACAUUUUAAUGCUUCAUAAUUGAAUAGAGCAUAUUCUUUGGGUACAAUGUAUAGAGAAAAUGAUAGUUUAGUAAUGCCUAUUUUUAUCAUUUAAUAUAGUAAAUAAAAAUAAGAUAAAAAUCUAUUGUGCUCACCCUCAACUAUCUCUUAUUUUCAUAUGACUAAAUUGUUAAAAAUUUCAAUUUUGUUAUUUAAUUUUUUAAUCUCCUAAAUUUGAAUCAGUUAAUGACUUUUCAACUUUAAAAUUUAAAUAUAUUGUUUGUCUCUACAGAUCUAAUAAGUAUACUUUAUGUAAUUAUGUAAUUAUAAAUUUUGUAUCGAAAAAGUCAUCAGAUGGCUUGAAUCAAACAAACUGAAAGACUUUGUGUUAAAAUUAAAAUUUUAAAAAAUUAAAUAAUUAUAUCAAACUAGUCUAUAAUUUAGAAAUGAACCGUACAAUUUUAAUGUAAUUAAUGCAAUAAAAAAGUUAAAUAAUUAUUGGUAAUUUAUUAUUGAUUAAAAUAGUUUCAAUUUCUUUUUUUUAUGAUGAUAAGGAGAGAGAACUAAUAAGUUGAGUAGAAUUGCGGUUCAUAACAAAUCCAACGAUAAAAAAUUUAAUAAUAGAUAUAAUGCUUAGAUAAAUUUAAUCAGAUCGAAAUUCGUGAGCGUUGUAACUGAGCUUUUAACUGCGAAAGUGCGCUUUUCUUAUUACCACCUAUUUUUGGGAUAGAGGGACAAGUGGACAAGUGGGGACACACUCAUUUAUAUUGUGGUAUCUUUCAUUGAUUGAAUGUCACAUCAUUCCAUGAGAUAGCUUCUAGAUGCUCCCCCAAAGUUUUAUUUUAUUUCUUGGCCUAAUGAUAUACCAUUCAUUUUUAUAAUAUUUUAUGCUCAAUGAUUCCACGAGAAAUAAUAAAUAAAAAGGUACUAUUUGUACAUCUCAUUACAAGUUUAAAUGUAUGGAGAUCUCCUCCACUAUAUGCCAUUUUGAAAUAGACCUCUUCAUUUUUACUUUUUUUUUAACUAAAAAUAUAGAGAAAUUAUUUAAGGUAAAAUAUAUAUAAAAUUUAUCUGAACUAUGGACUAUUUAUAUUUGGCCAGUCAAUCUUUUAAAAUUUUAAUUUUACUAUACAGUUUUUCAAUUUAUUUGAUCUGAGUCAGUCGACGAAACUUUGACUCUAAAAUUUAAAUCAGUCGUUUAUUUCUAUAAGUCUAGUUAAUAUAUUUUUUGCAACUCUCGUAACUAUAAGUUUAUUAAAGUAAGUAAUUUAUUAGAUACAUCACAUUUUUAAUUUAUUGAAAUCAAAUAUAUAUUUUUUAAUGAUUAUUAGUACACAAUCGUGUACAUAUAUACUAAUUUAAACCUAACAACCAUGAAGUCACCUUAUAUAUGUACAGAGACAUAGAGUAUAGAGGUUUUGAUAUUUAUAAGUCGUUUUUUGUGGUAGAGUUUUCAAAUCCACAAUCUAUACUGUUAAACAUAAUUAAGAAAAUAAAAUGCUCAGAAAUCAAAUUUUAUAAAAUUUUGAAGCUAAAAUAAAGUGUAGCGAGCGGAUAUAAAAUGAACGAUUAAAUCGAACGACCCGCACAAAUAGUUUAUAGGGUUCUUCAAUUCAUAAUCGAAGUUAUUGAUUCUCUAAAUUAUAUUUAACAGUAUAAAUUGUUGAUUCGGAAGUUGUACUAUUAAAAAUAACUUAUGAGUACAAAAAUGAUAUGAGUCGGACUCUUUUUACGUAUAUAUAGAGAGAGAGAAUUGGGUUGGAAUACUCUUUAAUAGUAUCAAGUUGUAGCUGCGAUCCAGUUUUUCACAAUUAGAUUUAUCCUUUAAUUAAUUCCACCCUUUAGAUUGUUGUAUUUUAUCGACCAUCCACUAAAUCGUGGAGAUCAUUAUCAUUCCAAUCCUAUAAUUUUUUAUCCAAGGGUUAAAACUAGAUAUGAUUCAUUAGCCGGAUACUAUUAAAAGUAUUUCAUUCCGACUCUAUAUAUAUAUAUAUUUAUAUAGAGUUUUGCUAGAAUACUAUCGGUAGUAAACGGCUCGGUUUACUACCAAUUUGUUUUCGAUGAUAGAGCUUCCAAAUUGAUGAUCGACACCGUUAAAUAUGAUCUAAACUAUUUAAACUAUCUAGAAAUCAAAUUUUACACAUUUUCGAUAUUGUUCUCUUGUCCAUCAAGUGAACAGAAAAAUGAAUGGCUGGAAAUAAAUAUCCUUUAAAAAGUGAUGAUACAAUUUUUAUAUUUGAGAUCUAGAGUCUAGAUCUUAUUUUAAAUAGUUUAAAGAAUUUUUUAACAAAAAUUUAAUUGAUUUGAACUCUUCUAUACCGUUAAACGAGCAAACGCACCAUAUCGGCCAUUAAAAUUAUAGAUUUUGUGACCCUUUGAUCGUUCAGUUAGUGAUGCCAAAAAAUUAUGAAAUUUGAUUUCUAGAUAAUUUAAAUGGUCUAGAUCAUGUUCAACGGUGCCGAUCGUCGAUUUGGAAGCUCUAUCAUCAAAAACAAAUCGGUAGUAAACCGAGCAGUUUACUAUCGAUAGUAGUCCAGUCAAACUCUAUUUAUAUAAUAGAUAAUUGAGUUAGGGAUCUCUUUUUGCUAUUAUAUACACUAUAAACAAACACAGGCUAAAUCUUAGUGGGCCGAUUUUUAUGGGCCUGAAUUUGGCCUCAUUUUGUUGGUCAUUUUUUUUAAAAAAAAUUAGAAUAAAAUUUUUAACUUAACUAACUAGAAUAACUGUUUUGUGCACUCAGGUGACAUUCCUGAAGUGCGGGGGCAUGGCACUAGGCUUUGCCAUCCACCACCUGGCCUUCGACGGCCGCGGCGCAUCCCUCUUCAUCCAAACCUUCUCCCGCAUCGCCCGCGGGGCCGACCUCGCCUCCCUGCCCCCGCCCUUCUUCGACCGCACCCUCCUCCGUGCCCGCUCCCCGCCCUCCGUCCUCUUCGACCACUCCGACUCCACCGCCUUCUCCGACAGCAACGCCAACAAUGACAACACCGCCGCCGCCGCCGCUAUUGUGUCGCCGGUCGUCACGGCCCACCUCGCGCUCUCCAAGUCCCAGCUCCAGUCCCUCAAGUCGCGGUGCGGCUCCGCGACCGGCCCCGCCACCCCGCGGGUCUCCACGUUCCGCGCCGUCGUCGCCCACGUGUGGCGCUGCGCCUGCAUCGCCCGCGGCCUCGCGGGCGAUGUCCAAACCGAGUUAUACCUCCCCGUCGACGUCCGCGCACGUCUCGUCCCACCACUCCCCGCAGGGUAUUUUAUAUUCAUCACUCCUUUUGUCUUAGACUCAAAAUACUUUGAUAGGCUGAAUACAUAAACUUUAGAUCUCUCGUCUCUAGAGAAUAGUGCUUUAAUAUUUUAUAUUCGACAGGUACAUCGGCAACGCGGGGAUCCGCACGAAGGCCGUCCUGACCGUCGACGAGCUCAUAUCGAGCAGCUUCGCCGAUAUCGCCGAGACGAUCCAGAACGCGGUCGACCGCGUGAACGACGACUACGUGCGGUCGUUCAUCGACCACCUUGACACGGCGGACGCGAACACCCUGUCGCGGCGGGGGGCGCUGCCNAUUUUAUAUUCGACAGGUACAUCGGCAACGCGGGGAUCCGCACGAAGGCCGUCCUGACCGUCGACGAGCUCAUAUCGAGCAGCUUCGCCGAUAUCGCCGAGACGAUCCAGAACGCGGUCGACCGCGUGAACGACGACUACGUGCGGUCGUUCAUCGACCACCUUGACACGGCGGACGCGAACACCCUGUCGCUGCCGCGGACGAGCCUGUGCGCGAUCAGCUGGCUCGGGAUGCCGAUGCACGACGCCGACUUCGGGUGGGGGGAGCCGGAGUUCAUGUCGCGGGCGCAGAUGUACGGUAGCGGGUAUGUCUACUUGAUGAGCACCCCCGGAAACGAGGGGGGAGUCUCAGUUAUACUGGGGCUGGAGAAUGAGAGCAUGAGGCUGUUCAAAAAGAUAUUCUAUGAGGAGCCUGCUUGUAUAGAGGGGUAAAGUUCGAAUUGUGAAAGAAUUACACGAGCGCGAUCUCAAACUACUACUACAAUUUGAGCCGCUCCUACAAAUUUAUAUAGUAGUGAAUCACGAGGCGCAAUCGUGCGUUGCCUCGCGAUGCGUGAUCAGCCACGUAUGCGGUAGGUGUUUCUAUUUCAAGUUGCUCUCAAUCGAGACCGGUCGGCGCUGUCGAUUGAUUGCUGAUCAUGUAAACUUGGGGUUUUAGUCAUGUACUUGGGGCAACUUUUACUGUUUUUGUGAUCUUUUAGAGAACUGAUAUGCUUUGUAAUAAUUUUACAGUAAAUGGUUACACUUUUAUUUGUGAGUAUUUACAAAAGUAUAAAGCUUAAAAAAUAGAUUCAGCCAUUCCAAAUACAUGAAUUUUAGAACUAAAAAUUAAAGAACAUACACUAGCAUCGUAUUAUUUCUUUUAAAAAGUUGUGAAUGAAUGAAUCUGAUAGCUUAAACUUUGUAGGAAUAUAUUUGUUAUUCGAUAUUUUUAGUGAAGCACGUUUCACCGUCGAAUAAUGAGAUUAUAAUGUUUUCUUUUCGAUACCGAGCAGAAGCCUCACCCACAUCGAGAGAGCGCAACAAACAACAUCCAAAGUUGGAUUUUGGACCAGGCUGUUCUGGGCAUGUUCGAAUUGGAAUAACUACAAAUACGUUACAACGAUCUCGGUCCAAAAUGAUCUAAGUCGGAUCGUAUCGGAGCGUGUCAAAUUGAGAAAUCAUGUCUCGGACUAGGUUAACCGAAAAAAACGAAAAGCUCCGGCCUCGGUUGGCUUAACUCGCUAAUAAUUCGGUAAAGAGGACUAGAUUGAUAGCAAUAUAUGUCGAUGAAAAUCGCGCUAACUAAAUGAUCUAAAUGAUUGGACUUAAAACCCUAGCCUGGGAAGAGGAGAGCGAUAGCUCUACAGCCCAGUGUGCAGCUAUUUCUAUCAAAAAUUAGGUUGAGAUGAUCAGAUCAGGUAAAGUCCGGACGAAUUUGCUCAGGCCUACUAGUAGCUAUAUUUUUUUAUUGAUUUGGAUUGUAAAUUUAUUUACUAAACAAUAAUUGUGGUGUUAGUUUAUAAUACACUCUCCUUAUUUUUUUUAUGUGUUUUUUGGAUUUUCAUUUGUAUAUUCUCUUUUGUGUUGUGUGGAUGCAUGCCUCAAUAUUUUUCCCAAGUUUAUAUUCGAUUUUACCUAUAAAUUUUCUUGUCAAAAAAAAAAACAAAAGAAAAAAAGCAACUCAAAUGCGAAAUAGAGAAUCCCCCAAUUCAUAGAUAUAUACUACUAUUAGGAAGAGUUGGGUUAUAAUCGUUAUGACCUAAUCCGUUAAUAACAAUAAUUCGUUAGGUCUAAACCACCGGCCCAAAAUAAUUAAGCCAAUAUAUUAUUACUAACAUGUAGGCCUCAUAUAUUAUAAUCAAAAUCAGUUUCCACCUGGGAGUUAUAAUUUUGCCAAAAUAUAUAUAUAUAUCAAAACAAAGGUGACGAUAUUAGGAUUUGAUUAGAUUGUAGUUAUCUAAAAUAUAUAUUAAUAAAAGUCUAAUUAGAUUAGUAGAAAAAUAUAGAUUGAGAUUUAAGUAUUUAAGAGAUUAAUUUGGAUUAGAGUACUAAUCCUAAUUGAACUCUAAUGAGACUAUGUUAGAUAUAGCUUACAUCAAAGUGCCUUGUCGCAUCUGUGUUAGUUACGGAUUUAUACAAGACGAGAGAAAGGUGAUAAAGAUUUAGAAAGUGACAAAGUAAUAAUCCAAAUUUUAUUAGAAUUUAACUCAAAGUUUCAGUAACAAUAAGAUUUAAUUAUCCACAUCACAUUUAUAAUAAUCAUGUUUAAAGUCCACAUGGUUAGAAUUGAUUGGUUAUCUUAUUCCAACCCUGAAGCCAUCAUAAAUUCACAACUGAGAUUCUGAUUGAUAAAAAAUUUCUCUGUACCUUUACCCUAUUAUUCUAUUUUAAUAUUUUAUUAAAUAUUAAAUAAUUAGUAUCAGAGAAAAUAACGCUUCGAACAGAACGAUGCUCUCGAAAUUUUUUUUUCAUCUUUUGUAAUUUCUUUUCUUCUUUGUUUUUCUUUUUUGUGGUUGUACAUAAUUUUAAUACGGAGACAGGAUUAUGGUAAAAACUUUAUUUAGCGCUUUCAGUAAUUAGUAUCAGAGCAGAUUAAUUACUGGUUCUCUAUAGAUAAUCGAUCUAAUUGAGAGCUCAUUACGAAAGAUCGAAGGGGUGAUUUAAAUCGAUGAUUGGUUACUUUCUUAACAUUCUAAUAUUCUGUAUAGUGUAUGGAGCAUUGGUAUGCACUAAGCGCAAGCAAAGAUUUUUUCUCUGUUUUGAAAUUAUGAGUGCAUCCUAUUAAACAUUCUUUAUACUAAGUACAUAUUUGUACAUAUACCACAUGCCUAAAUAGAAAUUUCAAAAUUAAUUCAUCAAAUAUAAUUUAAAUUCUUAGACUUUUUAGAUCAUAUAUAUUUAAUUAACCAAACAAUCGUGUACUUAUAACAUAAAUAUACCAAACUAAUUAAAUAAUGUAUUUAGAUCUUCAUGUAAUUGUAAUUGCUUUAACCAAACAAUUGCAAAGUUUUUUUUUUUUUAUGAAUGUAAAAGUUUUCUAAUCAACGAUAUAAUUAGUAACUCAGUAUUUUACACAUUACAUAAAUAAAAUAUAUUUCUUGUUACGGUUCGUUUAAAUUAAUGCUACUUGAGUAGUGUUAUUAUAGAUAAUUUGUGAUAACACUAAAUUAAUUAAUGCGCAUAAUUAAUCGUAAUCACGCGAGAAAUGGACGUAACGUGCACGUUCUUAUAAGAAAUUAAAAGAAAACUAAAUUAAGGUGAAAAGUUAAUGCUAUAUAUAUGUAGCCUAAAAUGUAUUAUAGUUAAUAAUACUCCAUCAGCUUUACGAAGUUCUCUAACUAAUAUUGUUAAUAAUAGUAAUAAAAAAAAUAAUAUAUAUUUUUUAAGACAUGUGAUCGUAUUAUUAUAGCACAGAUAAAUUUGUCACCAUGUCCAUCGAAGAAAUUAAAAAUUAAAAAAUGAUAGUGACUAAUUAAUUAUAUAUUAUAAGGAAGGUUUGAGAGUGGGACACAUAUAUAAGCAAAAAAAAAACCAAAAAAAAAAAGAAAUUGUCACGUAGUUAAUUUAAUUGUAAUCAAUGCCCAUCUAAUUUAUUAGUGGGGUGCUCGAGUCCACGCCUUUAUUGAAAAAAAACAAAAAGGUUAUAAUUAUUAUGGGGAAAGAUUCUGGAACCUAUUGAUUAGAUAAUCUUAAAAAAAAAUUAUUAUCUACUCUAUUAAUUGGGUGCUUAGCUUUUUUGUUAAAAAAUUACUAUUAAUUAUGGAGAAAGAUUCUGAGAUGGCAUCUAAUUAAUAAUAUUACUAAAAAAUUACUAAUAUUAGUAAUUUUUUGUUAAAAAAUUACUAAAAUUUUUUUUUAAAAAAGAAUUAACGACUAGUAUAAUUGGCUGAGAAUUUAAUUAUUGGUAUAUGAGAUUUCGGGUUGCUUCAUAUUUUUCGUUAAGUUUAUUUUUAAAAAUUAGGAGCAAUUAUUUAUAUAUUUCUAAAAAAAUUUAAAUUUUUUUAUUCACGAAUUUUAUAAGACUAAUAUUGAAAAUACUCUUUUAAAAUUUUAAAAAUUUUCAAAUAUUCUUCGAGAGUUAAAUUCAAGUUCCCUUGGGUCUCACUCAUUUUAAAUCAUUUUAGUGAAUCUUCAUUAAUUAAUGCUCACCAAAAUCCACAUCCAACAUUAUAUUUGGGUCUCACUCAAAUUCAAUACAAAAGCUGACACGGCACGUUCUUAAUUAUUAAUCCUUUCUGGCUAUUGUAAUUAUCAUUUUAUCUGUAAAUUAAAUCUCUCUUCAUAUAUAUAUAUAUAUAUAUAUAUAGAGAGAGAGAGAGAGAGAGAGAGAGAGAGAGUGGGGCUGGUAUACUAUCGGUAGCACGGAGUCCUCCGUGCGAUCAAAUUAUUUUUAAUGAUGCGAUUUUCAAAUCGACGAUCGACUCUGUUAGACUUGAUCUAUACUGUUGAAAGUAUUUAGAAACUAAAUUUUAUAAUUUUUCGACAUCGUUUAGUCAGUGAUCAAAAGAAGAGUGCUCCACGCACUUUAAUAUAUAUAUAUAUAUAUAUCAAUAGAAAUAGAUGCUUUUAGAAGUAAACGAAAUCGUUUACUUCUCCAUUACUUUAAUCGGUGAUCGAUAUUAUCAAAUUUGAUCUAAAUUUUUUGAAUAAUUUAGUUUUCAAAUUUCCCAAUUAUACGGCAUUAUUUUGAAUUUUUAAGGCUAAUAUAGAGUGAAUUUACGAUCAUUUGGUCACUCAGACAAAUGAUAUCGUGAAAUCCUAAAAUUUAAUUUUAAAAAUAUUUUAAAUAAUUUAAAUUAUAUUUGAAUUUACUAUAGUCUCAAACGACAUAAGUUUUUAUUUAUUUCUAAAAAUAUUCUAGUCUAAACUUUCAUUUUAUAAGUCUUGUUAGAAGCCACGUAGCUUGAUAGAAUAUAUGCCACAACUUUAUUUUGUUAUUUUUUAUACAUAUUUUUUGGGCCUUACAUGCAAAAAACAGAAAAAGAAAAAUCACUCGUGAUAGCUAAGGAAAUUUAUGUACGUCUAUUUUUAGACUCUCAUGCAUUAAUUAUGUACACUUAAAAAUUAUAAUUAAAAAAUAUUUUAUUAAUUUUCAUACAUAAUAUCGUAUUAUAGCUUAGUUUGGUAUUAAGGCUCUGAUUUAACUCUAUUUGAUAAAAUAGAGUUGGGAUAAAAAUAGAUAGGCACGUAUUUCUGUAUUUUUCGAUAGUAUUGUAGAAAAUAUAUCGUAACCGACUCAUCGCGAUAUGCGGAACAUAAUAUUACGCAUAGAGUAUUUUUUCAUUAUACUUUCUCAUCGCAUGUAACGCAAUCUCUCUGCAAUUCCAAACGAAGUCUACGUAUAUUAUAAUAACUCAGUUACGAUAAAUUUAAGGAUUAAUUACAUAUAACUUUCUGUAAACAUAUCAAGUGUUAAAUAUAUUUCUAUAAAGUUCAACUUUUUUUAUAUUUAUCUCUACAAAAGUUCUAACAUUUUUAAAUAUAUUCUUAGAUUUGUUAGAAAAAUAUAUAUAGUUAACCAUAAGUAAAAUACUUAAUCCUAAUUAAUGAAUUAGGUAACUUGCUAUUUUUAUUUCUCUUAUAUUAUUUGUGAUGAUAUAAAAAAAGAAGAUGAUAGUUAAAAAUUUUGGAUGAAAUGGUAACAGUAAGGAUAUUUUGAAAUAACGAAAAAAUAUAUAAGGGGUAUAAUGGAAAGAAAAAAAAAGGUAAAUAAAAUAUUUUCAAAAUUUUCAGAGAUAUAUAUAGAUAAUUAUUUUUUUUUAAUUAUAUAUGUCAAUAAUAAAAUAAUAAACGAGGAGGAGUGUUUUGGAGACCCUAAAACAGAAAAGUCAUUUGGAAUUGACUUAGAUAUAAGAUUCCUUUGGUACAAUUUUUUAACCUAUAUGUAACCCUAACUCUCUUUGUUGAAACAUAGAGAGAGAGAGAGAGAGAGAGAGAAUGGUGGAGAUAUUGGAGUCAUGCUUAGUAGCUCCAAGUGAGGAGACCCCAAAGCAUGGGCUAUGGCUCUCGAACCUCGACCUCGCCGCGGCCCCGGGCCACACGCCGACGGUCUACUUCUACCGCCCCAGCGGUGACCACAACUUCUUUUCUGUGGAGGCGGUCAAGGCGGCGCUUUCUAAGGCCCUGGUGCCUUUCUACCCCCUGGCGGGCCGUCUCGGUGUCGGCCGGGACGGCCGCGUCGAGAUCGACUGCAACGCGGAGGGCGCGCUCUUCGUCGCGGCACGGUGCGAUUACACCGUCGACAGCUUCAGAGAGUUCGAGCCGUCGCCGGAGACGAGGAGGCUGUUCGUGCCGACCGCGGACUCCGCCGAUCCCCCCUUGGUCAUGCUCCAGGUUUCUUCGCAUAUCACUUAUAAAUAUAUGGAGCGCGCUAACAAAAUAAAUUUGAGAGACAAAUCUUUAAAUGAAAAGAAUAAUAAAUGACGGCAUGAACAAUAAUAAAAAAUAAAAAACUGAUGCUAAAUUAUAUAUAAAAAAUUUUAGAUUACUCAACAUAUAGUUUGUCGAAUAUUCAUUUUAGUAUUCUUUAGUUUUAACUUUAUCAAUGAUUUAAUAAAAAAAAUUAAUGAAUAGAAUAACAAAAAGAGAAAAAUAAAACUAUAAAAUACACAACUGAUACGAAAGUGAGAAAAUGCGAAACCACAGGGGAGAUAUUUGAAGUUUUUCUUACAAAAAUUAUUUGAAUUAUGAUAUAAAUCAAAAGAGUGAUCGACGGUUGAGAUUAAUCUUCUUUUUUUUUAAAAAAAAAGAAGAAGAACCUUGUACCUGGUACAUGCAUCAGAGUAAACUAUGUAGAACUUUCAAUUUAUUAAUACUGUAUAGUUAGGUAUUAUAGUCUCAUUUUACCACAUAAUAAUACAUAUGAAUCAGCACUUCAUACUGUUAAAUAUAAAAUAUAAUAUUCGAAGUUCUUAAGAUGUAAAUUUUAAAAAUUUGUAAACUUUUUUUGGUGUAUCGAAUACAAGGGACAUGGUAGUCCCAUCAUAAUUAAAAAAUAAUUUAUUAUAGUACAACUGUUAUUUAAUAGUGGGAACAUUUAUAUGUAGUUGAGUAUACUUGUUUAGUAUAGCUUCUAUAUAUAUUUAUCUAUAGUUCCAUUUAUUUGCUAGUGUCUUUAAUUAGUAAGAGAAAAUUUUGAAACACCUCCCACUAGAUCUACCAGCAUAUAUAAGCUCCUAAUUUCCUAAUUUAAAGCUUUUAAUAAAAUAUAUUUUAAGAAAAAUCAUUAAUAAGACAAUUUAAAUAAUAAUAUUUUAAAUAAUACUAAUAUGUCACAAUAAAAAUGCAUUUUGUUUUAUCAAAAAUGGAGAUGCUGGUACAGUGAUUCUCGUUUGCAAAUACUUAUUUUCGUUGUUUGAUGCAGUAUAAUUUCACCUUGGAUCAAAAUUCAAAAUUUUCAAAGCGACUCAGUUCUAUCCUAGGCUGAAGUCAAUUAUAAUAAAAAAAAUAAAAGUAAGAAAAAAAGUAAUUAUUAAUUCAUCUUCGGUACCUCGAGUUUUACGUCGAUCAUUUUUGGCUAAAUAAAUUACAAAAUUGAAAAAAUUUUAAUCCCACAGAUAUACAAAUGUUCUGAUUCUUUUUAAAGUUGAUGGUGCUUAUCCUUCUAUUGUAAACGCUAAAAUAUAUUAAGAAAAUGAAUAUAUUCGUGUGCAACCACGUAACAGCAUCUAAAAAUAGUGGCUUAAUUGGGGGAACCCCAAAUUUGACCAAAGCAAAAGUAAUAUUCUAAGUUCCAAUGAUUCGUAGGAACUAAUUCUUUUUUUAUUUGUGGAAACUUAGAAGAACUAAGUCGCGUCACGUCUCUGGCGCAACGAAAAAGUAAAGUUAUUUUCGAACAUAAAUACUCACAUUAUAAAUUAAAUUAUCUAUUUCAUAUUUUUUAAUUAUUAUUACUGACUUUGUCGUGUAUAGUAACUGUAUUAAUUACAAUAAAUUAAAAUUUGUGGGCUACAAUAUAUCCCCAGCCUCAUAUAUAGUUUAAUUAUCAAACACGCAAUUUAUCCUAAAAAUUACUUUGGAAUUAUAGUUAAUGUUUGCGUAUAGAAUUAUGUCACGUCUCUGUGACAACGAAAGUAAUUGUCACAGUAACUUUUAAUAAUUUGGAUGUACUUUAUCUAGUUUUGUGGCGCAAAUUGUGAUAGGCAUUAGGAUAAUGCUAAAGAUAAGGAUGAUGUAUGCAUCAGAGAGGGAAUUUAUGUUUACGAUAUUUAAAAUUUGAGGUACCUAAAUUUACUUUUUAUUUUGUUUAAUUACAUCAACUAUUUUUCUCAUUAAUUGAUCUCAAAAUGAAAGGAUUUUCAACAUAAACAAUUUAAAAAAAAUAAAUAAUACAAUUUCUUAGUUUAAAAAAAAUGUCACAAGUUGAUAAGGUCUCAAUUUUUUUUAAAAAAAAUUGUCAAGUUAUAUUUCUAGUCGAUCUCUAUGCAGUUUUAUUUUACCUUAUUUUAAUUUUUUGAGUGCCCAGCUAAUAAUGUGUUGGUCCCAAACUUUUUAUUAUUCAUAUAUAUUUAUGGGACAAAAGGCGCUAAUAAAUGCUGCGGUUCUUUGGUGCCCAUAAAGAAUUGAUUGUAUAAGGAGCUUAAUGGCGAAAUAACAAUAAUAAUAAAAAAAAUUAUUGUGGUUUGCACUCUAUAAGCUUCGCGAGUGGUCCGUGCUAUAUAUGUAGAAUUUACCUUGUCAAAAUCUAGACCAAAUAAACCCUUCUACUAAGAGCAGUGUUAUUCUCAUCGAAUCGACGCGCUCCGGCGAUAGGGGGGCUCACAGUUUACAGUGUGGGUCCGAACCCCCUGAUCAAUGGUUCUCGUCGAUUCGAAUAGAAUUUAUCUUAUUCUGAACCAAAUACGUAGGGGGCAGUUUAAAUUUGACAUGCAGGUUCAGUUAUAGUUUUCGUAGCUGUCUAAUUUAAAUUUGAAUUUGAAAUCAAAUCUACAAAACUUGAAUUUCGAUUCGAGCUGUACUAAUAAGAGAAACUAAAAGCCCGGGUCGGGCUCAGAUUUUCUGAGCCUCUUAUAUUCGGAACUGGAAGAAGGCUUCUAGUUUCGAAAAUACCUAACAUAUAUUUCAAUUUUUCGAUUCUAAGCAACUGAGCUAUUUUGCCGAGCUCUCUUAAGCUGAGAGAAGUAACAUGCAGGUGACAUUCCUAAAAUGCGGCGGGGUGGCCUUUGGAACUGCGAUGCACCACUUCGCCACCGACGGGCCCAGCGCUUUCCACUUCAUCCAAACAUGGGCCAGCCUCGCCCGUGGGGAGGCCGCCGACGCCCUCCCCCCGCCCUUCCUCGACCGCACCCUCCUCCGCCCCCGCUCCCCUCCCUCCGUCGUCUUCCACCACCCCGAAUACUCCCCCGACACAUUCUCCGCCCGCUCGACCGCGCCUUACGUCGCCGCAAUCCUCAAGCUCUCCAAAGGCCAGAUCGCGCUCCUCAAGAGCCGCGCCAGCGGCGGUGGUAGCGGCUACGCCGUGUCGACGUUCCGCGCGGUCACCGCCCACGUGUGGCGGUGCUUGUGCGUCACCCGGAAGCUCGCCCCGGACGCGCAGACGCGACUCUACCUGCCUGCUCAAAUUCGCAACCACGUAAAACCCCCACUCCCGCAGCACUACUUUGGCAACGCGUUGAUCCGCGUAUCGGCGGUCACGACGGUCACAGAACUUGUGAACGGCUCUCCGUCAUUCGCGGUCGAAAAGAUCAAGAGUGCCGUCGAUAAGGUAAACGAUGUUUACGUGAGGUCGGUCAUCGACUACUUGGAGCUGCAAGGCAAAAGAUGCAUGUCGGCGAGGAACGGAGUUAGGGAUACGGAUCUGUGGGCGAUCAGCUGGCUCGGGAUGCCGAUGUACGACGCCGACUUCGGGUGGGGGCUCCCGCAGUUCAUGGCGCGGGCGCAGCUCUACUCCAGCGGCUUCUUGUACGUGACGAGCAGCCCCGGGAAGGACGGCGGAGUGACGGCAGUGCUCGGAUUGGAGACCGAAAACAUGCACCGGUUCAAGGACUUGUUCUACGAGGAACUUUCAUGCUUGCAGUGUUAAAAAAAAAAAAAAAAAGAGAAAAAAAAAAAGGUUACAACAUUGCUGUGCUAGUUCCAAUUUGGGCUUGUUUCGAUGUCAGAACAAGUUAUUUAUCUGGUGAUAGCUUGUGUGUUACUUACGAGUUUAAUUUCGAGCUUACUAUGUAUCAAAAGUUUAAGAAUACUACAUUUUCAAUUGUUACUGAUUAAACCGAACCGAUCGAAAUGACAAUUUGGUUUAAACUGAAUAAUGCUCGUUGUUUCCUACGAUUGCGGGCUUAGGAAGGGUCCAAUCUCUACUUGCUUGGGCUCGAUUAAAUUACGCGUUGGGCCGAAUGAUGCUCCGCAAAAUAAUGCAGCCCAUUUUAGUUGGAACAAGUAUUAUUAGAUUUUACGCGCAAAUAUAAAAAAGAGUAAUACUAUUUGUACACUUACUAGUGCGGUACGAAUUUUGUACUCUACUUAUCCAAAUGCUAGUUGUACACCUACUAAUAUACUUGUUGUACAUCCCAUACAAGAGAGUACAGAUUACACGUACCCUUGAGUCCAAAGAAAAAAAUCCAAAUUAAUUUUAGUAAAUAAUAAUAAUAAUACUAAGACUAGUUAGUAGAUUUUAAUCAUAUGAAUACUAGGUUGUACAUCUUACACUACCAUAGAUGUACAGGUAACAUUGCUCAGAUUUAAAAACUUUUUUUGAAUUAGUAGUAUAAAAAAAAAUUGAUCAUAAGAUUAAGGAGUAAAUAUAAGUCUUUUGAUAGCUAAAAUAUGAGAUUUAUAAUCAUAUAGCUAUAUAUACACCUAGUACAUAGGUGUAAAUCUUACGCCGCUUUUCCUCAGAAGGUUAGGAUAUUGCGACUUGUCAUAUCAAAUUUUUGAAAAAAUACUAAAAAAUCUUAAUAACUUUUGUAAACAUUUCGAUCUAAAAGUGUGAGACAUAUGCCAGGUGUUCUAUGUCACACUCGCACCACAUCACCUAUGUCCUAAAUUAAUCAAAUCUAUCCUUUUCAGAUAAAAGUAUAAAUUUUUAAAAAACAUAAAUUAUAUGGUAUCGAUGAACGCCAAGGACACGAAAAAGUCUAAAAUGUCGCAGUUACACAUAUAACCAUUCAAUCAAAUUCAACAAACCUUUAAAAUUUAUCCACCCUAUCAUGAUUUUUAAAAUAUUUUUUAUCUAUUCUUACCUCUAAAGAAAAAAUAUGAUUGGUUUGGGAUAUAGAUGGCGUGAUAUAAACGUGACAUUGUAAAUCACCUCUUGAGGCUGUGUUUGGAUCGGGAACAAGGACGAGAAUAAGCCCUUGUUUCCCACCUUUGUUCCCAAAUAUAAAUUUUCGUACUUAAGAACAUUAAUUCUCUGGUUCCUGCAAUAAGCUGGUAUAACUCAGUACAAAUUUGAAACUAUUGUUCCAUCAUUUUUUCUGGAACAAGAUUGCUCCCAAGUGGGAAAAAGGUUAUUUAAAGUCUAAAUUUAAUUUUAAUUAUGAUAUUAAAUUAUUAAUUAAUCUAAUUAUUAUAUUUAAAUCAUUAUCAAUUACUUAAAUAAUAAAGUAAUUAAUUAAAUUAUUACUUAUAAUUAAUUACAUAAUUAAUUAUUAAUAAUUUAAUGUGAUUAUUCAUAAACUAAUAUUUAUAUUGAUCAAUCAUUAAUAUUUUUAUUAAUAUAAUUAAUUUUUUUUACUAGUUAUCAACUAAAAUAAUUUACUAACCAAUUAAAAAGUUAAAUUAUUUUUUAUAAUUAAUUAAUUAAUUAACAUAUUUUUAUUUUCUUAUAUAAUAUUCAUAACUAAUAAAAUUAUUAAUUUAGUAAAUUAUUUUUAAUUAACAUUUUAAUAUAAAUUCAUUAGAUAAAAUAUUUUAAAUUUAAAAUUAUAAUUCUUAUUUCUCUCGUUCCAAUCUACCUAUUCAAAUAUUAUUUAUCUUAUUCUCAGGAACAAUUUAAUUUUCUUUCAAAUACAAAAUUUGUCUAGUUUCUAUUUAUAUCUGAACUUAUAUCUAUUUCUAAAAUUAACAGUCUUAUUUAUAUCCGAACAAAACGCAGUCUUAAUAAGAAUAUAUAAUUUGAUUGGCUUGGGACAUGGGUAAUAUGAUGCGACAGUAGUAUUUUUGGCUGUUUCCUACGAUGCAUAAACAAAUAGUACAUUUCUUGAAAUUCGGUCACUAUACUAUCGAUAGUACAAGCAUAGUUUAUCUGGUCAGUAUCGAUUUUUUGUACUUGUUUUAAUGCGAAAGGUUACAGUGAUUGGUGGGAGUUGCGGUUGUGACGUUUCCACGUGUCCAAUAAUGUACAUGUUUGGUCACAUUCAAAUUAAAGUUUGUGAGGGACCUCUCAUUGGACCUUGUGAUGCAAUCAUUUGAAAAAAAAAGAACAAAUUAUUUUUCUUAGUAUUAGUAUAUUUGGAAAGGGCUGGGGAGUUUAAGGGGUAUUUCGCCAAGCCUUUAAAAAACGUUUUUGGGUUGAAAAAUAAUUUUCUGCUCAACAGAGCGUUUGACAACUCCACUUUUAAAACCUGAUUCUGCUUUUUAAAAUUAGAAAACUGAUUUUGAAAACACCAGAAUCAGAAGCUGAAAAAAACUGCUUCUUAAAAUCUGAUUCUGAUUUUAGACUCAAACUUCAAAAUUUUAUUUUAAUUUUAAAUUCAAUAUUUAAGUUUAAAUUNCCCACACAAUCUUAAAUUCGUAACCGAAAUACGAGAGAACAAAAACUUAGCGUCUUAAGAUCCAUCACCAAACACAUAUUGCGAUCAAAAAUAGAGAACACAUGCGAGAACACAAACUGCUUAAAUACUAAUACCCGAGUAAAGAGGAGAGAUGAGCGAUCCUACCACCUGUCCCCCUCGGAGGCCCCGACGCUCCUCCCGUAGCGGUUCCCCCCCUCGUAGCCGCCUCCGUAGCCACCGCGGGACUGGGCCUCGUUCACGGUGAUGCUCCUCCCGUCGAGGCUCUUCCCAUUCAUCCCCUCGAUCGCGUCCCGCAUCGACUGCUCGUUGGCGAAGGUGACGAACCCGAACCCCCUCGACCUCCCCGUCUCCCGAUCGUUGAUGAUCUGCACCCCCGAUUAGCAAAUCUCAACGAUCCGAUCCGCGAUCAACAAGCUCAGAUCCAGAUCUCGUAGUCUCAGAUCUCAGAUCUCAGAUCCACGAGAUCUGGAUCUCAAAUCCACACCAAAAUCAAAUCGAAACAGGGAAAAGGGAUUAGGGAUCAGGGAUCGAACCUUAGACUCCAGGAUCUCACCAAAGGGUCGGAACGCCUCCUCGAGGGUGUGGCUAUCGGUGGCCCACGCGAGGCCGCCGACGAAGCAGCGGAACUCCACCUCGGUCGUCGCCAUAGAAACCCUAGAUCGGACGUACGACAGAGAAGGGAGAAUCGGGGAGAGGGGGAGGAGAUCCAACCCACCUCUAUCAGAGCACGAGAGGAAAGAAGAAACCCAAACCCUAGAUUUAUAGAUCAGAGGCCCGCGGUAAAGUUACCCCACUCCGCAUACGAUCACCGCCGUUCCUUAUCGUCAACACAGCGUCGCGUGCGGAUCGUGCGGUGGAGAGUGGGGGAGUAGAGGACUAUUAACUUGCGCCGCGGAGUACGGGACCCACUCCCGUGGAAUAUACGAGAAUAACUAUCUCUAGUAACGUCUACGGAAACAUCCCAAGAACAAGUCGAAGAACCGUUUCUAUUGGACCAACGUGGCAACACGCGAUAUUUGGACCAAUGGAAAGUGAGUUAUUUAAAACAAUCUUCGCAUUUUGCGUCGGCGUGUUAAGCGAAUAUCGGAUGGUUUACUUUUCUUUAAAAAGUGAGCUGUACACUAGCGCGCGCGUGAUACAAGGACAGUUUCUAUGCGGAACUCCGUAUAGUGCAACUUUUAGGAAGCGGGCGUGGCCGUUGAAUUGUGCUUCGUGGGUGUAUAUGGAGGGCAUCUAAGCGAAAGGCAUAGACUCUCUAUGCGGACCUGCGCAUAGAAGUAUUUGGUCGUUAGAUACAUUGUUCGGGGUUGGGGUGAGGCAAAAAUAUCUAACGAGUGGAAUUACUGUCUUAGCCCUGGAAUAAAUGUUUCAUCGUUAUCCUUCACCCGUAGACCGACAUAAUGGCGGACACGCGGCAGGCGUUGACAGGUUGAAGAGAAUGCGGACUUGGUUCACCACGUCAUCUUGAGAUGUCCCGGAAUCCGAAUCCGAUUAACGGUGUGUUCUGUCUAAUUUUUAAAAAAUAAUUUUGGAUUAAAAAAUAAUUUUCCAUUCAAUAGAGAUUUGUCAAUCUUAUUUCUAAAAUAUGAUUUCGAAGAAAAUAUGAUUUCGAAGGUUCCUGAGAAGCAAAAAUAAAUUGCUUCUUAAAAUCUGAUUCUGAUUUUGAACUCAAACUUUAAAUUUUUAUUUUAAUUUUAAAUUCAAUAUUUAAAUUUAAAUUUAAUUUUAAAUUUUAAUUUUCAUAUUUAUUUUUAAAUUUUUAAUUUUCAUAUUCAUUUUUAAAUUUUUAAUUUUUAAUUUAUAAAUUUUAAAUUUUGAAAAAUAGAUUGCAAACUUUAAAUUUUAAAUUUUAAUUUUUAAAUUUUAAAUCUCAAAUUUUAGAUUUUAAAAUUUUAAAUUUUAAGUUUUAGAUUUCAAAUUUACGAUAAAUUUUAAAAUUUGAUAUUUUAGAUUUUAAAUUUUAAAUUUAAACAUUUAAAAGUUUUAAAUUUUAAAUUAUAAAAUUUAAUCUUCAAUUUAAAAAUUUCAAAAUUUUAAAAUUUAAAUUUUAAAUUUUUAAAUUUUGAAUAUUCCAAUUUUAAAUUUUAAAUUUCAAAUUUCAUACUUAUUUUAAAUUUUAAAUUUCAUAAUUAUUUUAAAAUUUAAAUUUUAAAUUCUAAAUUUAAUUAUUUUUAAAUAUUAAUGUUUUAUAUUUUAAAUUUCGUAAUUAUUUAUAUUUUUAAAUUUAAAUUUAAACUUUUAAAUUUCAAAUUUACUUUUAAAUUUUAAUUUUUAAAUUUCAUUAUUAUUUAUAUUUUUAAAUUUAUAUUUAUGUUUUUAAAUUUUAAAUUUUUAAAAUUUUAAAUUAUUUUUAAAUUAAAAUAUCAAAUUUUAAAUUUUGUACAAUUUUGAAAAUUAAAAAUUUUAAUUUUAAUUCAAGUUUAAAUUUAGUUUUUAAAUUAUUUUAAAAUAAAAUUUAAUAAAAAUAUUAAUUUAUGCAAAUAUCAAAAAAAAUUCGCCAAACUGUUUUUCAAAAUCGCUUUAGAAAAAUCGUUUUUAUCUAAACUCAGCCAAAUGCUCUACACCUUUUAACCAAAAUCAUUUCUGCAAACUAAAAUUACUUUUUCAGAAGCUAGGCCAAACGGGCCCUAUCUGCACCAUUAAUAGAUUAUUAUGUGCACAAUUUAAUUAAUUAAUUUUGUCACAUAGUUGGGAACACGCACUUUUUUAUGCAACAUAUUUUUUUUGGGUACUGAUAUUUUCAAAAAAUUCUAUACUCGCAUAUAAGAGAUGCUAUUAUUUAUAUAUAAAUUAACUAUGAAAAUAGGAUUUUCUUUUUUAAAUUAUAUUAAUUUAUUGACGCAUGCAUACCCAUAAAUUAAAAAUACUCCUAAUUAGAAAAGAGCUAAUGAAUUAACAAUUCGAAAAUUAUUGGUAAACAAACUAGUUUGUUAAAUUUACUAGUUUUUUAUGAUAUAAAUUUGAUCAAAUUUGUUAAAUAAAAAUUAGAUUCUAAAAAAUUUUGUAAUCAAACUUUUUUAAGAAAAAAAGGGCAAUUGUUCUUUUUAAUAUGAAUCGUGAUCGUGGUUGGUGGGAGUUGCGGCUGUGAUGAGUUACACGUGUGAAAAAAUGUUUGGUAAAAUACAAAUUAAAUUUAGGCCGUUGAUCAUAGCCUCUCAAAGGUGGAUAACCUCAUUUAAAAAAUAAUAAUAAAUAAAAAUUUGUACAUUUGAACUCAAUUUUUUUUUAUUCUGAUACCAUAUUAAAAAAUAUGAAACAACUAAUCAUUAAUCUUCAAUAGCUUAAGCUGUCAACAAAUUGUAUUUUGACGCCAUAUUAAAGAAUAUGAAGUAGCUGCAAUUUCCAAUAGUUUAAGCUGUGAACGAAUGUUAUUAUUUUUUUUUUUGAGAGAGAGAUAGGUAGUACGCUACUCGCUUCGUUUAUUUCAUUUAGAAAUAAACUUAGUUAGAAAUGUGAAUCAACUAGGAUUCGAAUUUGGGUCUCGGAUACCAACCACCAAAUCCUUUGCCACUAACUCUAUAGACGGUCGGUAACGAACGUUAUUUUUACUGCAAGGAGCAUUGAGGAACUCGAAAUAAGAAUCUCCUGUUCUAAUGCCAAUAUUAAAGAAUAUGAAACAAUCAUUAAUCUCCAAUAGCUUAAGUUGCCAGCGAAUGAUACUUUAAUACCAUAUUAAAGAAUGUAAAAAAAGUUGUUAAUCUCCAAUAGCUUAAGCUGGUGGCGAACGGUAUUUUUAAUGCAAGGAGCACUGCAGAACUCAUAUUCACGACUUCCUACGUACCCUAAUAACAUAUUAAAGAAUGUGAAACGAUUGUUAAUCUUUAAUAGCUUGAGCCGUCAGCGAAUUGAAUUUUGCUAUCUAUUCGUUCAUUUUCGGUAGCUUAAAUUGCCAACGAACAAUAUUUUUAAUGCAAGAAUUAUUGCGGGAUUCAAACUCAUGACAUACUAUUCUGAUACUAUAUUAAAAAAAUAUAUAAAAUAACCGUUGAUCUUCAAUAGCUUAAGCAGCGAGCGAAACAAAGAUGCAAAGAGCAUAUUGCAAACAAAGUAAAAUAAAAAUUUUCCAUUAUUGUACAUGAACAUAAAUUUCCAUGGCCUAGCAUUUUUGAAAAUUAAAAAUAUACAAACAUGAAUUCAUGUGUUUAUGUGACGCCCCAACUUCCCAGGGGGUCACACAUCCUAGGACUACUCCUGUCCCAGCACGCUUAACUCUCUUAACCUCUUGGGCCUUGCCACCACUCAACAUGCUUAAGCUGGGUUAAGAGUUUAGCCCUAUUAUAUCUCAUAUAUAGGACUACCCGGGGUCUCACAAUCUCCCCCCCUUUACGCCCUGACGUCCUCGUCAGGCUCAAACUCACAAGUACCAGGCGAUGUGAGACUUGUCUCGCUAGCCCGUCAUCCAGACCCUGGCUCAGCCGAGACUCAUCUCACACUUCCGGCUGGUAAUUGGCUCUGAUACCAUCUGUGAUGCCCCAACUUUCCAGGAGGUCACCCAUCCUAGGACUACUCCCGUCCCAGCACGCUUAACUUUCUUAACCUCUUGGGUCUUGCCACCAUCCAAAAUGCCUAAGCCGGGUUAAGAGUUUAGCUCUAUUAUAUUUCAUAUAUAGGACUACCCGGGGUCUCAUAGUUUAUUUAGUCAAUUUCUAGUGGAAAAUGUUAACUAAUUAGUACUACCCACGUAACAUGCAUGUGUUCUAUAAAUAAACUAAUGAAAAGUUAGUGGAUUUGCCUCCUCAACGUGUCAUAAACUUAUAAUAAACUCCUCCUCAAAGGACACAAAAAUUGAAAUAAAAGAUUAUAAAAUAGAGUAAAAUAUUUGCAAUAAUUUUAUUUAUGUAUUUUUCCUUCAAGUUGUCAUUUGUCGUCUUAUUAGUUGGACAUUAAUGAGAUGCAAUUAAAAUGGGCCCAUUUUGCCCUUAAAAUAAUGGCAAAUAAAAGAGCACCACUAAAUUGUGAAAUGUGAACAUGCAUGCGAAACAUUAUUAAGAUUAAUUCUAUAGAAUCAUCUAAAUUUUUUUGGCUUAUUUGCGCAUAUACAGCUGUUAAAACUUUAAAAAUUUUAUGUUUCUCACCCAAAUUUUUAACUUUGUAUAUUUUUCAAUUGACCAUCUAAAUUUUUAUUUUACUAAUUUAAAGUUCUCUUAAAAAAAAAUGAACGUUAUACGCCAAUAAUAUUGGAGGAUCUUGUUGACGUUGAAAUUUAUUCUUUCAAUAAAAAAAAAGUAAUAUUUUACUAUUAAUUACUAAAAGUAAAUGUUAAUAAUUAUAUUUAGGUGAAAGCUUUAAAAUUUAGGUAGCUGUAUGUAAAUGGGCGAAAAAUCGGUGUUUCUGGCGCAUUUAAAUUUUUGUUAACCUCUUGCGUGACGCCCUACAUUUCAAGAGAUCAUACAUUCUAGGACUAUUUAGGAUCUUACAUUCUUCCCUCUCUUUAAGCCUUGACGUUUUCGUCAGGCUCAGAAUCACAAAUAUCAAGCGAUAUGAGACUUAUCUCGCUAAUCUUAACCGACCUUGUGAGGGAGCCGCGCUAGCUCUACUCACAGCAGUUAUCAGCAUGAGAGUUUCGCUCUACACACGCUGUAUAAUCUGACUAAGUUGAGGCUCAUCUCACGUUUUCAGCUGAUAAUUGGCUCUGAUACCAAUAGCUAGCGACACCCUACUUUUCAGAAGUCACUCAUUCUAGAACUAUCUGAGGUCUCACAUUUUGAUUCUCUAAAACGCUACUCUUAGGACGAAUUGACCUGCAUACUAUCAAAAAUUUUAAUUAGUUUGUGAAUACAACGUUAAAUAUAAAAUAAAACCACUUUCGUUGGUUUAAAUUUUUAAAGAUAAUUAAUUGUUUGAUAUGAUAUUAGAACAAUUAUUAUCAGAUCCGCAAAUUAAUUUCAGUUCCACGUUCCACAAAUAUAAAAAACAAAAAUAAAAUGCUAAUAAUAAUAAAAAAAGAAUAUAUCGUGUGAGCGUGACAAUGACUACGACGAUUUAAUUAUUAAAUUAUUGUGUAUAUCGCAUGUACGUAGUUAACUAUGUGACAAAAAUUAAUCAUACACCAAUUAAAAAUUGUGGCAUAUGACAAAAUCACACAUAAAUUAAAGUGUAGGCACGGUCACAUUUUUGUAUUUUAGGUAUAUAUGUAAAUUGAUAAACAAUUUAACAUAUCAUCCAUCUCGUGAUUGUGAAUCAUAGGAGUACUAAUAUAUUUUUUUUUGCUACACUUUUUUUUUUCGAAUAAACUAAAAUAAAAAUUUUAGACUAUAUAUAUAUAUAUAUAUAUAUAUAUAUAUAUAUAUAUACAAAAUAUUUUUGGUUUAGCAUUUUUGAAAAUAAAUAAAUAAAUGCAUGCGUUCAUGCGUUUAUUUUAUUCAAUUUAUAGUGGUGAAUAAAUAAGAGUUUUUAUAAAUUAAUGAAAAGUUAGUGAAUUUUCCUCCUCGGACGUGUCAUGAUAAACUCCUCAAAACACUCAAAAUGGAAAUGAGAAAUUAUAAAUAGAAUAAUUAUAUUGUCCAUAGUUUUUAUUUAUUUAUUUAUUUAUUUUUCUUUCAAGUUGUUACUUGUCUCAUUGUGACAUAUAUUCAUUUAUUAAUUAGAAAUUAAUGCGAUCCAACUUGGAUCGCAUUAAUGGUGAAGGAUUUUUACAUAUUGGAAAAAAAGAAAAAAAAAAGAAAAAAAAAAGAAAAGAAAAAGAGCACCACUAUGUUGUGGUUCUACAGUGGAACAAUGGAAAACAUAAAUUAAGAUAUAUUUUUGUUCACUUUAAUUCUACAAAAUAUUUCUUAUUAUUUACAAGACAAAUUUCUCAAUUAAUAACUUUAUUUGAGAAAGACUUAUUUAAUUAGUUGCUAAAGUUAAAAAAAAAUUAAGAUGACGGUUAAUAAAAAUGUGCUAAAAAUAUAUAAAAAAAAUAUUAUCUCAAUUAUUGCCUAUUUGGAUUUAGCUAUCUAAUUUUUAAAAUUUUUAAUUUAACUACCAGACUUUUUAAUUUAUUUGAUUUAAUAAAUUUGUGACUUUUUAACUUCAAGACUUGGAUACAAUGUUUAUCUUUACAAAUUUAAUUAGUAUAUUUUAUAUAAUUUAUUUAAUUAUAAAUUUAUUAAAAUAAAUAAUUAUUUUAAAUUUUAUAUUAGAAUAGCCAUCAAAUUUUUUAAAUCAACAAAUUGAAAGAUUAGAUACUGAAAUUAAAAUUUUAAAGAUUGGAUAAUCGAAUUAAAAUGGUCAAUAGUGUGGUUCAAAAAGCGCUAACCAGCUAUUCCAAAAGUACGCACCGAUAAGAAUGAGACAUUCAUCGCACUUAAGUACUCAGGCUUAAAUCUUAAGCUACCCCAAAAAGUACGUGCUGAUAAAAGGGCGCAUCCAUCGCAAGCUCAGCCUUUAAGCACUCAGGUAUAGUGCUCACGUGUUUCGACCUGACUCAAUCCAUCUCGUCGAUGAAUCGAUUAUUGGAUAUCUUACCAUUAGGUCUAAUUGUGAACUAUAUUUUUACUAAAGAUAUUGGGCUUAAUACAACUCAAUUUAUUAGCGCCCUAAAUUUAUUAUUAAGAAAUAAAAAAAUUAAAUAUAGUGCAUUCAACAAAUACUUUCUAAAAGUUUUAUAUAUUUUUACCUAAAACUGACAGAGUUCUAAUCUUAUAUAGGUAAAAAAAAAAAAAAAAAAGGCAUUAAAUGUGAAAGGGUCUUUGAUUUGUCCCAUCCUUGUAAAUGUCCAUAUCAAAUAUCAAAUAAUCAAAACAAUGGAUCCCACAAAAGUUGAAUUUUAAUCAAUUUAAGAUAACCAAUAAAUAGAUUAGCAACUGUAUAAGUUUAGAAGGCAAAAUUAUACUAAACUUAUUUGAAUUAUAGACUAUUUUGAAUCAACUAUUUAAUCUUUUAAAAUUUUAAUUUAUUAUGCAAUCUCUUAAUUUGUUUGAAUUUAGUCGGUCAGCAGCACUUUGACUUCAAAUUUGAAUGAAUCGUUUAUUUUUACAAAUUUAAUUAUAUACUGUAUAUAAUUAUGGUAAAUGUAAAUUCAAUAAAGUAAGAAUUAGCUUAAAUUUUAAAGUCAAAUUUUAAAGCAAUUAAGAAUUAGCUUAAAUUUAAUAAAUUAAAAGAUUGGAUAAUAAAAUCAAAUUUUUAAAAGACCACCAAAUCUGGUCGAUAGCAGUACUUUGAGACUUGCAUAUAUAAUUUUGUAAAAAGUUUGAAACAGAAAGAAAAUUAUUUUAUAUUCUAGUACAAAAAAUAAUAAUAAAAUUAGAUGGAUCAAUGUGGUUCUACGAUAAGUUCUGGUGCUUAAUUAUCAUAAAUAAAAGAGAAGAAACACCAUUUUUUGUUUGAAAUUUUGAAAAAUUAUGUGUAAACUAAGAAACCAAAACAGUAGUGUAAUUAAUAAGCUCUAGAGAGUUGCUUAUUAAAUUAUUUGAUAACUAUUCAAAGGUCUAAUUUUUCAAAAUUAAAAGUAUAAAAAUCUAGUUGCAAAAAUAUUAGAGGCCUUUCAUAAAUGUUAUUUUUACUGAAGUUCUGCACGUAAUUAUCAAAACUAAAAGGGAGUGUAUAUAUAUAUAUAUAUGGUCCGCUACUUACAUUAUGUAGUACGAUCACUCUCGGUACUCAUAAAGUUUGUUUCGAUAUAGAGCCUUCGCAAUCGAUGAUCGCACACCGUUAAACGUUAAUUUACAAUCAUGUAAGAACUUCUUAAAAUUCAAAUUUUAUACAUUUUUCGACAUCAUUUACCCUUAGCGGUCAAGAGGUCACAAAUUUGACAAUUUUUUAACGGCGUUAGAUACAUGUAGUUUUAACGCGUGUAAAAGAAUCGAAAUUUAUGAAUUUUUGAUUAGAAAAAUUCUAUUCAGCUACAUAAUAAAAAUCAAUAACUCCGAUCUUAAUUGAAGGACCGAUCAUCCUUUUUUAGGGACGUCGUUCGCGAUUGAUCCGUUCAGUUUUGCCGCACUUGAUGAACUUUAUUAGAUAUUCGAGAAAAUUUACGAAAUUUAUUUUUUAGAAGUAUUCAAAUACUUUAUGAUCAUAUUUACGGAGUAUAUUUCGAUUUCGGAUCUCCAUCAUUGAAAAACCAACUAUAUGCAGUACUGAGGGCUUCCAAUUAUCAUAAUAUGAUUAGUAGGCCAGGGCCUAUAUAAUAUAUAUAGUAUAUAUUAUAUUGAUGAGAGACGAGAGAGCAAGGAGAGAGAUUUUGAGAGAGAGAGAAGAGAAGUUACUAGACUACUAUAGUAGCAAAAAUUUCAUUGUUCUACCAUAAUUUUUAGCAUUUGGUAUCAAUUUUCUCUUUUCAUUAUUGCUAACCAUUGAAUAAAAUAUAUAGACCCAUGUGGACCAAUCACAUACCCGGGACCACUCAACACUAACGAUAAUAUCAUCCUGACACCUUACAAUUUUUUUUUCUCAUCCCAAGGGUUAAAAUUUGAUAGGAAAAAGAGCUUUUUACUAUUAAUCAGUAUUCAGUUCGAUAUAGAAUUUAGGCUCGAAUACUAUUAAUAGUAAAAACGCUUCUUUUUCCUAUCAAGAUAUUUAACUUCCUGCGAUGAAAAAUUUGUAGUGUCAAGACAUGAUAUUAGCGGUUAGUGCUUGUUUUCCCACUUGCCUAGUUGAUGGUCCCCACUGGUUAUAGUUUUAAGCUCCAAUGGCUUAAGAUAAUAAUACAAAAGUUGAUUCCAAAUAUUCUAAAAAACUGGUAUGCAACAAUGAAAUUUUGCUACUAAUACUAGCCCAGUCCAACUCUCUCUCUCUCUCUCAUCUCUUCUCUCUUCUCUCUCUCUAUAUAUAUAUUAUAAUAUAUUAUAUAUAUAUACGUCCGUACCACUUACAUAUCGAUAAGUACCAACUCUAUACUAUUGAGUUCUCUAACCGUAGACCAACACAUUCUGAUCAUUCCACCCGUUAGACUUUAGUAAUAUUAACCAAGCCACCCACUCAACCAUAAGAGGACCACUAUCAAUAACGGGACCACUAUGAUCCUACUGCACAUCUUAUUUAUCCAACGGCCGAAAAUUCAAUAGCUACCAAAGGCUGGUACUAUUGAUAUUAUAAUACUAAUCAUAAUAUAUAUAUAUUAUAUAUAUUAUAUACUAUAUAUUAGUAUAUAUUUGAGUCGUUAUGGUGCGUAUAAAAGUACAAGCACUUGGUGCUUGUAAUUUUUUAAGUCCGUAUAGAUCUACGCUUUGAUCAUUUUCACCGUUAGAUUAUACUAUUCAACCACCACCCACUAAACCAAGGGGUGGGUGGUAUAUCUAUAUAUAUAUAUAAUAUAUAAUUAUAUUAUAUUAUAUAUAAUAUAUAUAUUUAUAUAUAAUGGUGAUCCUCCAUGCCUAUAUUAAAAGUUAACCAAAAUCAUUGUGCUGUAAAGUUCUUUAGCCCUUGAAUUAAUAAAUGUGCGGUUAGAGAUGCGAGCUCCCUAUGGGUUGAUGGCGUGGUGUUGAAUAGUAUCAAUCUAACGCUCUGUAAAGAUCAUCAGUGCUGAUCUACUACGUUAAAAAACCUACCAAGCACAUAAGUCAUUGCUGCCUGUUUUAGUCAACGCCCAUAGCGUACUAUAUAAUAAUAAUAUAUAAGUAAUAUUAAUAUAUAUAUAUAUAUAUAUAUAUAUUAUAUGAGCAGGGCUGCUCUGCUCUCAGUGACAACGGCAGGCCCUGUCCUGAGCCGUUUUUCAUGAUUGGAAUUUCGCAAUCUGACGAUUCCUCGCUCCGUUAGACUUGAUCUAGCGCAUUUGAAGUUUCUUAGAUCAAAUAAUUUUUGUGCAUUUUUCGAUCUCAUUACCUAGUGAUCGAAAUGAAAUUCAAAAUCCAUAAAUUUUAAUGUUGAUAUUGCCCGUUUUCAAGUAACAGUGUAGAAGUAUUCAAAUAGAUGAAAUUUUAAUAGAAAAUUUCUUUACUACUUACAACAAAUCUAUAUAUUCUGAUCGAGAUUUUUAGUACCUUAUCUACAACUUUUAUAGAAUUUUUAUUUCAGCCGUUAAAAUUAAUUGAUUUUGAAUUCCUUUCGAUUGCUAGGGUAAAUAUAUCGAAAAACGCAAAAAUUAUUUUCCUAAAAUUUAAAUACAACGUAGAUCAAGUUAACGGAGCCGAUCGUGCGAUUCGAAAACUCCAUCAUCGAAAACGGUCUAGGUGAGCACGGAGGCCUCCGGCCCUGAAGCACGCACCUGCGACUAUAUAUAUAUAUAUAUAUAUAUAUAAUAUAUAUUCUUCAAAAUUCAUAUGUCAAACAUGUAAUCGAAAUGGUCGAGCAAUUAAUACGUUCGUGUAAAGAGAGAGGUGUACAUUAUUUGACUAUUUGAUGCGUAGAAAAAAUGGACUAAAAAUCAGAAAUUACGAUUUUAGAACCCCCAAUAGCGUAUAUAAAUUAUUGGGAGAUUCUCAAUAGAUUUAGCUGUUGACGGAGAUCGUAUGGCCCGACGGAUACGGAGCCUACAGAACCAAAAGAUGGAGAGAGAGACGUCAGUCUCAGAUAGAGACCGGGGCCGAAGAGAGAUCAGACAGAGAAAUAUAGCAACCGGUCGCGCCCACAGCACGAAACACGAGAAGAGAGAUAUUUGUCUCGAAGAGGAAAAAAAUUUAGAAUGCAACGAAUAUAUUGGUGACGUGACGUAACAAAUCAAUCAAAUAUCUUCUUUUAGAGGUAUACGUUUUAUAAUAAUUGUAAAAAGAAUAUUUUUAUUAUACUUUUGUUUUAAAAAAAGGAAUGUGAUUGGCUUGUUAUUGAUGACGUGGUGCAAGUAUGACAGUAUAGAAUUCAUCCUCGAAGAGAGGUCGGAAUGAUAGAUCAGAGAGAGAGAGGACAAUCAGCGGAGCCUCAAAUGGGAAAGCAAAGCAGGAAUCCAAGCAACCGAAAAGCCGACAUGCAGAUAUUUGAUUAUUUCCGACGUAACGAGUAUUCAAUUUAAACACUCUAAUAAUGACUUAUCAGAGAAAGAAGUGUUGAAUCCAACUCUGUUUUGAAUUAGUCUAAUAUCACUGCAAAAGCUUAACUUAAUAGAUAAAAAACCUCUCGAUUUAUCAAACAAUUCAGAAUUCUAAUUUAUAUUUAAUACGAAACUAAUAUAUUUAACGUUUCUGCUCGGCCUGUGUUAGGUUUUACUAGCGAAUGAAAAUUGGACAAAAAUGGACUAAAAAAAAGAUGAGAAUUGUAUUUUAGCUUUUCCAUUAAUAUCAUUUUUUUUCUAGGGAAAAUUUUCAAUUGGCCCCUGUGGUUUAGUGUAUUUUCAAUUAGGUACUUUAUGAUUUGAAUACCAUUAAGUAAGAUACUAAAUAGAGACAAUUUAUAAACUAUAGGAUAAUAAAUUAAUAUAUUUUUCAAAUCAUGGGAUAGUAAAUUGUAGCAUUUUUGUAACUUAUACUUUUAUAUAGCGUGGUUUUUAAAUAAAUUAAUUUAGUACUCUACUUAACGGCAGAUCUUAAUGAAAAAUGAGACACUUUAAAUCGCAAAAUACCAAACUGAAAAUAUGCGAAAUCACAGCAGAGCAAAAUGGAAGCUUUAUCUUAUUUUUAAUCAGGAAGUUUUGAGCUAAUCAAGGAUUAGUUUAAAUUAAUCAAGGUUAGUUAACCAAUCCAAUUCAAUUAAUCCAAUUGAAUUUAAAGUUGUCUGCAUCAGUUGGCAGUCUUUUCUGCCAAUCUUUAAAUUCAUAUUCCGUGAAAGACUUUUUCUCAUUCCCUGACAAAGAAUGGUACUAAGAUUGAUUGCUGGGACUACGACGACAACAACGACGACGAUAGUGGCAAAAUCCACGUAAAUUAUUCAUUGUAUUUGAAAUUUUUUGAUUGAUUAAUUAGCAAGUACUUACCGAGUCUCGUCGAUCUCACGAUGUCAAGGUAAACGUAAGCUAUGCGGCAAAUACCAAAGAUCAUGGAACGAUGACGAUGGUGGCGGCGAAACCACGUAGAUUGCUUCUUCUACCUGGAGACUGUGGUUUGAUUGGCGAACAAUCACCCAAUUUCAUCGAUCCCUCGAUCUCAGAUUAGAAGUUUUUAAGUCAUGUCACAAUUUCCAAACCUAAUUUAUUGCUCGUACCUAUUUGUGCCUAACCAAUCCAAUUUAAUACAUGUAUUAUAUUUGUUGAAUAUAAGAAUAUAAAAAUAUCAUUCUCUAAAAGCUUACUGUAUUAGAGAAAAUAUUUUUAUCAAAUCAGAAAGUUUCGGAUUCGAAUACAGUCAGGCUCUUACAGUUUAGUAUAUUAAAAAAAAAGUUAAUUUAAUUAUAUUGCACAUUUCCAAACCUAAUGUAUUUUUUCAAACCAUAUUUAUGCUUAACCUAUCCAACUCAAUAUAUGUAUUGCAUUUGCUGAUUAUAAAUAUAUAAAUAUAUAAAAAGAAGUUAUUUUAUGUUCUCUAAGAUGGUGGAAAAAUAUGAGAAUAAGAAGUUUUGAGUUCAAAUUCCAUGAGAGUCCCAACAUCUACUAUCUUAAAAAAAAUUUAAUUUUAUAAUUAUAAUUUAGAUUAAUCUAAUGCAUGUAUUGCACAUAUCCAAAUCUAAUCUAUUGCUCAUAUAUACCUCUUUAUGCCUAACCAAUCUAAUUUAAUAUAUGUAUUAUCUUUGUUGAAUUUGAAAAUAUAAAAAUACCGUUCUCUAGUAAUUUAAAGUAUUAGAGAAAAAUAAGCAUUUUACAUUUUUUUUAACAUGAUAUUGGAAUAAAAAGUUUUGAGUUCAAAUUCAGUGGGACUCUUCACUUCUAUUGUCUUAAAAUUUUAAAUUUUUAUAAUUAUAAUUCAGAUUAAUCUUGUGCGUGUAUUGCACGGAUUAUAUAUGCAAGAAAAGUACCCAAAUUCUCAUUUUGUGAUAUGAAUGAAAGCGAAUGAAUUGAUUAGUGAUCAAUAAUUAGAUUAUAAUUUGUCGCGCCAUUUCAAAUAGAAACCUAAUUCUAGCUUAGUUUACCACUUAUAAUCUAAUAAAGGACAUUACUAGGACCCUCACAAAUGCAAGCAAGCACCAAAAUUAGCAAUUUGUGACAUGCUUAAGUAACCUACAAAGUGAUUAGUCAAAACUUAUAUAAGGUGACAUCAUUUUCAAACCUACAUCUUAGUAUAGCUUAAGCAAUUUAUAAUAAAGGAUAUCUCUAGAACUUUACUGAUGAAAGGAAAAUAGCAAAAUUCUCUAUUCAUGAUAUGUUAGAAUAACUUGGAUUUUUUUUUUCUUAGGGAAAACAAGCCCUGAGGCGAUUUUAUUUAAUUAAUCAAUGAAUACAGACUGAGAAAAUUCAUCAAUUGAAGACAAAAAAAAAAAAACUUUUUACUAGCGAGGUCUCAAGUGGCCAAGCGAUCCGCGACUAUAGCAUUCUUAGAAAAUCUCAAGAUGGAUUUGAAUAUCUCUGUAAAAAUCCAUAGCUCUGUGAUUCUUGUCCGAGUUUCAGGUGUUUAGCAAAUCUAAAUGAUAACUCCUGAGGUGCAAAGUUUUGAUAUUAAUUAGAUGCUGAAUCUGAGAAGAUAUGAAAAGUUUCUCCAAAAUACAUUUGUAAAAGAAGCUCUAUCGCUCAAGGGAUUGCUCCAAUUUCCACCGAGCAACUUCGAAAUUGAUUAGUCAAAAUAUAAAUAGUGAGCCAUCAUUUUCCAAUCAAAAAUAUAUACCAAUCUUAGGCCAACAAAUUUGAAGGACAUUAGAAGAAUCUCGAUAGAUGGAAGUAAAAAUCCAAAUUUUUAUAUAUAAAAAUAUUAUGCAUUGGAUGCUACAUAAAAUUAUUGGCAAAAAUAUAAAAGAACAUCCCCAUCAAUACUCUCAUUUUUCAUUUUUUCUCUCUGCCUUUCAAAAUUUAUAUUUUAUUCCCUUAAAAUUUUAAUUUGAUGCAUUUAAUUUUCCUUCGUCAGAGUUUCGUCACUAUUCUCUCCCGUUCUUAUAAUUUAUACCGAAAAUACUUUGUAAAAUGAUAGAAAUAUACUAUUUUUUAUAUAUAUAUAUAGAGCAAGUAAGAGCAAUUUUGUUAUUUCUUCAUCUUUAGCUAUUAACGCAUAACCUUGCGAAAAUAUUUUUUUAAUUUUAGAGGUGCAAAAUUUAGAUUUUUGAAAGUGAGAGAGAAAAAAAUAAAAAAAUAGAUAUUUACAGAAAAUUUUUUAUAUUUUUCCCAAAACUAUUCUUACAGGCAUACUUUUAUUUUUUUUUUCUUUUCACNUAAUCUAACGGGUGAAAAUGAUCAAAGGUGCAUAUCUAAUGGUAAAAAAUUCACAAGCACCAAGUGCUUGGUACUUUUACAAAUAUAGAGUUGAGCUACAAUACUAUCUGUAGUAAACGAGUCGUUUUACUACCGAUUUGUUUUCGAUGAUAGAACUUCCAAAUUGACAAUCGGCUCCGUUGAAUAUGAUCUAUACCACUUGAAGUAUUUAGAAAUCAAAUUUCAUACUUUUCCUAUAUUGUUCUCUUGUCUAUCAAGAUCGAGAGUAUAGAUCUUGUUCUAAAUAGUUUAAAGAAUUUUCUAGCCAAAAUUCAAUUGAUUUGGAUAGCUUUACACCGUUAAAUGAGAAAAUGCUUCAUAUUUACCAUUAAAAUUAUAAAUUUUAAAACCUUUUGAUCAUUAGGUCAAUGAUGUCAAAAAGAUUUGAAAUUUAGUUUCUAAAUACUUCAACUAUUAUAGAUCAUGUUCACCGGUGCAAAUAGUCAAUUUGGAGUCUACAUCAUCGAAAACAAAUGGGUGGCAACGAAGGCCGUUUGCUACCGAUAGUAUUUUAGCUCAACUUGGUGCUAUUGAUAGUAUUCCAGCCUAAUUUUAUAUAUAUAUAUAGAGCAAGUAAGAGCAAUUNNNNNNNNNNNNNNNNNNNNNNNNNNNNNNNNNNNNNNNNNNNNNNNNNNNNNNNNNNNNNNNNNNNNNNNNNNNNNNNNNNNNNNNNNNNNNNNNNNNNNNNNNNNNNNNNNNNNNNNNNNNNNNNNNNNNNNNNNNNNNNNNNNNNNNNNNNNNNNNNNNNNNNNNNNNNNNNNNNNNNNNNGGUUAAAUCUAACGGUGGAAAACUCGUUAGCACCAAAUCCUUGGUACUAUCGAUAGUAUCCCAACCGGACUCUCUCUCUCUCUCUCUCUCUCUCUCUCUCUCUCUCUCUCUCUCUAUAUAUAUAUAUAUAUAUAUAUAUAUAUAAUAAGUCUUGUGUGCUAUUAGGAGCACAAGUCUUGUGUGCUAUUAGGAGCACGGAGGCGGAGGUCUCCGUGCUCCUAAGCCGUUUUCAAUGAUGGAGCAUCCGAAUCGACAAUCGGCUCCGUUAGACUUAUCUAACGUAUUUGAACUAUCUAGAAAAUAAUUUUUGUGAUUUUUUGGUAUCAUAUUUCUAGUGAUCGAAAGGGUUCAAAAUCAACACUUGGUGCUAUAUAUAGAGUCCGGCUGCUAUGCUAUCGAUAGCACCAAGCAUUUGGUGCUAUCAAAUUUUCUACCGUUAGAUUAACCCCUUCCAUUAUUUUUACCCGUUAGAUUAUGCUAUUCAACCAACCACCCACUCAACCCUAGAAGACCCACAUCAUCCUAACCGCACAUUUGUCAAUCCAAGGGCUAAAAAAUUAAUAGCACCAACAACUUGGUGCUAUUGAUAUUAUUUCAGCCUAGUUCUAUAUAUAUAUAUAUAGUCUGUCUACUAUAUUCUUAUAAGUACGAUCACCUUCGCACUCAUAAGUUGUUUUUUAUAAUAGAGCUUUCGAAUCAACGAUUCAUGCCGUUAAAUAUUUUCUAGAAUAUUUAAAACUUCUAGAAAUUAAAUUUUAUAAUUUUUUGACAUCAUUUACCUUAUGAUUAUUUCUAAGGGCGCGGUAUGGGAUACUUGCUAAUUUAACGAGGUAAAAGAAUCAGAAUCGGUUGAAUUUUUUAUUAAAAGUUCUAUUCACUAUCUAGAAAAAAAUCAAUAACUCCGAUCUUAAAUUGAAGGAUCCGACAUCCAUUUUUAGGACAUCGUUCAAUUUUGACCGUUCAUUUUUUGCCUACUUGAUGAAUUUUAUUAUGAUUUCAAAAAUUAUAAAAUUUAUUUUUUAGAAAUUUUAAGUACUCUAGAUCAUAUUUAACGGAGUGGAUCGUCGAUUCGGAAGCUCCAUCAUCGAAAACAACUUAUGAUUACAAAGGGCUCUAUACUCAUAAGAGUAUAGUAGCCCUACUCCUCUCUCUCUCUCUCUCUCUCUCUCUCUCUCUAUAUAUAUAUAUAUAUAAUUUUUGAUUUACCUCGGGCUACUAUUCAAAAUUUUCAAAAUUAUCUGAAACUACCAAAAUAUCCUUCUAAAUCUCAUAUUCUAUUACUAAAAUUUUUUUAAUUUAUCAUGAAAUUAUCAAAAUAUCCUUCUAAAUCUCAAAUUCUACCGUAAGCUCUAGGAGUUCGGGAAUAUUUGAAAGAAUUUGUGAAAAUUAAUAAGAACAUUUUGGUAAACCAGAAAUAUAUUAAAUAUUUUUAAAAUUUUGAAGGAUAAAUUAGAUAUUAUCCCGAAUAAUAUGUACAUACGUAGAAUCAAAUAGCCCUUUUAAGCAACAAGAUCUAAUAAAGCGUGUUACUAUAAUUAACCUCUAUGAAAGUAAGCAAAGCAGCAAUAAGUGAAGUGAAGAUAUAAAUAAAAUAUAUUAACAUUUUCAAAUCAAAAUCAUAAGUAAUGAAUGCAAGGAAAUAAAAAGAAAAAAGGCCUUUUCAUUUCAUAAUAUGCAAAGUUUUAAUUAAAUUAUGAAUUAUUUAUCAUACCCGUGAAACAGAUGCAACAAUAAUAAAAUAGGCAUAAUCGAGGGAAAGCAUGUGGUCACACUAUACUUGGUAUUAUUAAAUGUUACCCUUUUUGACCUAUAUAUUGCAGUGCAUACCAUGUGACAUGUUAUUUUAAUUUGACACUUUAAUUAGAAAAAUAUACAUAAUUAUUACAGCCAAGAGAUAUAUUAUUAUAUAUAUAUAUAUAUAUAUAUAUAUAUAUAUAUAUAUAUAUAUAUAUAUAGUACAAUAACAUGUGAUAAUUUUAUUUUAAUCGGGCACGUUAACCUUAAAAAAAAAAGAAGAAAUGUUAUUUUGAUUCAGCAAACAAGUGCGAGGGACAUGCUUUGUGUCCAUUAUUUUAAAUUAUACGUGUUAUUUAACUACAAGUUUUCAUAUUAUAUAUGUAAGAAUAUUUAUUAUAUAAGAGUAAUAUUCUGUUACACUAAACGUUAUUUUUGUGUGUAUAUUAAUCAAAUUUUUCUAUAUUUAUACACUAAUACACCAACUAUUUAUUAGGUUAGGUUAGGAUUAAUUGCAGGUGACUUGUAAUAGUACUCUAUAUAAAAUAGUUGAUUUUUAUAUUAACAAAUAUUUUUUUUAUUAAUUUGAUUCAAAAUUGAAUUUUAGAAUAUUCAAUGAAUCUGAUAGGUGUCUUAUUAAAACCAAAUAUGUCGGUAUCACGAAAAGGAAGUACGAAUAAUUAUUUAUUAGAAAAUAGAGUAUCCCUGCAAGGAGUCCACUAUAAAAUCUUUUCGUAUUAAUUAGUAUUUUCGAUACAGAGGAUUCUGAUUGAUUCAUAAAUAGGAAGCUUCUCAGCAACUCUUUAUUUAGAAACUCUCUGUAUGUUGCUACUUGUCUAAAUAGUACGAAAUGAAAUUGAUGAGAAUAAUCCGAUCCACACUAUAAUUUUGGAUUCAUUACUUAAAAAAGAAGUACUAAGUCUACAAAAAAAGAUGGUAGGAUUAUAAUCCUCAAUCGAAAAGUUUUAACCCUGUUCUUAAAGUUCAUAUAAAUUUUUUAAAUUUUAACAUUAAAAAAAAAGAGAAAAAUUUGACUAUUGAGACGAAUUUGACGCGGAAUGAUAAGUUGGAAGAAAUAUUUUAUGAUUGUUUCUUACAAAUUGUAUCUCUUUCUUUUGUUUUAAGUCCUACUAGCAGUGUUGCAAGCGUCGUAAUUCUCUAAUUUCUUUUGAGUUGUAAAUUUAGGACGUGUUUGGUUCACCUAUAUAAACUAUGAAACAGAAAUAUGAUUCAUUGAUUCUCAUAAUUAUUGUUUGUUUACAGGGAUCAAAUUAUGAUCCGUUUCAUUCUGAAAUACAAAUGUUCAAUACAUUUGUAGCCUAAUCCAACUUUGAGUGCUUGAUUGGCCUAUUCGAAUGUAAACGACCCACAACCCUCUUUCACAGAAACCUCUUAGUCCUUUCCAUUUAUGACUCUUCGCUCUCUUAACCAAGACUUUCUCUUAGAAUUCUAUAUGUCGAUUCUGAUUUUUCUUUUAAUAAUAAAUCAAAAGAAAAUUGGAUAAUCCUUAGUUUAUUCUUCAUUCUAAUGCAAUAUAAUUUCGUUUCUCAUUUUUAUUCUAAUUAUGAGCCAAGAAUGGAUUCAAAAUUAAUAAAAAGGACCGAAUUCUUUUUUUACCAAUUCUUCGUUCUUCAGUCUUUUUUUACUUUGACGCUAUGAAAUUACAGUAAAACCCACCACCGAAAGUGAAAAUUACACUUUUGGUUCUCCAACUUUAAGAAAUAUUAUUAUUUAGCCCUUAAGUCUUCUAAAUCAUUACAAUUAAACCUAUGUCACAAAUCAUAUAAUUUGAGCUAUAAAUUAUAACAAAUUAAAAUUUAAAAACUAAAAUAUCAUGCGCAUUAUAAGUACGAGCAUCAAAAGUGUAAUCUAUCCCCAAUUUUUACGUUUAACUUCUAAAAAAUAACCAAACCAGGAAUUUAAUUAAUUAAAAGCUUAGCUCUAAUUAUUAUGGGUGUAAUCUAUUAUAUUGGCAUAAAUUUGUCUGUGGAAAGUGAGGGAUUCUACACUGUCACACUUGCACCACGUCACCAAUAAUAAGUGGAUCACGUUUCUUUUUUUCAAACAAAAGUAUGAUAAAAAUAUAUUUUUAUAAUAAUAAUGAGACAUAUCUUUAAGAAAAUUUUGAUUGAUUUUUCGCGUCACGUCAUCAAAUAUUUUAAAAUUUUUCCAGAAGAGCAAUCCGGUCAUUACUGCAGAAUAACUGAAGCAGAUACAGGCGGGGACCGUACGGUUUACAGACAGACAACAAUAACCCGCUACUCACAUUGCACGCGAGUGCUGACUUCCAACUCGUGGGCUCGUGUCAGACGCUCACAUGGGACGACUGCAGAAACAUGUACGACAGCUUUUUAUUUUUUUUUUAUUAUUAUAUAUUUUAGGGGCAGUUUGAAGGUUAAAAUAUUGGGUAAACUUCAAAACUCAGCCCUGUAGUUUCACACUUUUUCACUUUAAUAUAUAUGAUUUAAAAUGUAUCUAGUUAGUAUCAUGUUGUUUUAUUUUUAUUUUUUUUUUUGUUAAUAUUUCGUUAAAUUAUAUACAAAAAACUUCAGAUACUUCGCCUAGAUUUAUCGAAUAUUAAUUUCAGUAUAUUUUAGUUUUAAAUUUUGUCAUUGUUUUAAUAAAAAAAACUUAGUAGAAUCGGUAAUAAAAAAACAAAAACAAAACAGUAGGGCAUUAAAUUGAUAUACUUUAAAUCAUAGGGUACUAACAUGAGAAAGUAUGAAACCACAGAGAUGGUAUUUGAAGUUUUCCCUAAAAUAUUUUUUAGGGCAAUUUUACGAAGGAGGUAAUAUACUAUUUUUUUUAAAAAAAAUAUUAUAUAUUUUUUAAACUAAUAUUUUUUUUAUUUUUUUAUAGUGUUUUAAACAUUGAAUAAUAAGCAAAAAAAUAUUAUCACGAGUACAAUUGUCUUCGUAUUUAUAAAUUUUUUUUAUAAUAACAUUUUUGAAUCAACAUUUCCGUGCUAUAAACAUAAUAUAGAAUAUUUAAAUAUUGUAAAAAUAUUUUAAAAUACAAUUCAAAGCAGUUAAAAUAUUGAUUUUCAGAACUCUUUAUAUAUUUUUCAUGAAAUUGAUUCUUGUGGUUAAAGGUGUUCUAGUCUCUUCACAUAAAAUUAUUCGUUUUUGAGUGUUUUUUUUCUUCUUAUUUUUUUGAGGUAAACUUAUUGGUACCUUCCAAAUUUUUAUCAAAGUUUUACUUUGACCUCUAUUUCUUUUCUUUUCUUUUUUUCUAAGGGACGAAUGUACGAAAACAUCACUUAAAACUUUAGAAUUUUUGAUAAAUAAUGUUUUCAACUUUCAAUUUUGACAACUAAAUUCUCUAAAUUUUAUUAAAUAAUUUACGUAUAUGCUCCUUGUCGAGCAAAAUUACUAAUUAAAGCUUUAAAUAUAGCGAAAUAUGUCUUUUUUUAUUUUAAUGCUCAAACAGUUUCUAUAAAAUCCGUCACAAACAUAACAGUUUAAUUAGUAACUUUACUUGAAGAGAAAGACCAUACAAAUUAUUUUUUAAAUUUUAGAAUUUUAAUUAUUAAAAUUAAAAGUUCAGAGAGUCUAUCGACAAACUAUAAAGUUCAGAAGGUAUGUAAUUUCUCGUAUCUUUUAAAAUGAUUAUUUUCAUACAAGGGGGUGAAGUAACGAAUAAAACCUUAGUAGGAAACUCCUCGGCAACAUCGAUCUCCUCAUUUUUUUUCAAAUGUAAAAAUUGUAUCAGUAGAUUUCCAAAGUAUUAGAAAUUGACUUUUGACCUUCAUUAAUUGUUCCAGAAUAAUCUUCUUCAAGUGAAGGGUGCGGUAACACUUAAGUAUUUGAAAACUCAUACAUCUUAACUUGUAACUUGAGCCAGAAUCAGCUUCCUAGUGUUUGUCUAAGUUUACUUCGCAUUUAUUUUUAUUUCAAAGUCAAUUUUAAAAUACUUUCUAAACUUUUAAGAUAUGUUUUAAAUUGACCCUUCUUUUAAUGCUAAGUUUGUUGAUCCAUUUAGAAAUAUACUAAACUGAGUUUCGCUCUGAAGUGUUUAGGUGACUACUACUUCGUCGAAACCCUUCAUUCAGUGAGAGCGUGGAUUAAUUUCUAUUUUCAAUAUUUUGUGCAUUAAAAUUCAUGUAUUACAGGCAAUCUCAUAUGUUACGUUUACUUAAACCUUAGUUCAAAAAACAUUAAAUUUAUUUUGAAAAAAUAAAAUAGAGAUCAAAUUAAGUAAACAUUCAUAACUGAAUGCUGUGCACAUGGAUCAACCAAACUUAACUAGCCAUUUAGAGCUACAUGAUAAUUUACCAAAUUCUUGGUUUCAUACACAAAUGCAGUAAUUCUUAUCCUGAACGAUCAGCGGCUAAAGUUCUUUCUAAAAAAGUAAAUAAAACUGAUAGCAUACUAUUUUCGUUUUUUCCUCAAUAAAAAAAAGAUGAAGGUUUCAAAAAAGGUAGAGUGUUGAACAUGCUCAUGCAUAUUUACUAUGUUUUUAUUAGAGCGUGAUUUUUUCUGAUACCAAUUGAUCAAAUCAGUACUUGUGUUAACACCGAUUAUGUAACACAAAAUAUCCUGACAACAAUAACUAUAUAUAGUUAUUAAAUCAUAACAGAUGGUAAAUUCAACUUUUACUUUGAAUACCUACAAAUAUUAAUCAUAAUCAAAUAAAAAGCUUAAAUUUAUCUCUAAUUAUGUUUUAAUUAAGUUUGAAUUAUCAUUCUAACAGUUUUAAUCCCCGGUAUUGAAAAAAGAAAGAGCUAUUUUUAGCCGCCCUCCUGGAAUUAAACUAGACCCAAAGACCCAGGCGGCUACAAAGAAGAUUCCUAGCCACAAGCAUUACUCACGUUUCUAAUAAACAAUUUUCCUCCAUAUAUGUUUUGAAUACGUUAUUGGGUACAUUAAUUAUAUCAUAAAGAUAUAAAUAGCGAGGGAGCUGAGCCACCCACAGAAAGAGAGAAACAUAAGAAAUUAAAAAAGAAAGAUGGUUGAGAUCUUGGAGACGAGUUUUGUAGUUCCCAGUGAGGAGACGCCGAAGAAGGGGCUAUGGCUAUCGAAUCUCGACGUGGCGGCGACGCGGGGCCACACGCCGACGGUGUACUUCUUCCGGUCGAACGGCGACCCCGACUUCUUCUCCGCGGAGGCCGUCAAGGCGGCGCUCGCUAAGGCCCUCGUGCCAUUCUACCCUAUGGCAGGCCGUCUCGGCGUCGACCGCGACGGCCGCCCCGAGAUCGACUGCAAUGCCGAGGGCGCCGUCUUCGUGCUCGCGCGCUCCGACCAGCACACCGUCGACAGCUUCAAGGACUUCGAGCCCUCCCCCGAGAUGCGCCGGCUCUUCGUCCCCGCCAUCGACUCCGCCGACCCGCCCUGCCCCGUCCUCUUCCUCCAGGUCCGUUCCUACACAUUAUGAUGGGACUUCUGUAUCGACGAUUCUUCUUUCACAAGUCUCGUAAAUUGUGACCUUUAAUUUAUUUACGAAACAAACGAAAAAUACACGACAACGAUUGAUAUGAAAGCCACGACUUAUCUCUACACAGGAUGAUGGAAUUUCUGUAUCGACGAUUUUUUUGAUAAGUCCCAUAAAUUGUGACCUUUUAAGUUAUUUACGAAAUAAACAAAAAUACAGGACAAAAAAAAUAGAUUGAUGUGAAUAUGAACGUCACGACUUAUCAUCGACUGUUUCUAAGUGCAGUUGACGGUGCUGAAAUGCGGGGGAGUGGCGCUGGGAACGGCGAUGCACCACCUGGCGGUGGACGGGCGCAGCGCCUUCCACUUCAUCCAAACAUGGGCGGCGCUGGCCCGCGGGGGGGAGGCGGCGGGNGCUGGCACGCGGGGGGGAGGCGGCGGCGGGGCUGUCGCCGCCGUUCCACGAGCGGACGCUCCUCCGGGAGCGGACGCCGCCGGCAGUCCUCUUCGACCACCCCGAGUACGCGCCCAGCGCCUUCCCGCCGCGCGCGCCGGGGCCCUGCGUGACCACCAUCCUCAAGCUGUCGAGAGAGCAGGUCGCCUUCCUGAAGGCCCGCUGCGUCGCCCCCGGCGGUUUCGUGUCGACGUUCCGGGCGGUGGCGGCGCACGUCUGGCGGAGCAUGUGCGUGGCGCGCGGGCUGGCGGCCGACGCGGAGACGCGGCUGUUCCUGCCGGCGGAGGUGCGCGGGCACCUGCGGCCGCCGCUCCCGCCGCACUACUUCGGGAACGCGCUGGUGCGGGUGUCGGCGCAGGCGCGGGUCGGGGACAUCGUGGCGGGGCCGAUCGGGUUCGCCGCGGAGCGGAUCAAGAGCGCGGUCGACCGCGUGAGCGACGAGUACGCGCGGUCGGUGAUCGACCACCUGGGCGUCAUAAAGCGAGGGGGGAUGUCGGCCAAGCGCGGGCUGCCGGACACCGACCUGUCGGUCGUCAGCUGGCUCGGGAUGCCCAUGUACGAGGCCGACUUCGGGUGGGGCGCCCCGCAGUUCAUGGCCCGCGCCCAGACCUACGGCAGCGGCUUCGUCUACCUCACCAGCAGCCCCGGGAAGGACGCCGGCAUCUCCGUCGUCCUCGGCCUCGAGCCCGACGUCAUGAAGCAGUUCAAGAAGCUCUUCUACGAGGAGUUCUGUCCCCUCCAAACAUAAUAAUAAUAAUAAUAAUAAUAGUAAGAUAUUACAGCUGUUAGUAUGUGAAAUGAGCAUUAAUAAAUUAUUUUUAUUUUUAAAAUAAAUCUUAUGCUGUACUUAUAUAAGUUAUUAAUGCGUCCUGAAUAGAGCCGAGCUCUAUACUAUUCAUGAUAGAUUGUGUUUGUUUGACUUGACGUCGGCUUGUAUUGUGAAGGAUUGCUUGAUUUGUGGUUGAAUAAUUGAUUCCGGUUCGUGUUUAGUACGGAAAUUAUAUGUAUAUUUUGCUAGCUAGUGGGUCGGUUUCAAUUUGUCUUGGUUCAAUCUUCUACAAGCUUUUAGUCUUUAGAAAAAAAAAAAAAUUUCUUCACUCAGUAUAAUAAUAUGAGAUUCUCCCUGUUUAAUCAAUAAUAAUAAUAAUAAUAAUAAUAUGAGAUUCUAAUUUAGAAUUUCAUUCUAAAAAAUAGAACGAAAAUUACCUAAAUAUUUCAGUCCUUCUCGAAUCUUAAAUUUCAUUAAAGCAAUCAACUUCAGAUUUGACCGAUUCAAGUUGUUUACUUGGGCGUUAUAAUGAAGCUCAAAAUAUUUCAGUCUUUCGUCAACGAAUAUCACAUCUUUUUUUUAAUGAAAUUUUGAAUUUUUCAAAAAUACUAUGCAAACUGAUCAACUAACUAAUUAAAAUCUGUCUAACAAAAAAUAUAUUGUAUUAUUUAUUUUUGAUAACUUUUUUAAUUUUAUAUCCCCUCAUUUUAUUUAAAUAAAUUUUUACUCUUAAAAAUUUAUUAUUUUUUUUAAAAAAAAAAAAAUCCUCAAUGUAGAAACAAUAUAAAAAUAAAAAUAAAAACCAGGUGUGAAAGCCUCAACCAGUGAGCCUCCUCUUUUAUAUUUUCGUGUGCUAAUUGAUUACUAUCAUGUGACUUGCCUCGAGAUCUACAAUUUCUAAAGAAUCUUUAAAGAUAAAGUUUGAAGUGUAUUGUCGGGGGCGCUGGCCCACGUGUGAAAGUGGCUAUGAUGAACUCUCACCAUCGAAUCCGCUAAUUUGAUUGGACGCGAGUAGGGCUGUCAAAAUUAUACAUUCCACCGAAUUUGAGUUCCGAUUUAAAUAUUAUAUUACUAUAUAAUAUUUUUGAAUUCGAAUUUUGAAUAUAAAUAUAAAAGAAUAUUUUUUAACUCGAAUUUUGUUAGACACUGAGGGCAUGUUUGUUUCAACGUAAGUAGACUUGGAGUGGAAGUGAACUUUGAGUUGAAGUGGAGUUUGGGUGAAAAUUAGUUCACUUCUUCUGUUUGUUUCUAACCGUGGAAGCAUAGUUUUGCGAGUUCUGUUGUUUGUUUGGUAGAAAGUAGAUGACGUAAAACGUGUAACUCUCCACCCCCGGUAUACUUACCUCAAAAGUGAUAUCAUUGUCUAUUUUGUAACUUAUAGUAAAUAAUAAAUUAUAAUAAAUAAAAAUUAAUAUAAUUAUAUAUGUAUAUAAUUAUAUAUAUGUAUAAUUAUAAAAUAAAAUUUUAAAAAAUUAUAUUAUUUGUUUGCAUAUAAAUUAUAAUAAUGCAGCAAAUAAAAUUCUAAAGUUUAAAAAUUAUGAACAUAUUUUUCAUCAUUUUCUAAAUAUACAAAUUAAACAAAAAAUAUAUUAAUGCUUACCUAAUCAAAUUUGAUCACAUUUAGAAGAGGUAACCCUAACACAUUAAUCCAUUCUUUCCUUUUUUCACUUCAUCAGAAUUGACUUCGCCCCAUGGGAGGGCAAAGUCAAGUUUAUUAUUUUAGGUGAACUGGACUUUCGGGCGUAAUAAAAUUACGGUGAACCAAACAACGGAAGUGGUCAGUUUUCACCGAAAAUCACGUCUCCCGUCCCACUUCCACCCCACUUCCCUCAAAACAAAUAGGCCCUAAAUAGUCUCACGUCAGAUGGAAAUAGAAUUCUUACUGGGUACGUAAGAGAACUCUAUAUUAGUAAUAAUAUCCGUACUUAAGUAUUUUGGGCCGAUGGUUUGGGCCCAACGAGUUAUUAUUACUAGUGAGCCGGGUCGUUACAUUUGGUAUCAGAGCCAAUUCACUAGUCAAAAGUGUGAGAUGAGUCUUGACUGGGCCGAAGUUGGAAUAACAUGCUAAAAUAGGGUUGGAAUGACAAAGCUAGCAAGACAAAUCUCACAUCGUCUGGUAAUCUUGCAUUGUAUGCAAAUUUAGGGCUAACGAGGACGUCUGAGCGGGUCUUAACUGCGCCAAGGUCGGAAUAACAUGCUAAGUUAGGUUUGGAAUGAUGAGGACGUCAGGACGUCUUGACUAGGUUAAGGUCAAAAUGACAGGUUAAGUCAGGGUUGGAAUGUCAAGACUGGCGAGACAAAUUUCGUAUCGCCUAGUAAUCUUAGAUUGUGUCUAUGUUUAGAGCUGACGAAAACGUUAUGACCUAAAUUGGAGGAAUCUGUAACAACCCAAUAAUUUCAAUAAGCAUUUUAUUGUGUAUUACAUUUACAAUAUUUUUGGAUUGGAAUACGGAUGUGUUGGAAUAUUUCAUAUUUGGAUUUGGGUUGAAUUCCACUAUUCAAAAUUAAUAGGUAUUUUAAUUUAUAUAUUUUUAAAAAAUGAAAAGAGAGUAAUGUAACUUACAGGGGUGAGAGCUUUCUCAUAUGUACGAAAUGUAGAAAUCAAUUUAAUAAUAAUUAUUAUUAAAUUUAAAAUAACAACUAUUUAAAUUUAUUUUAUAUCAAAUUAUAAAUUAUAAAUUUAGUUUUGAAAUAAAAAUUUAGAUUUAGAGUUAAAAAGGACUUUAAUAUAUUUUGUUGGGGAAUAAAAUGAUUUUCUAUAUUUUUAUUUUUAUUAUUAUGAGUUUCGUAUUAAAAUUGGACUUUAUGUUUAGUAAAUCCCAUAUAUUAUUCAAUAAAUAUAGAUAUAUAAAAAUUUGAAUAUGAAUGUGAAAUUUUAGUCGCAUUGUGGUUAAUUCAAUUUUAUAUUUAUAUGUUCAUAUUAGUAUAUAUAUUAUUAUUAUUUGAAUAAUAUUCCAAUACAAUUUCCAUUCAUAUUCUAAUAUUAAGAAAUAUUCGAACACAUUCAAAUCCAGUUUUAAGUAAUAUAGUAAAAAAGCUUCAGCAUCUAAUGCAUAUCCGUAUUCUAAUUCGUAUUAUAAAAAAUAAAAAAAAGAAUGGAUACAAAUAUGGCAUCUUCAAAUAUCCAACUGUAUUCAACUGUUUUCAUCCCUACGCUGUGUCGGCCAACACCUACGGGUAUAAAAUAUAAAAUAUAAAACUAAGCUAAAAUACUAUCAAUAGCACUAAACUAUUGGUGCUAUUGAUUUUUUUAACCCUUAGAUAGAGAAAUUGGUGGUUAGAAUGAUAUGGACCCUCUAGGGUUGAGUGAGUGAUUGGUUGAAUAGUAUAAUCUAACGGGUAAAAAUAAUCAGAGGGUUAAAUCUAAUGGUGGAAAACUCGAUAGCACCAAAUCCUUGGUGCUAUCGAUAAUACCCAGCCGAAUUAUAUAUAUAUAUAGAGAGAGAGAGAGAGAGAGAGAAUUAGGCUACUAGACUAUCUAUAGUACCGGAGCUCCGGUACUAUAGUCUUGUUUUCGAUCUUAGGGUAUUCAAAUUAACGAUCCACACCAUUAAAUAUGAUCUAGGGUAUAUGAAGUUCUUAGAAAUAAAAUUUUAGUUUUUUUCGACAUCGUUUACUUAGUAAAUAAAUUAUGUCAAAAUGGACGGUGGAAAUUGAAUAAUCUUUAAAAUUUGAGCAUANUAGGACUUUUAAAUUCAAGAUCAAGAAUGUUAACCUUAAUCUAGAUAGUUUAAAAUAUUUUCUGUCAAAAUUUGAAGAAAUUUAGAUUCUUCUAUACCGUUAAACUCCAAACUCGCCAUAGUAGCAAUUGAAAAUUGACAAUUUUAAAAUUGUUUGAUCGUAAAAUAAACUAUGUCGAAAAAAUAUAAAAUUUUACUUCUAAAAACUUUAAAUACCCUAGAUCAGUUUUAACGGUGUGGAUCGUUGAUUUGAACACCCUAAGAUCGAAAAUAAGACUAUAGUAUCAGAGCCUCGGUACUAUAGAUAGUAUAGGAGACUAGCUCUAUAUAUAUAUAUAUAUAUAUAUAUAUGUGUAUAUAUGUAUAUAUAUAGCAGUAUAGGAUAGGAUUUACUUUACAAGUAUCACCAAGUGAUACUGGUGUGUUUUUUUAGCAUUGGAUGGAGAGAUGUGCCGUGAGAUGAUGGUGGGUUAGGUGGAAUAGUGUUUCUGAUUUUCAAGGGCUAUUGUAUUCAAAAAGUAGAUCCAAUGGCUAAAAACGUGCGAUUCAGACAACAUGGGGCAAUACAUGUACAAGUAUCCUAGAUUCAAACCUUAAUAUAUAUAUUAGAGUGAGCUGAAUACUUAUCGAUAACAAACACGGGGCUUGUUGCCAUUCAUUUGUUUUCGAUUCGAUGAUGCCUCCAAAUCGACGAUCAGGCAUCGUUGAAACUCUGAUGCUAUACACUUGAAGUGUUUAGAAAUCAAAUUUCAAUCUUUUAUUGCGACGAUCAUUUUGCCUAAAUGAUCAAAGAGUUUCAAAUUUUGUAAUUUAAAUGGUCUGAUUGAUGAGGUUUUUCGUUUACAGCCGGUAAAGAUAUCAAAUCAAUUUGAAUUUUUGUUAGGAAAAAUUCUUUAAACUAUUUAACAAAGACUACCUGUCAGUCUUUUUAAAGAAUAUUCAUUUUCAGCGUUCAUUUUUGUGUCCACUCGAUGGAUACGAGAACAUAUCGAAAUGUAUGAUAUUUGAUUUCUAAACACAUUAAUGUGGUAGAGAUCAUGUUCAACCGGGAACCGUCGUCAAUUCUGGAGGCUCCAUAUCGAAACAAUGGGUGGCACUGAGCCGUUUGCUAUCAGAUAGUAUUCUGUCCUCUAUAUACUAUAUAUCUAUUAUAGAGUCCGGCUACAUAUCCUAUUUAUAAGGAUUGCGAGCCAUCUUAAGCGUCGAUCAAAUGAAUAAUCCAGGCACCGUUUGAAAUUGAUUACACAAUUUAGAAAUGUUUAGAAACACGAAGUUUUUAUAUUUAACAAAUCUUAUCAAAGUUUUAUCUAUACACUACAAGAAAUGAACAGUCAUUCGGUGGCAAAAUUAAUUCGGCGAAUUUUGCCACCAAUUAAUUAACUUUAAGUGGCGAUAAAAAAAUUUUGCCACCAAUUAAUUAACUUUAAGUGGCAAUACUACUUUUGCCACUAAAUGACUAACUUUUUGCCACUAUUUGGUUAUCUAUGGUGGCGAUAAAACAAACGGCCACCGAUUAAUUAACUUAAAGUGGUGACACUACUUUCGCCACUAAAUAAUCAUUUUGUCGCCACUAAAUCGUUAUUUAUGAUGGCGAUAAAAAAUAUUGCCACUGAUUAAUUAACUUAAAAUGGCAAUAUUACUUUCACCACUAAAUGAUUAUUUUAUCGCCAUUAUUUGGUUAUCUGUAGUGGUGAUAAAAAAUUUUUGCCACCAAUUAAUUAACUUUAAGUGGCGAUAAAAAAAUUUUGCCACCAAUUAAUUAACUUUAAGUGGCAAUACUACUUUUGCCACUAAAUGACUAACUUUUUGCCACUAUUUGGUUAGCUAUAGUGAUGAUAAAAAAAAUUGAUGCAUAUUAUUAAUAAAAUUACAAUAGAAAUAAAAUAUUUAAAAAAUUUAUAUCAAAAUAAUGUAUAGUGAAGAUGAAAAAACUGUAGUUGUUAAAAAUUGAGGGUGAAAAUGUACAGNNNNNNNNNNNNNNNNNNNNNNNNNNNNNNNNNNNNNNNNNNNNNNNNNNNNNNNNNNNNNNNNNNNNNNNNNNNNNNNNNNNNNNNNNNNNNNNNNNNNAAAAAAAUGAGAGAAUCGUUUAAAUUUUUAAAGUUUGAUUUACAUAUUAAAAUUAAAUAAAUUAAAAAUUUUAAAUGUGUCGAUUAAUAAGUUGAAGAAUUAUUGAAAAAUAUAAAAAUAUUAUAUAUAUCUACUUAUUUAUUUAUAAAUAGUAAAUUUAAAUAAUUAAUAAAUUUAUACAAUUAUUUUAUGUUUAGUGAAGGUAACCUCACCACUCUAUCUGAAGAGGUGACAAAAUUUAUCAAUACAACUAUCAGCUUCAUAUUACCAAACAGAAGAAAUGGAACUGCAGCAGUUGCAACUGCGUAAAACCAAACAGACUAGGUGUAGUUAUAACUGCAGUAUUUGCAACUGCAUGUAUUUUCAACUACACUGUUUCUGCAACUACAUCCAACCAAACGGCCCCAUAGUGUAGAACUAUUAUACUUUCGGAAGCAUAAAGGAGUUGGUGCUUCCGACUUUUUACCCCUUGGAUCAAGGAUUAGAGGGUCAGGAUGAUAAUGGUCCUCCUUAGAAUUGAGUGAUUUUUCUAGAAUUGAGUGGUCCCCUCUAGAGUAAUAAUAUAAAUCCGAAGGUUAGAAAUGAUUAAAGGAAUUGAUUCAACGGCCAAAAAGAUUGAUUAACUCUUUUAUAUUUUUUGAAAGCACGGUACGUAGCUCUAUAUAUAUAGGUCCAGUUGGGAUAUUUUUAGAAGCAUCAAAUUUUUGGUGCUAGAACUUUUUUGGUUAUUGGAUCAAUAUUAAUGGCUCUUUGUAUUAUGCCUGAAUAGAAAAAUUCCCACACUAGUUAGUAUUGUUGGUUUUUGAUCUAAUGGCCAAAAGGCUAGAUUAAAGGAUGAGUAUGCCAGCUCAAUACAUAGGUGUAUAAAUAUAGAAUAUAUAGUAAUUUAGUAUUACUCGCUAGUCUUUGUUGACUUGGAUGAUAAAUAAAUAAUCUUAAUUUGAUUUGAACAUACUUCAUAGGCGAAUUACAUCGUUUGGUUUUUAUUUAGAUUAUUGAACUUUAAUUUAGGGAAAACUACACUUUGGUUCUCGAACUAUAUAUAAAAUGCGUGAUACUUUGGUUCUUAAAUUUUAAUUUGUUAUAAUUUUUAGUUCAAACUUUCUGAUUUAUUGCAAUCAAGUUCUGUAAUUCAAUCUAGUUAAUUGGCAAAGUUUUGAUAAAUUAUUAUAGUAAAAGUGGUGGGGCAGUAUUGUAGUUGAUGAUGCGCCAAUAAUUAAAAUGUCACGCUAGCUCCUCAUAGUUCGAGCGCCAAAAGUGUAAUUUAAUUACUCUUUAUUCAUUUAAAUUAAGUUACGAAACUUCAUUUUCGUUUUAAUGAGGUCCUCUUGUUAGGAUUUCUAAAGUUUUUGAAACAAACAGGUGAUAAUUAAUUCAAUUGUCAUAUCAUCUUUUAGAGAUGAUCAAAAUACUAAUUAUUAAAUAAAAUAAUUCAAUUCAAUUAAAUUAUUCAAUACUAUUUUGAGACAAUACAAUAGUUGUAAUGACUACUUGUCACUGCCUCAUCACUACUUGCUAGUUGAAUUUAUUGCCCCUUCUUUACUUCAUCUAAAAAGUUAAAUAAAAUGACUUUUAUUUUCCAAAUUUUUAUUCAGAAAAACAAAUUAAUUAAAACUGUGAAAUUUUUUUUUUUUAUCAAAACCUUUGUUUUGAAAAAUAAUUUUCACACUUUUCUGAGAAGCCAAACACCCUUCAAAUGAAAUUUCAGGAAAUGAUAGGCGGCCAAAAAUGUAUUAAAAGUAUGCGCAAUUUAUUUAUACGUGUAUACGAUAUACUUAAAUGCAUACGUACGCGUGCAUUAUUUAAUUUAAUUCGUCUCUCUCCCUCCUUCCUUUCUCCCAUACUUACUAUACUUUGAAUAGGUAUAAAUAGAUUCAAAUUUAAUAUUUUUUCAAUUUAUUUAAUUUCCGUGUAAACACGGUGGAAUUGACCUAUUAUAAUAAUAAAGAUACAUCACAUGUUAUGCAGAUAUACACUUGCGUAUGCUUAUAUUAUUCAGUUAAUUACUCUCUCUAUCUUCCUCUCUCCCAAACUUAUUAUACUUUCAAUAGGUAUAAAUAGAACCAAAUUCUAAUAUAUUUUUUGUCUUAUUUCAUUUUCGUGUGAAAAUGGUACGAUACAAUUGGCUUCUUAUAAUAAUAUAGACACAUUGUAUAUAUAUGUCAUACAUAUAUAGUAAGCGUGCAUGUAUUAUUUAAUCAGCGCGGUUACGGAUGCCCAAAAUAUCCUAAAAUUAAUGUUCUUGAUAUAUUGGCAACAUUAUUAUUAAACCUGAAACACUAUAUUUUAAAUCUUAAACAUCAUUAUUAAACUGCAAAAGCCGUAAUUAUAAUCUAAAUCGACUUAAACUCUAAAUCCACAUAUGUGCUAACACAUCAACAACAAUAUUUUAAAAUAAUAUAUCUAAGUGGGAGAUCCAAAUCAUUUCUCUUAUUUAACUAUUCUCUCCCUUUUCCUCUCCCAUUCUUCUUAUCUCCAAACCAAUUUUAAAAUUUGACUUAGUUAACUUUGAAUAAUUAAGUAUAAGUUGAACCAAAUUCUAAUGUUUUUCGUCCUAUUUCAUUUUUGUCCUAGCAUGGUGGAAUCGAGUUGCUAUAAUAAUAAAGCUAUAAUGAUAAGAAGAUGCUAAUGCCACGUCUUCAUAAGUGAUAUAAUAAGUUAUAAGAGAUUUUGUGUAAUGACAAGUCGUAUAAGUAAUACAAGUCAACAAGAAAGCUUAUAAUUUAAUUUGUUUUUUGGUUAAAAUGUAAGGAAACCCCACAACCAUAUUGAUCAUAAAUCCUAAUAAUAAUAAUAGGCUUAAACAUUUUGAGCUGAUGACUUGAAUCUACGAAUUAUUACUACUAGUAGAUUGAGUCGUUAUAUUGAGUUUUAGAGAUAUUUUACUAGCCAAAAAUAUGUGAUGAGUCUCACAUCGAAUGGUGAUCUUGAUUUGCAUUUGCGUUUGUGAUUGGGCUUAUGAGGACAUUAGGACAGUCAAGUAUGUAUUUGUGAUUGGACCAACGAGAACGUUAGGGACUUUGCCUUUAGUAUUACCCAAUGAAAUCCGAGUACUUAUACAAUUGUACUUAGACCGGAAACUAUCUGCUUAGUAUGGUAAUAGCAGGUGUUCCAUUUGAUACAUACUAUUGAAAAAGAGCUGCUUUUGUAAAAAUGGAUUUGGUAUUGCCUAAACUACAGUAGUAGGAGCUAUCAUUGAACCACAUAUAUCUUCCACAAUGAAAGGCAUUAUAAAUAUUGAUUAGUCUUCAGAUAAAAGUCUAUUCUCUAUAAGGGGGAAAAAAAAACUUUGGGCAAAAUUUUUUGGAAUCUCUUUUAGUUGUAUAAUUAUGCAUCAAUUAACCAUAGUUGUUCCAAACACAGUAUAUGAUAUAAUUGUGAUAAUUCAAAUUUAAGUUAAGGUUAACCCUGAAUCAUGUUGUAGAAUAAAGUUACAACUAAUUAUUAAAUUAGUCACUCCACAUAAUAAAGAACAAACCUAUACGCCUCUUUUGAUAGAAAAUUUUUCAGAAUUAACGGAAGAUAUCUUUUGAUAGAAAUUUUUUUUCAAAAUUAAUGGAAGAAAUCUGAAUUCGAUGCAUAUUCCAACUACUCUCUUCUUUUUUUCUUUUUUUUCUCUUUCGGAUAAAUAUAAAUAAAGUAGGAUUAGCCUGAUAAUUUUAUCUAUAUCUACAUUAAUCUAUAAUCAAAUUCAAUUCAAUUAGUAGUAAAUGAAUCAUGUAUUAUAUACUCUAAUAUUAUAGAUACCAUGCGUAGCGGUGGUUUAUUAAAAACAAACAAUAUGUCUAUGAGAAAAGGUCAAGAGAUAGAGGGACUUUGAUUUUCGUUUCAACAACUAUGGUGAUAUGAGUUGCACAUGUGAAUUAAAAUUAAUUGGCCCACAAGUUGGUCAUCACUAUUUCAAUAUAAUUGACCCCUCUGAUUUGCUAAAUACUAUUUAAUUGAGAGCUUAAUUAAUUCCCUCCUCUGGCCAUUACAUCUUAUAUGUAAUGAAUGUGUCGAAUGUGGAGACUAAUUAGAAUUCACAGUCCAAUUAGAUUCUUAAUUAAACUCUAUUUAUGUUUUAAUAAAACUAAAUCUCAUCUUAUCCUAAUUAAAGUAGAUUUUGACUUUAAUUUUAAAUAAAUUUGACUUUAAUUUAAAUAACUAUAAAUUUAAAUCGAAAUCUAACAAUAGAUUUUCUCACUAAUCUGUUAAACAACAAUAUUUGUGAAACUACAUCUUCUAUUUAUGAUCUAUUCGUAUCUUGUUAUAUCAAGUCCUAUUUAGAUUAACUCAACCUAGUUAAGAACUGAAAUUUGCUUUUAUCCUUUCAGACAUUAUACGAAAGCUUUUUCUUCAAAAAAGUUUUUAAAAUUUUUAAUAAGGGUAACAUAUAGAAAACUCUAUGUAAAUACUUGUUUUUUCAGUUCCUCUACUGGCUUUCAAAAAUCUAUGGGCGUGUUUGGUUCACCUAUUUUUCAUCCUGGAAUUGAAAUUGAAAGGGACGAAUCCGUUUGUCUGUUUUUGGUAUACGGGAUUUCCAUUCCAAUUCUGAUUCCUGGGUGAGUGGGAAUCCUCCCAAUUACCCUUUUUUCCAAUCCGGCCUAGGAGGCCGGAUUGAAAAUUGAAUCCAGGCGGAAUGGAUUUAUUCGGAUUAAAUUUAACUUUUUAAAGCUUAUUUUUUAAUUAAAACAUAAAUUUAAGUUUAAAAAUUAUAUUUAUAAAUUUACAUUUUAAUUUGAACUUAAAUUAAAAAUUAAAAUUCAAUCAAACAUUUUGAAUCUAAUUUAAAAUUUUGAAUUUAAAUUUAAAUUUAAUUUAAAAUGUAAAAUUUUAGUUAUUUAAAUUUUAUUUAAAUUUUAAAUUAAAUUUAUGGAUUCAAAUCAAAAUUGAAAUUAUAAUUUUAAAUUUGAACUUGAAUAAAUCGAAAUUUAGUUUCAUAUUUUGAAUCAUCCGUUCAAUUUCAAUUUUUAAUUUUUUUAAAAUAUAUUUAAAAUUUUGACAUCAUUUUAAAAUUUUGACGCAAAUUUUUAAUAUUUAAUUUUCAGUUUGAAUGUAAACUAAUAUACUGUAAAGAUAAAUUUGGCAUAUUAAUUUGAUUACGUUUCUAAUAUCUAUCUGAACCAAAUACCGACAAUAAGAAUGAUUCAUUCCGAUUCCGAUUUAAAUAGCGAAGCAAAUAGAAUGAGGUAAUGAAUCAUUCCGAUUCUAUUUCCAUCUUAUUCUCGUUCCGAUUUCGAUAUCGAUUUCAAGUUCGAACCAAACACACCCUAUAUUUCAUCUUAUCAAAAUUUCAAGUUGAUGGAUUUAAACGCCCUUCAAUCAUCAGAGUUCCGUCACUACUAUUCCGUCCAUUUCUUAUAAUUUAUAUUGAAUAUACCCUUAAAUUGUUAGAAAUGCAAUAAAAAAAAUUUAUUGUUUCCUUAACAAGUAAAGAAAAUUUAGUCAUCUUAGAAAGUAAAAAAAUAUGGAUAUUCAUAAGGGAAGGUUUUUUUUUUUUUAUUUUAGCCAAUAAAGAAAGUUUUAAGGGUACAAAGCAUUCUCCAAAUAAAUAAAUAAAUAAAGUUUUAAAAGGGUACAAAGCAUUCUCCAAAUACAUAAAUAAAUAAAGUUUUAAAAGGGUACAAAGCAUUCUCCAAAUACAUAAUACGAGUAGCUGAAGACAUGCACCAACUAAUUUGAUGCAUCCACUUUUACACACACAUACAUUGAGAAUAAAAUAAAAUAAAAUACACAUGCUAUAAGAUAACACCUGCAUAUAUCGAUCAACAUUUUCAAUUUUCAUCGAGCACGGACGGAUUGUUUAGAAGAUCCGAGGCGGAAAAUAUGGAAGCAUCAAGCUCGGUCGGUGCCUUGCAAAAAGCGCACAAACUCACCUACAUGAUGUGGAAUAAAUUUAAUCGUUUCUGUGACACUCCCUUCGUCUCGUUUGAAUGAAAUAGUAAAAUUCGGGAUGUGGCGAACCCUCGUGCGCAAGUCAUUGCUGUGGUCGCCUUCUCCUCCUCCUCCUCCUCCUAGAAGCAGCUCAACAAGUUCCUCUGCUAGAUGGCCAAUGUAUAAAUCCUGAAGGGUGGUAAGGUACUCGAUGCCGUGGGGCAGCUCCUUUAGCUCGAGGCAACCGUCUAGCUGAAGCUUAUACAGGCUUGCCAUUGCUCCUCUUUCGAUUUCCACCUGACUGAGCUCCGGGGCACCUACUAUUCCCAAUUUCUUUAGCUUCGGGAAUGAUGUUGCUUGGAAGUGCAACUUCAUGCCGUCAUAUGCCUCAUAAAGGUAGAGAACUAUCAACGCGGGCAGCGCUUGCAGGUGAGGAAACGUAUCUUCAUCCAAUUUUGCACCUAAAAGGAAUAAUGAGGUAAGGUUUGUUAGAGACCCAAAGGAUGUGGCAAGCUCAGGGAGUGAGUUUUUUUCUAAUUCACCAUACAGAUGUAAUGCUUGAAUUGGUGGAGGUAGGCGCAGGGUGCCCAACUGCUGUAAUUCUUGCCCACGUUCACUGCUGACAAAUAAAUUGCUAAGAUGGCUCAUCUUUGUGAUACUAUUCCACAAGUCUGCACAGUGAUGGGUUCUUACGCCCGUUAUUGAAAAUGUCCGCAACUCUGUCAAAGCUUCUACAUUCCGCACAAUCUCCUCAGUUGCUUCAAUAGGUGUUAAAGUCUGCAAGCCCUUCAAGCGCCAUAUUCCCACCGGUGCCUUGAUGUUCUUACCCCAGUCGUCGGACAAAUGUAGAUGUCUCAACUUUUGGAGCUCUGUUAUUUCCUCCGGCAGCUUUUCUAUUCCAGUGUGAUCUGCAUCUAAUACUUGCAGAUUUCGUAGCUUCCCGAUUGAUCUUGGAAGCUCGUAUAUUCUUGUUCGCUGCAAGCCUAGAUAAUGCAGGUUGAAUAGGUUACAAAUCUCACUCGGUAGUUUCUCGAUUCGCGCUCCUUGUAGUUCCAAGACACGUAAAAAUUUUGAUGAUCUUAAGACCGACUCCAGUAAAUCAUUGCUCAUGGAAUUGUUGAAAACAAGCACUGAACGCAAAUGAGAUUUGUCUUCAGUACGAUAAUUAGUUAUAUUGCUUAGGAUUGACAAGCGGCGCACUUUGGAUCUCUGCAAUAUUGUCCGUGAAUUCUCGUAAACCAUGCAGAAACUUAACUCCUUUGACUCCGAAAGAGCAAGGACUCGAAUGAUGUCAUGCAUUCGACAUUCUUGAACUCUACCGAUAUCGUUCCUCUCAACCACUUGUAGUAGACAGCGGUGAACUAGUUCGUGAAGGUAGUCCUCGGCCACUUCCUCCAUCGUUAUUCCUCUUUCUUCAAUGAACCCUUCGGCCACCCAAAGCCUUAUGAGCCUGUAACUUUCAAUUGUAUAGUCUUCCGGAAAGCUGGAACAAUAUAAGAAGCAAUUUCGAAGGUAAUAGGGAAGAUCGUCAAAACUAAGUUUCAAAAUGUUAUGUACUUUUUCAUGGAGCUUCGAUUCGUUGUUAGUUAGAUACCACUCAAGAUCUUUGUAAACCUUCUCCCAUUCGGAACCUGUUUCAUCUCGAAAUGAUAAGAGACGGGCUAUAGAUACGAUAGCAAGGGGCAAGCCACCGCACUUCUCGACAACUUUUUUAGCACAUUGUUCUAAGGGCGGUGGGCAAAUCUUGUUUGCACUUUUCCAAAAUGCAUUUUUACAAAACAAAUCCCAUGAAUGACCUGCCUCUAGCGUCUUUAGCUCAAACAUACGGUUCUCGUUUGCUAAUAGUGCUACAUCGCGAAUCCUUGUUGUGAGAACUAUUCUACUCUUGCUAUUACUAUUCAGAAGUGCAUUCUUUAUAUUGUCCAGUACAUCAGUACUCCAAACAUCAUCCAGAAUAAGUACAUACUUUUUACACUGCAAAUAAGUGCGGAUAGUCUCAACCAAGCUUCUAUAAUCCAUGGUAUUAAUGUUGUUAGGUGCUUCUCCUUUCUCACGAUCUUUCCUAUAGAACUCUUUUAAGAUCUGUCUAAGCAAAUCAUCCGUCUCAUAACUUUGAGAUACAGCAACCCAGGCACAAGCAUCAAAAGAAGCUUCGAUGAUAUUGUACACAUGAGUCACGAGAGUGGUCUUCCCUAGACCACCCAUCCCCAAUACUGAGAUUAUCAUGGGCUGUCGUUGCUGCUCAUCCUCAUCUUUCAACCAUCUGAGCAACAAGUCCCUGUACUUGUCAAUACCCACGAUAUCAUCCUCCUCGACAAAAUGUGCUAAUUCUGCGGGGCUCUUGCUACCGCCAGCAGCUAUUAGAGGUCUUGCUUCAUUUUCCAUUCUGCUUGUAUCAUAUCGCUCCCUUCUUUCCUUAAUGUUUCGAAGCUUAACUUUGAUUUUGUUAAGCCUCUUGCUAAGGCGACGCCAAGUUGCUAUAUUUCUGCACAUCUUGACUGUUGUAGGCUGGACCCCUCCUUGCUCUUCACCGAGCUUGUAUGUGAACUCAUCUAUAAUAUCCUCAAUGUCGAAAGCCAAAUCUCUUGUUUGUUUUAUGAUGGUUGUUGUGCUCUCAUCCUUCUGUUUUAAUCUUUCAGCGAUCCGUAGGAAGGAUAGCAUGCUCUGAAGCUCACCCUUAAUGUCACUUAUAUCCUCCACAAGGUCUUCCAUUGCUGAUAUCCGUGUUAGUAAUCGUGAUGUUGCUGCUUUAGUUGCUUCACUAGCUAAGGUCGCACCGAUAUUUAGGAGUAAUGAGCUUACCACAGCCUCCGCCAUGGGCACUUCCUCUGAAUUGAGCCUAAAAUGUACAAUCUUUUCAAAUUACCAUGUCUCUUCAAAUGCACCACUAGCAAAAAUGAUUAUUUUUUAACGCUCUUAUGAUUCAAGGCAAUUUUUGUAAAAAAAUAUGUAAUUAAUUGUCUCAAUCGGAAUAACUCUGUAGUGCACUAAACAAACAUUUGUUAGAAUCCUCAGUUAAAAAAAAAGAAACACCAUUAACAGUAUUGUAGUCUGGAAGAACAAAAAGCAAUAACUUGUUCAAGAUUCAGUUUAACAAAAUUUUGAGAUUAAAGAUUCAUCAUAACUAGUCAUAUUGAACUCGACCUCAAUGUAUAUUUGUAGAUCAAGUUGUGAAAAAGUCCUUUAGAGGAGUAUGAAAUCAAUAAAGAGUUGGAAAGUAAAUCAAUCUGCUGCUAGCUAGUGAGUAGAUGGUAUCACAUUAAGCGUGAUUGUAAAUUAUUUUACAAUUAACAAUUAUAAAUCAAGUUUGUUUUGAAGCCCUCUUCUUGUUCAUAAUUAAGUUAAUAUUUAUCAGGACGAUAAGUCAUUUGAGCAAGAAACUAUUAGUGCUUUUUCAAAUAGUUUUGUUUUGAUAGAAAUAUAAGAACUUAAAUUUUAGACUCAUGAAACUCCCGUAUAUCUAAUAUGUUAAAUUUUAUUGCCUCGACAUUCAUAGUUUCAUACCGCCUAUUAUCAGACCAGAAUCUGAAAGUUCUAUUUCAACUUUUGUGAUUUGUGUUGCAAUUUGUAAAAGUUCUACAUUACUAGUUUUGAUAUUAACUGAGUUUUUUUUUUCCCAAAAUAAUUGUUAUCUUUGUGAGUUCAGCAGGAAUAUUUCUUAAGUGAAAUGACUUUGAUAUUUUUUUUUUUAUUUUUUUUUAUGAUGAGGCAUUUAAAUAAACGUCUUGUAUCGUUAAAUAUAAUCUAGAAUGUUUGCAUGGUUUAGAAACUGAAUUUUUUUUUUUUUGUCAUUAUCAUUUACCUAGUGAUCAAAUGGUCUUAAAAUUGAUAAUUUAACAAGUAAAACAAGACACUUUCUUCUUGUUUAACUGCAAAGAAAUAAAACCCUCUCAACUAUUUAGAUCAAGAGUUGUAACCAAGAUUGUGAAUUUAAGAUUUUUUUUUAAUUAUAUUUUUAGAAUGUCGCUAGUUUUGAACUUUCAAAUUAUGCCCACUUGGCAAGCCAGAAAAUAAAUUUUGAAAAUCAUAAAACUCUUUUUCUAGAAAGUUUAUGUAUCCUUUAGUAUAUUUAGCAUCUUGCAUGGUAUUGAUCAUCGAUUUAGACGCUCAAUCAUUAACAAUAAAGUGAAAGUAUAUAAUAAGGCCAAAUUAUUCUACCUUAAUUAUUAAUUAUCUCUUGUUAUUUUGUUACCAAAGAUCAAGUGAAUCGAAACAACAUAUAUAUAUAUUUGUAAGGACUGAGAUUUUGACAGUGUAACUAAACUCUCUGUUGACGAUGUUUAUAUGUGUAAUUUAAUUACAUAAGCACUCGUCAAGUUUCAGGAGAAAAUGAGCUAAAAUGGAGAAGAUACGCAAUUUUUAGUUUUCACUUAAGUGAAUAGUAACUCUGGUUUUCCGGAGAAGCCGCGGCGUAGAGUUGGCUUCUGGCACGUAUUGGACUUCGAACAUAGCAGUCCAAUAGCCCGUUUCGACCAGUUCAGCUAUUCUGGAACUAAUGGCGCUGACGAAUUUUGAGUUUGACGCACGGAUUUCGAGAAAAUCCAAAAAUACAUGUUUUAUAUGUAUUUGUGCGUAGUUCUUCUAUUGGAGAGUUGGAACGGUUCUCGCCGCGAAUCCGCGACCGAUCGAGAUGAACCAAAAUGGUAGCUAUGUUGUCUCCGUGGUGCUGAUCGCACUGGUGCAAUCCGUUCGCAAAUCUGACGGACGGACAAGCGGAGAUCGCACGUUGAUCGAGGAGAGGUUGGCGAUGGCAAAACGGUAAUUUCGCAAAAGUCGCGACAUUUUAUGUACCGUUUUACGCGAGAUCGCACGUGGAGGGGUAUUCGUGCAUUUUAUUCAAGCUGUGAGGGACUCGGAGCGAAAUAUCGAGUUUGGAGGGACUUUUGCACGAUUUAUCGCCUUACGUAUUUAAAGGCUUCUAGGGUUUUCCAUGAAACCCUAACCCUAAACCUAGCUCCAGCGAACCUAGCCGCCCUACCCCCCUUCUCCUCAUACGCCGCGCCCCUCCCGGCCGCCGCCGACCCAACCCCGGCCAGCAGCCAUCGCCACAGCCACCAUCUCCCACCUUCUUCUCUCUCCAUCUCCCUCAAUCCUCCUCUUUCUCUCGGGUUAGAUGCGGGCCGAGGCUACAUUGCCUCCAAGCACCUUGCCGAUGUCGCCCCCUGCCCCGGCGAGCCUCCCCGGCCGACCGCCGCCGCCCCUUGGGGCAGCGCCGCCGCCGCCGGGGCCAAUCCUGCAGCCGCCCCAGGUCUGCUCGGGCCGAGCAGACCUGGUAGCUCCAACCCCACGCCGCAGCCGCCCUUGUCCACCCCUGCGGCCUCCAUCAUGGCCUACGGUACCCCCUCCCCCGGCCGAAAGGGUCGCUGCCGCUGCCACGUGCCUUGGGCGCUGCCGCCCAAGGCUGGAGACCGAGCCAAGCUCGGCGCGGUUGCGCCCGAGCUGCGGGCUACCGCCGCCGUCGCCCGCCGCCUCCUCCUCUCCGUCCGGCCUCUAGGGCCCCGUCGCCGUCGUCCCUGGGCACCCCCGACCGCCGCCGGCUACAGCUGCACCGCUGAAACCCAAGCUCAGCAGUACGGGCUCGGGAUGUUCCAGCUUCGCCGCCGCUGCCUUCCGUCGCCGGCUGGAGCGAGCGCCGGUCUUCCCUGGCCGGCCGUACCCGUUCAUCGCCGGCUACCCCGCCGCCGGAGCACCCUGUCAACCGAGAUGAGCCUGAGCUCUCCUCGGGUUGUGCGGCUAGGGCAUCAUCGUCCUCCGCCUCCGCCACCUCCCGUCGUCGUCCGGUGCAAGCCCUGGUCUCCCCACACUGGCUGCACCCUCCUCUGCCAGCGCGUCCGCCGUCCGGCCUCCCGCGCCCUACCUUGCUCCGAUAAGCUUAGUUAAGAGCUUUUCUUGAGUAGUUUACUGUUCCGAGCAAUCCGAGGCUUCUCGAUCUCUACGGAAGGGAGCACAAUGAUUGUGACUCAUCGCUGAUCAUCGUGCUUACCUUAUUUUCUAUCGGGGAGGCUCCGUUACGCUGUUUCGGCGGUGUAGACCCUAUAAGAGCCUUUUUGGCUGCUGUUUCUGGUUUGCGUGCGUUGUUCCGGCGAUCCGAGGAUGUCCUGAUGCCUCCGGAGGUGAGAAUGGUGAUCGUUGGUCAGUGGCGAUCCCAGUGAUCACCUCACUUUUGAUCAACAGAGUCCGGUUAGUUCUGUUCGGCGUGUUUUUCCUCGACUGCGCGCUGUUCGCUGAACCUUCGGGUUGCUCCCGCGCUUCCCACAGUGAGUCAUUGUGCCCCAGAUCAUGAGCACGGCCUCCGGUACGUCGAGACCUGUCAGUACGUGUCUCGGCGGACCUUGGAAGUCCUUAGUUUGCGUGAACGAGCCAUGUCAUCGCCCGAUUUACAUAAAAUAUAGGGAUUUUACGUAAAGUGAGGGGCAUUUGUGCAAUUGUGCAUUAUGUGGCUACUGUGGGCAGUGCAUAUGUGUGUGUGGUGACCUCUGGACUGAUUAUCCAUGAUCCAUUAGCUUUUGCAGAAAUCGAAGAGUCGAUUUCGAUGCGUUUUGCGGCGAAAUUCGCCGAAAGAACGCGGUUUCGGUUCGGAUUUCUUCCAACGUGGUUUGUUUAUCCUGUGAAUUGUCGCUGAGCCUUGUUGGCUGGUCACCAUCAUCAUUUUGUGGGUUCAGUGAUGAUUGGUGAGCGACGGUGGGUUCCGGUGUCGAAAUAGACACUUUCGGGAACCCGGAUUCGUACAAUUAUCCGGCGAUAAUUUGUGUAGUGGUGUUAUCUUGUGUUUGCUGCCAAAACAUCCAAAUUGGAGUGUUUUGGGACAGCAGGCGACUCGUGACACGAGUCGGUGAGUUUCGGGACACUUAGUGGGUCCCGACGGCGUCCCAGUGUGGUUUUCGGGACUCCCGGCGAGUUACGGUAAUUGGAAUUGGGAAACCGAUCUUCGUGAAAUUGUUUGUGGGGUUGUGGAUACUGUGGUUAUUAGUUGUGGGUUAGAUACUAACCCGGUGAACCCUCUAUAGGUCCUGUCGAUAUUCUUUUGCAGUCAGGAGACAGACGCGACAUCCUUACAGGUGGCUACUUCGAUCCGACGUUGGUACAGUGGUGCAAGCUCGGUGAUGGUUUCUUACCCUUGCUCUUUUGUUAUUAUCCAUGCAUAUAUUAUAUGUUGAGCUUUGCACCUCUAUUGUUUACAUUACACCCACGUUGUUUGGUUAUACUCUGCUCGUUGUUUACAUGCUUAGUAUCCUGAGUAGGAGUAGAGUAGUUUAUCUGUAUGUGAUACCAUGUUUUCUUGUUGCUCUACUUGCCUGUUCUACAUAUCUUAUAUCAUGUUUAUAGUAGAGCGGUUCCGUGACUAUCUGUGAGAUUAGUGACCUAGUCGGUCGAUUCUAGUAUCCCGUAUUUGUGACCUAUUCGGUGAGUUCCUUGACUUUCGUUGUCCGAUGACCGUUAAGGUCGGUAUAACCUGAGGGGUGGUAUUGUCGGUUAGUUGCCGACGGAUGAUUAUAGUUUACUCAUAUCCACUAUUUGACAUGUUUGUGACCUAGUCAGUCAGUUCGUGACUCUUGUUGUUUCUCGUCGUUUGAUGACCUUUGAGGUCGGUGUACCCUGAGGGGUAGGAUUGUCGGCUAGUGGCCGACGGUAGUCCUAGAUUAUAUACUCAGAUGACUUGUUGAUCGAUUCUUGCAUAUAUACAGUAGUUAACUUAUUGAUCAGUAUCUACAUAUUUUUGGUAGGACGUUGAGUUGUUCCAUUCCAGUUGACUUGAUUAGUCAGUACUUGCAUACAGUUGAGAGGGUGUCGAGUUGUUCCAUCCUAGUUGACCUGAGUGGUCGGUUCUUGUACUUUCUUACAGUGGAUGAUCUUUUGGUCGGUUAGCCUCGAGGGGCGGUGAUUGUCGGCUGGUUGCCGACGGUUGGCCUUUGAGCAUAUCAGCAUUGAUCGCCCGACUCGUCGCAUUUCACGAACACUGGUGGUCUGAUCCACAGCAAGGAGUGUUCUUUUUCGAAAAAGUGGUUACUUGUGCCAACCCGUGAGCCCAGCGGUCAGGACUAGGUUAUAUGCAGGUAGAGUGGUAGUGGGCUUUUGCCUGAGGUCCUUAGACCGACACGGCGGUUUAGAUUGGGUAUUUUGGACUUCUUGUCCGGUUGACACAUAUGUCUAUAGUAGCAGUCGUUGCAUGCAUACUUACAGUUCUUACUUUAUAGUUGUCUUGCUACUAUAGUAGAUAUUCAUAUAUGCUUUCUGUUCCAGUUACAGUAGCGGUAGCCGUUAUUCAGUUUAGUUCCUACUUUCUUUCAGUUUAUUGCUACUGUAUUCAGUAUAUCUGCUCAUUACCUUAUAUAUCUCUUUCGUGUAUUAUUGUUGCUACUAUAUUUCCACUGACCCGUGUUGUUGUAUAACUCUUCCUGAUCCGGUGAGUACUCCUCGCCUUCUUCGGCUUGCUGUACCUACUGGGAGGGGAGACAUGUUUACAUGUUCUCUCCUCCCCCACUAUUUUUCAGGUAUCGCGGGCGAUGAGUAGUGGGACGAGACGUGAGGUACGUGUGUAGCGGUCGAUAGAGCCUCCGACCCAGAUUAUUUCGGUUUAGUUAUUACCCUUAUUAUUUUAGUUGUUAUAGCUUAGAUAGUUUAUAUGGUUCAGUAUUUUUAUUACAUUUGAAAUUUUGGGUUUUCAUGAGUGUAAUAAUCUGGUUUGUGAAUUUUGUAAAAUAAAAGGUUUUCUACCCCUCGUAAUAGCGUUUUUAAAAAGAUAAAAGUUUAUGUGUAGGAAAAUAAUUUUCAGAAGAUUUUCUGUGGAUUUUAUAUCUUAGUAUUUCAAAACCUGUUUCUUUGGUUGAAAACAUUUUAACUGAUAGAUGUGGAUUUAUGUUUAAAUAUUGAAUGUAUAAGUAUGAAACUGUGGUGAAUGGUGUAUGAAUGUAUAACUGUUGGUUAUUUGUAUGUUCGUCUGGUUGUGGUUGUAUCAUGUUUGAACUCUUGUACUUGUGCGACGCCGUGCAAAUACAGGGGAGACUCUACUCGUGUGAACAAUAGACCUCCUGUAUUUGUGGCGGAUCUGGCAUACUCUGGGGUCAGGUUUUCAAAAAAAAAAAAUUUCAGACGGUUUUCCGCUAUGCUUUAAACUAAAAAGGGACCCCGGGGCGUGGCAGAUUAAAAUGGUAUCAGAGCCAAGUUACAACCACAACACCAUUCAUAGGUUGUUUUGAAAAGUAAAUGAAACUGAACCAUUGGUUAGGUUGAACCAUAGGAAGACCUACGGUAUAUAGGAACGUGAGUGCGGGGUUUGGGCUUGAGUCCCGGUGUGCAUGUCGAGUUUGGUAAACUCGAAUACACGAUUAUUUCCUUAUGUACUACGAUUUUUGCAAAGCUGGUGUCCUAGUCGGGACUAGUGGCGGUGCUUCUUUUUGGACAUUGAGUGGUGGGGCGGUAUUCCCCAAGUGUUGCCACUCCUGUCAGGUGGGGCCUUGAAGGGCCAGGUGAUCUUCGGGUCUAGGCGAGUGUCAUAACUGCCGACGCCCAGGCCACUCUCUCUACUUAGGACACGAGAGCUGUUGCGAGUGUCUCUACGGAGACGGCAUUGUGAUCAGUUACGAUCGUGACUUCAAUGGGGCUAUUAGGGCGUAGCCCAGGGUUUGGUUAGCGGUCGUUUAGGCGACUGCAUUGUUAGUGUUGCUUCCGCAGAUCUUUGGGUAGGGUUGCGAUGCCUACCUCUCUUCCUUGAUUACUGAUUAGAAUUAGCGGUUUGGGUCUUUUGACCUUGAACUAGUCCUUUCGCCAAAUUGACGUGUACUAGAGUCGGAUUGACACAGUUUUGGUGUCAAGUUUUCGUUGGGGCAUACAUCGUAUGCGGAUAUUCUAACACCUAAAUUGGUGUGUUGUGGGUUAGUUGUAGUUGGUGAUAGGUUUCGUCUUGAUUCGAGAGACUCCAGGUUGUUGUAGGAAUUCUCGGAACUUUGACUAAAGCUCGGUUGUGGUGUGAAAAUCGGUUAGAGAAACCAUUUCUUAAAGCCUCAGUCCGUGUGGUUCGCAGCUUAGUGUUGCUAGUAGCCUUCGGAUGUUGAAAGUUAUAGGACUCCCUGUGAGUCGGUUCAGGGUCGUUCUAAUUUCGAAUGUCGACUUGUAAAGUUGAUGUUUCGAUAGUAUUGGUUGUGAGCUUCUGGUUCAGUUAAGAGGUAUCAAGGGGCUUGAUACUUCGACGUGUCACACUUCCAACUCGUUGUUGAUAAUGGAUCUUCGGAUAUUUUGCUUUUCUUUUGAUAAGUAUAUUGGCUGCAGACAAUAUACUGUUGAAAGAGUGACGAAAUACUAUCUUCCCGUUUGGGACUUAUGGAUUGGGUCGAUGUGUUCUCUAGAGUGUCUUGUGGGAAAGCUUGAGUGUCGAUCUUUUCUGACCACGUAGCGAGCCUUGGGUUAUUCCUUAGUAGGUUUGGCACAGUUGACUUAUCGUCACUGAUAAAGGGGUUUUGACUCUAGUUCGAGUCUGGGUGUUCGUAGCUCUUAGUUGUGCUUCCCACAGUUAAAAGGUUUGCUUGGUUAGUAGUCUCGGUCUAUUUGCCGGGAGGUUCGAAAUCAGUGAUUGAGUGACUUGAGCCUGGUGGUUGGCCUUGAUUGUCACCAUAUAUGAUAGCGUAUAAGGUUGUGACUCGGCUUAGCGUGCAAAUCUUGGAAGGCUAUACUUGUCCGAUUAUUUGGUGACAGGUACGCCUGGGUCUCAAUGAGAUAGGCAUUUGGUGUUGCUCGGAACAUCGAUCGCUAGGGUCCAUGAUAGGACGGCAGCGACAGGGUCUUGUUGAGACAGGUGUUGAGCAUCACCAACGGUUAGUAUCGCUUUUGUGAUUGGCGACCUAUGCAUCAAGUGAUGGACUUGCAAAGAGCUUUCAGUGGUCUGUUGGUACCGUAUUAAGUUUGAGGAGACAUUGUCUAGCCCAAUUGGUAUCGUCAGUUGGACCUUUUGGUCAGAUGUAAAGUAACGUCUUGGACCUAGGACUAUAGAUUGUCGCAGAUGGCUUUAGGUUGAUGAGGUUUUGACAGUUUGUGUGGUUACUAGUGGAGACUGUGGUCUCCGGUGUGAGUGAUUUUGACUCGAAUUUUAGAACAACGUUUCUUAUUCGCUCGUGGUGAGCAAGUUGACGUUGUUGGCUAGUCAGAGUGUGUCUUUUCGGCCUAUAAAAAUACACUCCAGACUUGUGGUGUUGACUCGUGUCUCUUCUACGUGAACCUUCGACGUAAUCGAGUCGGUUACUGGUAUGCGGAUCAAGGUUGAGUGUAUUUAGAAUUUCUAAGUGGAGAAUUUUUAUCUCAGAGUUGGUAAUUGGGGAUCUGAUAAUCCUAGUCGCGGGAUUGUCUUUGUCCGCAGGUUAUAGGAUAAUGUUGAUCCCGGUGAGUUUUGGUCUGUAGAUUUUGGGUUGUUACGUUUUCCCUCGAUUUGUCCUGGAGGAAUCGUAGUCCUUGGUGUCUCCCCUUCUUCGGAGGUUGAGCUGUCCAAAUGAAUGGUGACUGAUCAGUACUCAAAGGUGAUAUCACAGAGGUGGAAGUAAUAUCCGAAUUUGAUUUUGGUGGGUAUGUGGUCAAGUUUCGGGGACGAAACUUCUUUUAAGGGAGGGAUAAUAUAAGGACUGAGAUUUUGACAGUGCAACUAAACUCUCUGUUGACGAUGUUUAUGUGUGUAAUUUAAUUACAUAAGCACUCGUCAAGUUUCAGGAGAAAAUGAGCUAAAAUGGAGAAGAUACGCAAUUUUUAGUUUUCACUUAAGUGAAUAGUAAUUCUGGUUUUCCGAAGAAGCCGCGGAGUAGAGUUGGCUUCUGGCACGUAUUGGACUCCGAACAUAGCAGUCCAAUAGCCCGUUUCGACCGGUUCAGCUAUUCUGGAACUAAUGACGCUGACGGAUUUUGAGUUUGACUCACGGAUUUUAAAUCAUUGAAUUUAAAAUUUAAAUAGUAAUAUGAAAUUCCUCUAGAGAAAACUAAUUGUAGAAAUCUUACUCUUUAAGUUUUUUAUGCAUUACGUUUUAAACUUGUGCGAAUAAACUGUCUUUUAAAUCUUGGUAGAAAUUUAGUUUUUAAAUAGUAAUAUGAAAUUCCUCUAAUUUAAAUUUCACUUUUAAAUUUUAAGUAUUUAAUUUUUAAAAUUUAAAUUCAUCGUAUUUAGAAAUAAAACUAUUUCUAAAAUUUCUAUAAUUUAAAUUAAUGCAUAAUUUGAGAAACACUAAAACAUUUAAAGUAGAUUCCUAAAUUAAUGCCUAAUAAUUGCAUAAAUUUGGUUAAUCAAUUAAUUUUCUAAAUUAGUGCUAAUUAAUGCAUAAAUUUAGGACCUCAAUUAAAAGUUUCUUUAAAUAUUAUAUUAUUUAAUUACCAAACUAACCUUGAAUAAAAUAAUCCUUUUACCUGCUAAGUAUUAAAGUUAUAUUUUUACUCUCUAUUAAUCAACGGUUAAAUUUUUUUUUUUUUUAUUUUUUUAAAGUACCGAAUCAUUUCUCCCAAAAUAAUUAAUCUGAAAUUUAACUAGAGAAAAUACCGCAACCAAAGAAGCUCUUGAAGCAUAUGGUUUAGAGCUUGAGGAGUGAGAGAUGAUCUGGACGAACAGUGCAGCAACCAAGAAACAUCUUUCCUCUUGACUUCUCCCAUCAGCACUUGAGUGCAGUGGGCCAUGAUGAAUUAAUUUUAGGGAAUCUUUUGAUUAUAUACCUUUUACUCCUUAUCAAAAUUUUUUAAUUUAUUUUGAAAUUAUCAAAAUAUUCUUUCAAAAUCAAAUCUUAUUAGUAAACCGCAGCAAAAAUGAGGAUAUUUGAAGAAAUUAUUUAAAAUCAGUAAGUAUAUUUUGAUCCUCCAGGAGUAAAUAUAUAAGAUAUUUUGAAGUUUUGAAGAACAUAUUAGAUAUUAUUUUGAAAUUUUAUACAUAGGAUGAAAACUUCGAUUAACUGCCCUGUGGCCCAGCGUGUUAUAUGCUUCGUCGUACUGUAUUUGAGAUAUCUAAAGUAUAUAUAUGCUUCGGCAUUCUGUGUUCAAAAAGUCUGACAAAAUUUUUUACUUUGUCAAUUCUACAUUCGGAAAGUUUUACUAUGUUGUUAUAUAAUUUUACCUUUUGUUUGAGAGUAAAUUAUUCGGUCCUCAAAUUAUGAGACACGUGACAUUUCGGUCCUUAAAUUUUAAUUUGUUGUAAUUUUUAGCUUUUAUACUGCAUAUUACAUUUUAGUUCUCGAACUUUAAUUAGAUUGUAACGUCCCAGCCCACUAGCAAAAAUAAUUCGUUGGGCCCAAACACUGGCCCAAAAUGCUUAGCCCAGUUAUUAUUACCAGUGUCUAAGUCUCUUAUAUACCCAAUCAUAUCCCCAUUUCUAUUUUCGAUGUGAGAUUAUUGGGGUGACUCGUCUCGCUAGCCUUGUCAUCCAGACCCUGGCAUAGCCGGCUAUCUUGUUAUUCAGACUCUGGCAUACCCGAUCACCUUGCCUUUCAGACCCUGACUCAGUCUCGCUAGCCUUGUCAUCCAGACCCUGGCAUAGCCGGCUAUCUUGUUAUUCAGACUCUGGCAUAGCCGAUCAUAUUGCCUUUCAGACCCUGACUCAGUCGAGAUUCGCAAUACAUUUUUGGCUGGUGAACCGGCUCUGAUACCAAAUGUAACGACCCAGCCCACUAGCAACAAUAACUCGUUGGGCCCAAACACUGGCCCAAAAUGCUUAAGCCCAGUUAUUAUUACCAGUGUCUAAGUCUCUUAUAUACCCAAUCAUAUUCUCAUUUCUAUUCGAUGUGGGAUUAUUGGGGUGUGACAUAGGUGUAAUUCUAGCUCGACGGAUAAGGCAUGUGAUAUUUUGACUUGCUGAAUUAUUGGAAUUAAAUUUCACAGCCUAUUUUUUUAAAAUAAAUAUGGAUAAAAUAUUAAAUAUCUAAUUAAUGCAGCAUUUUAAAUAUUGUUGCAUCAUCAAAUAUGAUAUUGUUACAAUUCAAAAAGUUCGAAGAUUAAAAAGUUCUAUUUUAACUUCUUUGAUUUGUGCUGCAAUCUGUAAGAUGUUGUAGAAGGUCAUCUCGUUGUACAUUAGCAAGUUUAAAUCCAAAGAAAAUCACUAUCAAUUAAUUGCAUUCUCUGUAUGCCAAAAAGAAUUACUCUCUGAUUGCAUGCACCGUUUGGUUUGGGAAUAGGGAUAGGGAUAGGCUCUUAUCCCCCCCUUUAUACCCAAACGCUAAUUUUUUAUUCGAGAAUAGUAGUUCUCGGUUAUCCCCACCAACACCUUCAUUUUCUAUAUAAAACUUUCUAAUAUUUUUCUUAUCCUCGGGAACAACCCAAUUUUCAUCCAAACGCUAUUUUUCUUAUCCUCAUACUUGUACCUAUCCCUGUAAUAACUAGUUCUUGCUUAUACCCGAACCAAACGGUAUAAUAGAGAAUUAAAUAGCUUA
rnacentral:lncRNA from 1 species